UCAAGCACCAAGUGGAAGAAGCAUAGUCUUGAGAGAAAACUACAAUCGAAAGCCUUGACUCUCGAAUCGCUGUCAGGAGCUCAGAAAGGUGGUCGCCUUUUCUGAGCUUCUCGGCAUCAAUGAAGGCGUUGAUUGGUUUCUUAGCCAGAGCGUUGUAGAGAUGGCUGACGAAGCCCCUGCGAGUGUCUUCCCCUCUGAAAUUGAUGAACACAUCGUAUUUGCAACCAAGGCCAGAAGAAGAUGAAGAAGAAGAAGCAGCCAUUAUUAAUCGAUCGCACCUGGUCAGCGAUGAUCGAGCAGCUAAGACUAAGAGAAUUGUAAGUACAGAGAUACUCAAUAGAUCUACAAAUUGGAUCACCAGAAAUUAGUCUGAUCGAUACCAAGUCAAUGAGUCAAUGCAAAAGGGAAAAAGGGGAAAGGGAAAUUAUGCUUUAUGUUUUUUCACAUCUUCUUCGGGGAAAUUUCGGUGUGAAAGGAAUCUUAUCCUUUUGAUUUUUUAACCGAAGCAAAUGCGAAGAAAAGGGUCAAGGUGGAAAAUUGAAUAGGACAAGGAUUGUCAGCCCUUCCACAUCUGGUGCUCUUCCGUGCCCUUUUGUUUAUGUUGUCACGGUUAAACCACAUUAACAUUUUAUAUUACUAUUUAUUUUUGUCUUAUUAUCUCUAUAAAAAAACAAUAUAAAAUGUUGACGUGACUUAACCGUGACCACACAAAACAGAAGGGCACGAAAGAACACCGAAAAUAGGAGAGCUGACAAUCCUUGUCCAAACUUAACCGUAAGACUUUUUGUAGUGAGCUACACCGGAUGACUUGAUAUAUUAUGACGAAAUAAACUAUUUAAAUAUACGGCUUACAUUGCGCAGUGCGCAUACUGGAUAAACAAUUAGCGCACCUGAUUGUAGGGAAUGGUGAUGCUCAUCGCUUAAUUUCGUUAUUGGAUUAGUUUAAGUUUUGAGGUUUGUGAAAUGGACAGAUAUAAAUUUUAAAAUUUAAACUCAGUCAAUAAUAAUAAAUAUGGUAGUGAGAAAAAAUGCACCAGUGACUUGUGGUUUAGAGACACACUCUCAAACUUAAAUAACAAUUUUCAUGCUUUCCAACAACACAAAAAUUUUAUAACUAAAAAUCAAUCAAAACAUAAUAAUUGAAUGAACGAAGAAAGCGUAUUAAAAUAAGGUUUUCUGACAUAUUUUGAGUGACACUUGCCACAAUAACGAAGAAAGCGUGGUAUUGUUGCACCUGCCAUAAAGUCAAGCUUGACAUUCUACAGUUGGAAGGCUAGCUGGCUGACUAGAAAUGGCCAGCCCGUUGGCUUGAUUUGGGGGUUUUGGCCAGAUGGGGCCCACAAGCCCUUUGGCCUAGCCUUCGAUUGAAGAUGGUUUUCGUGUCAUUCCGAGCUAUUUUUAGCCCUAUGACCUUUUGGCUGGGUCAGUUAGAGAUGGCUUUAGGUGCGGUGAUCGUAAUACCCUGAAAAUUUAAAUAUAUGAAUAUGUUGGGAAAAAUUGAAAAAAAAUCGAUUUAUGGUUAUGGAAAAUUUAAUUGAGAACUUUUAAAGUUUUUCCGGAAAUUAUUAUAAAUUACGUAUUUGUAUUCUUAAGAUUUUAUAUGAAUUUUCAAGAAUUUAUAAUAAUUUAAUUUAGUUUAGUUUUAAAUUAAACUAGUUACAAAGUUGGAAGUUUGGAAAUUAUUUAUUUAAAAUAUGUAGACCAUUCGAGGUCACAAUUUAUAUUUUUGAAUAGAGCUCGAUCUCAUGAACGCGUGGCGCAAACCGUUAGUAAAACGGAGUUCUAACGAAGAAGUUAUUAACAUUUAAAGUCAUGAAAAUUUUGGUAAUUUUAUUCAUUUUAGAAGGCUCCAGAAAAUCUAGAGCAAUGAGUUGUGCCACGUGUGUGGCUGGGAUGAAAACAAUUGGAGAGAUGGAUGGUUGUGAUUAAAGGAAAAUAAUAGAAAUGAGGGUAACCAAUGGGGAGAGAGAAUGAGGAGGGGAAAGGAGAAAAAGGAGAAGGAGGGGAACCCGACCCUCUCCUUCGACCCGGUUUUCUGACCCGAGCCCCACGCACACCCAACACCGAUUUCGGUGUUUUUUCCCGGUGAAUUGAGCGCCGCCACCACCCCUCCUGACUCCUCUCAUUGUCACGAACGGUAUCCGUCCACAUUUGGCUCAGUUUUGAUCAUGAUUUCAGAAGAAAAGGGAGAUGGACCCGUGAGGGUUUCAGAGUUUUCCGACGACAAAUCCGUCGUCUCCGGUCUCCACCGUUCCCACCACCACCACCUCCAGUUGAUUUCACUUGAACCCAGGAGCAAGGCCUAAGCACUAGCAGGGGCAUCGGAACAUCAAUGGAGUCGAAUCGAAUCCCACCAUUUCUAGGGUUUCCGGCGAGUUUGAGUGAAAUUGGGGCACUUCCACGCCAAAUUGGACUUAGCCAUAGGUAUGAAAUUUACUCCACUCACUGAGAUCUACUUGCCUGUAAAAUUUGGUAAUUUUUUGAAAUAGUUGAAUUUUCCGACAAGCCGGAGUGGCCAACCUCCACCCACGACUGCGGGUGCGGCGGCGCACGGUCAGGGAGCCGACAUUGUGUUAUUAUGCGAAUUUCGUUAUUCUAAUUAGGCUUUUGAGACCUAACUUCUGUGGUUUGAAUAUUAAUACGAUUGUGGUAUAUGUUGGAUUAAAUAAAUAUAUUCGGAUUUGGUUUGAGUUUUGGAAAUGUGAACUACGAAUGACUUGAUUCCUGUUUAGGGUACAUAGGUAGUAUAACAAGAUGUUAGAUGCAGCUAUACAAUAAGUUAGAUUAAAUAAACGAGACAAAGCUUUGAUUGAGAAAGUGAACUGAGUAAGGAGUUUGGAAUUUUAUUAUAAAAGGAAAUCUUAUGUUUUGUACAUAUAAAUUCUUGUUAUAAAUUGUGUGAACGUUUUAUAAAUUUAAGCAAGAAAUUAUGUAAUUAUGAUAAUUGGACAAUUGAGUUUGAUCUCUUGUUGGGAAAUAGAGUCGAUAUGAAGGUAUUGGUGUUGAAGUAAAAAUAUAAAUGUAUGUUUUGCUAAGUAAGUUUGGUGGAUACUUAUGUGAGUAGUUAGGAAAAUUUUUUUUUAAAGAAUAAAGUGUACCGAUAAUAAAUCAAACAAGAGAAGUGAAUUGGGCCUAUCAUUGGAAAUAUUUCCUGAAAAUAAAUAUUUCGGGGUUGGGGCGUUUCAGUGAUUGUCUUUGAGAUAUCGAAGGUUCUGUGUGAUCGAAUACUUCGUCCUCCUCCAGAGCCGCCACUGUUGAGAGGGUUACUUGCCUCAUGCAAACAUUAUGAAUUGUAAGUGAUGAAUUGUUCUGAUGAUGAGGUUUAUUUUUUAACUCAUUAUGUUUUGAGUUUAAACAUUUUUCCCUCUCUUUAAUGUAUAUAAGAUUAGUGUAAAAUAUUGUUCGUAAUAAAAAAAUAUAAAAAUGAUACAUUCUCAUUCAUAUAUAAGAUGAUCAAGUGUGGAAUUAAUACUUUUAACGAGUGACUCAAUUAACCAUUUUCAUUUCUUACGCAUUCAAAAUUAGACAAAUUCUUUGCAUACAUUUAAAAAAAAAAAGAUAUUCAGGAGACUUUGAAACUAUUACAUUACGGGAGAGGGAAUUUUGAACUCGGGACGCAUGAGUAGAACCCAAACGCUUCUCCACUAGGAUAUUAGACUAGUGCCGGUCCUGAAUUUUUUGGUGCCUGGAGCGAAUAAUGUGCCCUUUUCAAGUACAACAACAUAAAUUAAAAAGAAAUAUUUAAAGAGGGUUGGAACCCAGUCGAAGCCGGGGGGCUAGGCCCUCACGCCCAUAUUAUAUUACUCUGAAAACAAAAAAACAUACAACAUGGGAACAUAGUACUGAAACCUCGACAAUCAAAAGCAAAAUCAAAUACAACCACUCCAAGCAGUUAACAUAGCCAUCACAUAUUGAAUCCAAAAGGUUGACUACCCAUUCGCUGCAUAUAAUGUGCAGAAGAUAACAAAUUCUGAAGUGAUAUGCUCCCAAGUAUGAUAUUGGGCAGAAAAGAGCGGCGGCUUCAACCACUUCUUCAGCUAUAUCCGGCUGGGUGAGAGCAGCUAAAGACAUGAUUGUUCCCUAAUUACAUGAAUACAUGGAGUAAACACCAAAAGUAGCAGCAAGGGAAGGAGAUUUGAAGUAGAUGAAGAGGUGUGAAGAGUCUAAAGACCUGUGAAUGUCCAACAACAAAGACUUCGGAGCUUGUUGUCGAAUAUAUGCAGCGUAUCAUUUCUGACAGAUCAAAUCGAGCCAAUUCCUGCCAACUCCAAUCCCAAAAAUCCUACAGUAAAGCAUAAAUCUUAUUCUUUUCUGAUAAAGAUGUGCCCCUAACUCCAAUGUGUUUGACGCACAAUUCCUACCCAUACAUAGAAACCUUCAUCUGCAAAGACAAAUUCCAGCGAUUCUUCUGGAGAAUUUAAGAACCAUGCAUCACCUGGUUAGAGCCUAAUUUAAAAUGUAUCCGAUGGAUGUUCAUCAAUUUACACAAUAGUUAGUUUCAAGAAAGGAAAUUUCAACAGAACCUGAAAACUUCAGAUCAGGGGGCACCAAAUAGUGAGCUAUACAUUCAAAAUUUAAAAUAAUCAACUUAGUAGGACCAAUAUGUUGAAAAAAUUAGAAGGAGCUAUGAAAGUAAGGCUUUUCACUAAUCAGGCGUCCAGAGAAUCAAUAUUUUACUCACGUAUCAGUUACGGGGAACAAUCCCCACCAGAGCAAUCUCAUUAGUUCUUCACAUCUCAACCGUACAGAAAUUACACUAACAAACACGACUCCUGUUAGUCCUUCACAUCUCAAAUCCAGGAAGUACCCAUCUUUCGUCUGAAUCUGGAAAAUAAGCAGCACUCAAUUUAACAAUCUGGGUAUCUCAAAGUUACUCACUUUAAUCACAAAUUUAACAAUUAAACAUAUAAAUGGGCAUUUUCUAGUGAAAUAUUAGUAUAGUACUCACUGUGUGCUCGGAGCAAGAGCACCCAGAAAGCUCAAUGAGCUGUGCAGUGAGGGACUGUAGCGGUGAAUGACGGCAACCGAUUCUGUAAAAUUCAGUCGAGUUUUAGGCGAUUUCGGAGGUCAAGAGGCUGAUGAGGAAAGCUGGGACGGAAGGGCACUGGUCUGGAAGAAAGGCUCUGGUCGCCGCUGUCGCGAUUUGCAAAGGAAGAAGUGACAUUCUUCCAAAUAGGAAGAUGAAAUCGUUAAGGCUUUUAUUUAUUCCUCCUCUUGAUGCGCCCUUUUAGACUGCCAAUUCCAGACGAUCCAAUCUCAUAUAUCUUCCCUGCAAAAGCAUGUGUGCCAGACUUCAAGAUCAAAAUUUUCCAACAAAAGAAACUUAAAGAUCAAACUCGUUAGCGGAAUAAAUGGUGCACAAAGGGAGUUAAAAUCUUGACAGAUGUAUAUUUUUGGCAGAUUUUAUGUGAGCAUGCAAUUUUCUGUAGAACUUAAAAGCUGCAUAGCUGCUCUUGUUCGUUGUAUUGAAUACCAUGGUUUUACUGAUGAAUGCAGAGUUUGCUGACGAUUCAUACGACAAGCAAAUGAAUCAUCCACUGUAAUUUGCAGAGUUUACUGAUGAAUGCCCCACAUAUACCCAAAAAAAAAAAGUCAUUUAAACAAAUUCAGAGCGUUCAUCCACUGUAAUUUGCAGAUAUAGACACGUUAAGAUAAAAGGAAAUGCAAAGUACCUUUCACCCAAAUUGGAGGAGCAACGGUGGCAUUAGCAAGUUAGCAACGGGAAUUGACAUACCAACAUCUUCACAGUUUCUGCACAAGCACAAAUCAAUAGAAUCCGGCGGUGGAGUUAUGUACCUCUCCUUGGAAAAUGCCACCUCUUGGGAUUUCAAAAUAUGCGGCCGUGGCUAGCCAUCUGACAACGCCAAUUCCACCAAAGCCGCCGCAAUGGGGCAUAGUGUCCGAUUGAUUGCUUCAAACAGAGUACCCAAAACCCCUGAAAAUUAUUUCUUUAUUCAGAUAAUAAAAUUUCCCAAAUUUCGAAUUUUAAUUCCGUAUCAAAAAUAGGGUUUGAAUUUUGAUUACCUAGAAAUUGGAGGGUUGGGGCGAACACGGAGCGUGUCGGGAAUACCUACAAGGCUUUUGCAGUGUAUCAGAUUUAAAUACUGAAGCCCCGUAAGCCGUUCAAUCCAGGGGGAAAGCUCUUUGAUAGAUGUUCCAUCCAAGAAAAGCUCUCUUAAUCCUUCCAUAUCUUCUUUAAUGCUUGGAAACACCUCAAAUUUUGUACAACCGGAAAGAGAGAGAGAGACAAGGGACUUGAGCUGACAAAUGCUGCUUGGAAGACUCUUAAGUUCCUUGUAAUUUUUUAGUUUCAAAUGAUUCAAUCCUGUGAGAUUAUUAAUUGAUGAUGGCAAUUCUUUAAUUUUUGACCAUGAUAAAUCAAGAAUUUUUAACCCCUCAAUCACUUCUGAAAUAUCUGGAAACAUCUCAAGAUUCCAACAACCAUAAAAAUAAAAGGUUUUGAGAGAUUUCAUACGAAUGCUGCUUGGAAGACUCUUAAGUUUUUGACAAUUUGAUAGGUUCAAAUGAUUCAACCCCGUGAGAUUAUUAAUUGACGAGGGUAGUUCUUUAAUUUUUGACCCGGAUAAAUCAAGCUCUUCUAACCCCUCAAUACCUUCUGAAAUCGAUGGAAACAUCUCAAGGCUGGAGCAAUCAUAAAGAUUAAAGGUUUUCAGACACUUCAUAUGAAUGCAGCUGGGAAGACUCUUAAGUUCCUUGCAAUCUUUUAGGUUGAAAUGACUCAACCCUGUGAGAUUAUUAAUUGACAGGGGCAGUUCUUUAAUUUUUGACCAGGAUAAAUUAAGCUCUUCUAACUCCUCCAUACCUUCCGAAAUCUCUGGAAACAUCUCAAGACUAGAGCAGCGAGAAAGAUUAAAGGUUUUGAGAGAUCUCAUACGAAUUUUGCUGGGUAGAAUCUUAAGUUCCUUGCAAUUUGAUAGGUUCAAAUGACUCAACCCCGUGAGAUUAUUAAUUGAUGGGGGCAGUUCUUUAAUUUUUGACCUGGAUAAAUUAAGUUCUUCUAACUCUUUCAUACCUUUUGAAAUCUCUGGAAACAUCUCGAGACUGGAGCAGCCAAGAAGAUUAAAGGUUUUGAGAGAUCUCAUACGAAUUUUGCUAGGUAGAAUCUUAAGUUCCUUGCAAUGUGAUAGGUUCAAAUGACUCAACCCCGUGAGAUUAUUAAUUGAUGGGGGCAGUUCUUUAAUUUUUGAAUAGGAUAAAUUAAGUUUUUCUAACUCCUCCAUACCUUUUGAAAUCUCUGGAAACAUCUCAAGAUUGGAGCAGCCAGAAAGAUCAAAGGUUUUGAGAGAUCUCAUACGAAUUUUGCUGGGUAGAAUCUUAAGUUCCGCGCACCAAUUCAGAUCCAAUAAAACAAGGUUUGUAAGAGUCGAAAUAGACGCGUGAACCUCAACUAAGCUUAUACAACUUCGAACAAUUAGCCUCUCAAGAUUUGGCACAUUUGUGAAGUCAGGGGUUUCCUUAAGGGAUUGACAAUGACUUAAAUUGAUGAAUUUCAACUUUUCCUGCGUCUGUUAAAACAUUCAGGAAAACAUGCAUUACUUAAUAAGACAUCUCACUCAAAGCCCAAACAUUUAAAAGAAACAAAUACAUGUAAAUGAUUGUACGUACCUGGGUUCCUUCCCAAAGUCGAUCAAUGAGACUAUAUUGCAUGUCAAGUUCAACAAGAUUUUCGAAUUGAAAGUUGGAUGGCAAAGACUUGAGAGGGAAAUCAAGCCAGGAGAGAUACCUCAGGUUAAGCAACUUUAAGGACCCAAACAGGUAUUGUUUGCAGUACUCAUCUUUAAAAACGAAGUGCCUAUGACUGAUCUCGAGAAGUCUUUGUUGAGUCCUUCCAACAACAGCUUCAGCAUUUAAGUUCCUAUGAUGACUGAUCUUGAGAAGUCUUCGUUGAGUCCUUCUAACAACAGAUUCAGCAUUUAAGUGCCUAUGACUGAUCUUGAGAAGUCUUAGUUGAGUCAUUCUACCAAAAGCUUCAGCAUUUAAGCAUGGCCAGCCUGAGUACGAGAAAUCCACAAUUAUGCUUUCAACUGUUUUUGUAGCCUGUGCAAAUCAAAGUAAAGGAAAAUACAGAGAACCUUAGUUUUGAUUAUGAAAUUAAUGAUUGUUUCUUAAGGAGCCGUCUGAUAAUCAUUUCAUUUUCUGUUUAAUUGUUUUCAAUUUCAUUAUUACAACAAUGAAAACUAAAAAUUGAAAACAAAAAUGGUUAUCAAACGGGUCUAAGAAAUUGAUUUUGAUCAAAAGUUGAACCUUUCUACUAACAAUUGCAUAAGAAAAAUAUUUCUCACCGCAUUUUCAGUUAGCACCUGACGAACAUCUUCAUAACUCCACAACCUACUUCGUCUCCCAGGAUCUUUGAUAGAUUCUUGGCGGACAAUUUCCCAACCCAUUUCCUCUAAUGAAUCAUGCAUCUCCAAUUCCCCCAACCUUGAGACAGUUAUGAGAGAUCGAUCGAUUAGAACUUUUAUUCCUGUAUGAGGAUGGAAACCACAACUGUCCAGAAUUUCAGUUGCCUGGUCUUCCUUCAUCCCUUUAAAGAAACAUGCAAUAUCUAGAAAGAUGUCCUUCUGCGUGUCAUCUAGUCCAUCGAAGCUUGUUUUAAGCACAUCAUGAACUCCCCUUUGUGGGAUUUUCCUUAUUUUUUCCAACUCACCUUCCCACACGCGUAUGGUUUUUUUAUGCAAAAAAGCUCCCAAGACUUUGAGGGCUAAAGGCAGACCUUGAGCAUAUUCUACAACACGAUUCGAGAGAUCAUCAUAAUCUCUAGUGGGUUGGUCAUUUCUGAAGGCGUGCUGCCUAAAGAGUUUCAGAGCUCCAGAAUCACUCAAAGUCUUGGGAUUAUAUAUCACAUCAGCUAUGCUUAGUAACUGCGAAUCUCUACUUGUUAUAAUAAUCCUACUUCCACCACCAAAGGAAUGUUGCUCUCCAAGUAAAGCUUCAAUUUGUUCUAAUUUGUCCACAUCAUCAACAACAAUAAGAACUUUUCUCUGACCAAGGCUUUUUAACAUCACCUGGAAACCUUUACUCAAUAUGUCAGAAAUCCCCACCUUGUUGUCUGAGAUACUAGAUAGAAGUAGUGUCUGCAUAUGUAGUUCACCCUGCUUCAUGAAACCCUCCUUGACAUUUUUAAGAAAGCAACCAGCUUCAAAUCGACAAGAGAUUUCAUCAUAAACAGUUCUAGCGAUGGUUGUUUUGCCUAAACCACCCAUACCCCAUAUUCCAACAACGCGAACAUUAUUCGUUUCACCUCCGGGAGGAUAUAAUAAUAAAUGCAUUUCAUGCAUGUGAGAAUCCAUGUCAACCAAGCCAUUAUCUUUGCUUGAUGUUGAUGAGAUGUCUAUCAAUUUCCUAUAAACAUCUUCUACAAUUUCCUCAAUAAGCACCACAUCAUUCCUGUCAAAUUUAAAAAACAUAUAAUAACAACAUCAAAUAAUAAUUAAUGGGUCUUUUUCAUCUGUUAGUUAAAAAAAAAUAGAAAUUAAAACUAAAACUAAAAUCUAAACGUUACAAAAAUCCCAAAAAUUAAAAGGAAACUAAAACAAAUUAGAAUUUACUCAUAGUUUCGCGAAUCCCAGCCGGAUAAACAGGUGGCAGUUGUAAGAGUAGAUCUCCAACUCCGAACCUCUUCCAUUUCGGCGUUAGAAUCGCGAUCGUGCUCAGAAAAGCUUGUGCGAAACUUUUCUUGAGCUUACGAACAUGAGACGGAUCAACUUCAUAGAAAAUGGGGAGUACAAUCUGGUUAUUGGUAUCCUUGCAUUCCAGGAUUUGCACGAGUUCUUUCAAGCACCAAGUGGAAGAAGCAUAGUUUUGAGAGAAAACUACAAGCGAAAGCCUUGACCCUCGAAUCGCUGUCAGGAGCUCGGAAAGGUGGUCGCCUUUUCUGAGCUUUUCCGCAUCAAUGAAGGCGUUGAUUGGUUUCUUAACCAGAGCGUUGUAGAGAUGGCUGACGAAGCCCCUGCGAGUGUCUUCCCCUCUGAAAUUGAUGAACACAUCGUAUUUCCAACCAAGGUUAGAAGCAGCAGCCAUUAAUCGAUCGCACCUGGUCAGCGAUGAUCGAGCAGCUAAGACUAAGAAUAAUGUAAGAACAGAAAUACUCGAUUGAUCUAUAAAUUGAAUCACUGAAGAAACUGGUCUGAUCGAUACGAAGUCAACGAAGACAAAGAAAAUAAUGCUUUAUGUGUUUUCACAUCUUCUUCCGGGAAAUUUAACGAAAAUAAUUUUCCUUUAGGCAAAAUUGACUUCAAAAUAUAAAAAUAUUCUUUCAAUUAUGGACAUAUGACAUUUCGGUGUGAAACGAAUAUGCUUAUUUGGUUUGGUUUGGACCCAAGAAAGGACAAAGAUUGUCUGCCCUCCUACUUCCGGUGCCCUUCCAUGCCCUUCUGUUUGUGUAGUCACGGUUAAGCCACGUCAACAUUUUAUAUUACUAUUUAUUUUUGUCUUAUUAUCUCUAUAAAUAAGCAAUAUAAAAUAUUAACGUGGCAUAAUCGUGACCACAGAAAACAAGAGUUGGCACCAAAAAUAGGAGGACAAACAACCCUUGUCCCCCAAGAAAAUGCUAAGAAAGGAUGGUUUAGCAGCUGUGCAUGAGGGGACUGGGUCAAAGUACCCUGUUGAAUCCACUCUUGCCUACCCAACAACUUAUUUAGUUAUUUGUAAGCCCGAAAUAUAUCCCGAUCUUUCUAUUCACACCAAAAGUAAGUAGAGUGAUAAGAAAUAUUUCCGGUUAAGUAUAAGCAUGUCAGUCUGCAGCAGCAUAGCCACGUUAAGGGCUACCGUGGGCUGUAGUCUAUGUAAUUUUCAGUGAAAAAUAAAAUUUUACAUGUAAUUUUUAUUGAUUUUCAAAUAUACUUCUUCAUAUAUACAGUCUUUAAUCUGAAUUAUCUCAUUUUAAUUAUAUAAUUAUAUAAUACAGUUUACAAACUGUCUCUUUUUCUUACAUCAUUUUUCUCACCGCUUCUUGCACAUGUACAAGUUUGGAUUUUGUUUGAAUUUUAACACGUAUUUGUUUAAAAACGAAAAUCCUUGGCUUACAUAGUGAAAAUUUUCUUAAGUUAGCUGAUACUUUGAAAAAUACAGGAUCAAGUUUCUUUGUUUAUAAAGAUUUAAAUCUUUAAGCUAGCCCACCCGGUGAAAAAUUCCUAACUCCGUCAUGCAUUUUACAUAUAAUUUUUAUUGAUUUUCAAAUGUAGUCCAUCAUAUAUACCGUCUUUAAUCUGAAUUCUCUUGGUUUAAUUAUAUAAAAUUAUAUAAUACAGUUUACAAACCGUCUCUUUUCUUACAUCCUUUUUCUCACUGCUUCUUAUACAUGUACAAGUUUUGAUUUGUUUGAAUUUUAACACGUAUUUGUUUAAUAACGAAAAUCAUUGGCUUACAUAGUGAAAAUUUUCUUAAGUUAGCUGAUACUCUGAAAAAUACAAGAUCAAGCUUCUUUGUUUAUAAAGAUUUAAAUCUUUAAGCUAGCCCCCUGGUGAAAAAUUCCUAGCUUCGCCAUUGAGCAUGUGGUAUAUCCUAUGAUAUCAUGGACGGCAAACGAGCGAUUAAUGGUUGUUUGGCAUUUAAUUUGAUGUCACGGUAGUAACGGUACUCUAAAAUCUUUGAUAUACUUGCUUUCAGCUACAAAACUACUAGAACUCCGAAAAUUGCUUAUGAAAAUAAAAAUAUUGACUAGAUUUGAACUUGUAUAAUCUAUGUCUUCACUACACAUUGUUGUGUUCGCUCGUGUUCUAAAGUUGACGCUAGCUAGAAGGUCACAGCAAGAAGCAGAGGAGGCUAACUAUUGCAGAAAUUUGUUUAUUCAAAAGCAUUUGUAAAAACACAUAUUGAAAUUAAUUCACGCCAAAAAUAAAUAAUACAGUGGUGGCAGGCACACUACAACAAUAGGGUUUUAACCCUAUGCAUUUUUAUAUUGGCUUUUGUGUUAUCAGUUGCGACCGCUCGGUGGAGAGAGCAUUUUAUGUUAUGAAUAAAAAUACCACUGCGUAACAAAAUAGAAGAUUAAUGGUUGAGUGAUAGCUGGUUUGUUUGCAAUGAGAGAGAUGUUUUUGCUUUUAUUGAUAAUGAAUCUAUAUACGCGAUGUUUUCAUAGCAUAAAACAUCGCCGACAACAAUUGUAACUUUUUGUGUUGAUAAAUUAGGAAAGACAUUAAUAUUUUCUAAUAUCUAAAAGAAUUUGGAUGUCUACAUUUUUUUGGAAAACUUUUUACCCUUCUAAAUUUCGCGCCUCUCCCGACAAUUCCUAGCUUCGCCACUGCUAUAGUCAACUCCAAGUCUUGUCCAUGAUAUCAAUAUCCCUACUGUAAACGGUGACUUCAAUAUAAGCUAACAAAAAGUUUGUAUAGAGAAGAUAUAUGCAUGAAAAAAUGGCAGUGUUUGUGUUGCCGAACGGAUGAUACUGAAAUACCUAAACCCAAGUCAAGCUCCUUUAGUCCACAAAAACAAAAGUUUAGAAUACAAUAAUGUUUGCAUAUAGAUUGGAGAAACGACAUACCACCGGCCAGGAAGGUGCAGUGAAAGAGAGAGGAAAAGAGGAAAGAAACAAAUACGAAAUGACAAAGACUAUCAAAUAGAUUAUAACAAUGACUUCUUAGCGGUGAUCACAACUAUUCAACUAUCGAUGAUGCUUUAUUUUAGAUUGAGAUGUGGAAGCAUCUGAGAAGUAGCAUGUCAACAACCAUUACACAAUAAUAUUGUCUAAUAUCUAAAAGAACUUGGAUAUCUACAUUUUUUUAGAAUCUUUUACCCUUAUAAAUUUCGCACCUCUUCAGACAAUUUCUAGCGUUGCCGCUGCUUCAGUCAACUCCAAGUCCUAGUGGUUCUUGUCUAUGAUAUCAAUAUACCCAUUGUAAAUGGUGAUUUCAAUAUACAUAGAGUGUGUACAGGGGAGAUAUAUGUAUGAAAAAAUGGCAGUUGUUGUAUCUGUGUUGACGAACGGAUGGUACUGGAAUACCUAAACCCAAGUCAAGCUUCUUCAGUCCACAAAAACAAAAUGUUUAUUAUAUAAUAAUGUUUGCAUAUGGACUUGCGAAACAACAUACCGCCGGUUGGGAAGGUGCAAUGAAAGAGAGAGGAAAGGGGGAAAUAAACGAACAAGAAAUGACAAAGGCUAUCCAAUAUAUUAUAAAAUGACUUCUUGGCAGUGAUUAAGCUAUUCAAUUAUCAAUAAUGCAUUAUUCUUAAAGUUUAUAAUAUAAUAAUGUUUGCAUAUGCACUUGCGAAACGACAUAUCGUCGACUGGGAAGGUGCAAUGAAAGAGAGAGGAAAGGAGGAAAUAAACGAACAAGAAAUGACAAAGACUAUCCAAUAUAUUAUAAAAUGACUUCUUGGCAGUGCUUAAGGUGUUCAACUAUCAAUAAUGCAUUAUUCUUAGGUUGAAAUGUGGAAGCAUCCGAGAAAUAGCAUGGUAACAACCACACAAUAAACAAAAGUGAUUAGAGAAAAGAACCAAAUGUGAAAGGAUAAUUAAAAACAGUUAUUCAAGAUCGGCGGUAAAUCAUUCAGCUAUUUACAAGAUUUGAACUUAGAACCGCAAUCUACUAGAUUGUUGUAUCAACUAUUAAGUGGUGUUCUAAUAUAAUUCUUAGGAAUUUCAAGGAGGCAUAUGGGGGUGGAUCAUUUUUUUUCUAAAUUCGACAGUACAAAGAAGAAUUUAAUUGAUAACGGAAAAAAUAAGUUACAUAUAGAGCUGGAGCAUAUAAUAGACCCAAAUUGACCAUUUUUAGGCUCCACUGCUAAGAACUAUUGCAAAAUGCUCAUUAGGAUUACCCUGUGAACUCCGUCCUUCCACACCAAGCCUCCAAACUCAGUCCGAUAUGUUGCAGCUAGUUUAGAUACUUGUCCCCUGCAUGUUACAGAAUCACAAGAGCAAGCUUACAAAACUGCAGUUUUUACUCAUAGUUAUUGCAAAUGAAAAUACAGGUUGGUGCCAGCAAUUAUCAGUGUAAUUCUCUAUCCGACGGUAUUUCUCUCGCCUUCUCUUGAUAAUUUCGGAUGUGACAUGUUUAAGAUAACUCUUCCAAACACGUUGCUUAUGCCUAAUUUUUAAUACCACCAUAUCAUAUCAUAGUAAAUCCAAAUAACUAUCGAAUGGCAUUUAGGCAUCUAGAAUAUCAAAUGCAUUACUUUACAUUGAAAAUUCAUUUAUUCAAUAGCAUUAAUACACUAGUAAAAAAAACACUUUGCACGACGUAGGUCCUUCGUCGCGCAAAGUCAAAACAUGUCGCGCAAAACUUUGCCCAACGAACCUUCGUCACGCGCAAACCGUCGCAGCAAGGCAGUGACAUAAGGCUUUGCACGACGAAGGGUUACAUGCAUCGCGCAAAGCCACUUUGCGCGACGCAUGUAACCCUUCGUCGCGCAAAGCCAUUUUGUGUGAUGCAGGCUGCGUCGCUCAAAGUGGCGUCACGCGAAGAUGCUUUGCGCGACACAUGUCAUUGAGUUGCACAAAAUGACUUUGCGCAACGUAACCUACGUUGCGCAAAGUGUAUUUUUGGUUUUGGUCAAAAAUAUUAUUUUCUUAAUUUUUAAUAAUGUUGUAAUUAAAUUCUAAACAAUAAUUAAUUAACCAAAAAAAGUAUUUAAUUAUAAAAUAUAUGGAAAUGUACAUACAAGAUGUCCGAAUAAAAAAGAAAAAACUACAAGUAGUCUUCUAGGUGAAGUGGCUACUGGGUAUCAACAUGGUGAAGUGGCUUCUAGGUGAAGUAACAUUUCGAUGACGUGAAAAAGUUUCAAUUGGUCAUCUACAAGUGUCAAACCUAACACAUUUUACUUAAAAAAGAAAAAGGUAAUAACAUAACUCAAAACGAAAAGCAAAAGGGAAAAAAAAAAACUUUGCGCGACAUAAGUACAUAUGCAUCUCGCAAAGUUUUUUUUUCCCCCUAUUGCAGAUACAAAUAACAUCAUCCUUUUGCAAGAAUCAGUCUCUGCCCUCUCGCCCUCCCUCUCCCGCUCCCUCUCCUUCUCCUUCUCCCCUGUGUAGUUGUUGGUUGUGUUGUACGAAGUCGUCCCUCUCCCUCUCCCAUGUGUUGUUGUUCGUUGCACAAAGUAUUUUGCCCGAUGCAGGUGUACCUACGUCCCGUAAAGAUUUUUUUUUUUGCCCUUUUGCUUAUGAGUACAAAAUAAAUAAAUUAAAAUCUACUUACUAAAUCAACUAUGGAGCUUUUGACUUGUGUUAGAACACUGGAAAGAAAGACAAAAAGAGACAUUUUCAUGUUGACUUUGCACGACGCAUAGUACAUCAUGCGUCGCGCAAAGCUGUUUUGAGUGACGUAGUGUACCUGCGUCGUGCAAAGUUGGAAAAAAAACGGUAAAACAUUCUUGGUUUGGCCCCAAAAUCUUGCGCGGCGCACAAAACGUCGUGCAAGUGGUCUUUAUGCGACCAUACUUUGCGCAACGAAGGAGUGCGUCGCGCAAAACAGUUUUGAACGACAUAGAUGUACCUUCGUCGCGCAAAACAAUUUUGUGCGACCCACUCCUUCGUCGCACAAAGACCACUUGUGCGACAUCUUGUGUUUAGCGUUGCACAAAGUAUGUUUGCGCGACGAAAUUUGCUACGUCACGCAAACAUGUUUUUGUACUAGUGAUAACACACACAUUGAAUCUCCACUUGCCCACCCAAAAACUUCUUUGUAAACUAGAAAUAUAUUCCAAUCUCCCUAUUCACAUGAAGAGUGAGUUAGAGUGAUUGGAAAUAUCUUUGAUUACGUGUACGCACACCACAUAUGUGCCAUAUCCAACGGUAUUGCGGACAUAAAGCAAGCAAGUAAUGGUUGUUUGGCUUCUAAUCUGAUGUCACGGUAGUGACGGUACUACUUUGAAAUCUUUGAUGUAUAUGUUUUUAACUACAAACUACUAGAACUUCACAAAUUGCUUAAAUACAAGUUCAAGCAAUAAUAAGAAUAUUUCCAAUAGAACACCUUUCAUAGGGCCGGUCCAGAAAUUUUUGAGGCCCGGGACGACGUAAAAAAAAGUGCCCUAACUUCAUGUAAGAAAAUUAUUUAUUUUCACACGUAAGACAUCGAUAAAAUUAUACUUAGAAAAACACUUCAAACUUAAUAAUUUAAAAACACAUAAAGACUAAUUUAUUUUGUAUUGAGAGAGGGAAACAACAAAACUUCGGGCUUACAAGUAGAUAGAUGAUGAGUUUUGUUUUCCAUCUGAACUUUGAAUGUGUUUUUGAAUAAAUCAUGAGGUGUUUUUUUCUUAUUUACUAAUCUUGUCAAUAUGGGACUAUAAAAAAAUGAUGUUUUCGAGUCUUUAAUUGAUAUGUAUUAUUAAUGAAUUGGCACUAAAUUAAACAUUUUGAUGACAUGUCAUAUAAUUUGCAAAUUUGGUCUACGUAUUAUUCUUUGUUGAAGAUUAGACUUGAAUUAAAACGAAUAUUUAAAAAUAACAACCCACAUAUCUACUAGAUAGUAACUAAAAAUAAAUUAACAACCAAACAAAAAUUUGUAAAAAUUGAAAAGAAUAAACAUGCACAUAGCACUUCAAACAAAAAUCAUUGUUUCUAAGGGGGGUGUAUUCAAUUGAGAAUGUGAAAGAUUUUAAUGGAUUUAUAAAUCCAUGGAUUUUUAUGGAGUUUAAUUGAUUUGUAGAGAUUCCAUAUAAAAUUUUGAUUCAAUUCCUUCGAAAUCUCAUGGGAAGAGGUGAGAUUUGUGGAUACUUAAAAUACACUACGAAAUCUCUCCAAUUCCCUCUAAUUCUUUAACUUUCUCAAAUUCUUUAAAAUCAAUUUCUAAUUGAAUACACUUGGAAUGUUAUAAACUUCUUUAAAAUCUUAAUUGAAUACACCUGGAUUUCUAAGGAUUUUAAUAAACUAUUUUGAAAUUCUAAUUGAAUACACCUAGAAUUUCAGAGAAUCACUUAAAAUCCUAAUUGAAUACCCCUGGAAUUAUUAAUUCCCUGAAACUCUCUCAGAAUCCUAAUUGAAUACACCCCUCUAAGUAGACUUCUUGAUCCUUUUACCAAAUUUUAUAAAUUUAUUCUCUUAUGAAAAGAAAUUUGUAAAAAAUGAAAUGUAAAUAAGCACACAUGGUGUUUUGAACCCAAUACCUCCUCAUUAUUUUCAAAUGACAAACCACCACUUCUAGUUAAAUUUCUAUGUCUUUGAACCAAAUUUUAUAAAUUUAUACUCUUAUAAAAACAUACAUAAAUUGACACACCCCAUCCCGAAGGAGGGCAUGCUGGCCGUCACGUGAGAGUGACGUAACCAUUUGCACAGUACGGAAGCUUUAAGAUACAAUUUAUAAGUUGAUACACCCGAAGGUGAGUCCUAAUUUUGUCCAAUCUGUCAGAACACCGUCGAAUUCCUCGUAGUCACCACACCUUUGUGAUUCUUGAACCUGGAGGGGCGCAAAACCAAAAUUGAGUGGGUCAGUAAAACAAUUCUUUUCCAAAUCCAAACAUUUCUCAAAACGUUGUAACCCCUCUCCGUAAAACCUGUAUACUUUCCCAGAAAUGUAAAAUAUAAAUAUACAUAUAUAUUCUCAAAACUUCAUUUUUACUAUCUCAACAUUUUUCUUUAUCAAUCAUGCCAUGCCAUGUCUAAUUCAACAGUUAAAUAUGGAUGCAUCAACAAUAAUCAUAUCAGGUGCAAGAAAGUAAUCAACCGGAGGCCCUCUAAUAGCCCUGUACGGUUGAACCUAGAGCUCAAAAUCUAUCACUAUCACUCUACCGGAGUCACCUCUGUGACCCGUCCGGCCUUCUGCACACAAGUUAUGCUCUAGUGCUUUCUCAUCAAUCAUCUGUGCACAUAAUCUAAGGUCACCCACCAGUCGGAAUCUCACUAACACUCUCGCGACUGGCCUGUCGUACCCACUCCGCGUGGACUGUACGACUAGCAUCUACUUGGAUCCAAGGCGAGCGUGCGAUGCGGUGAAUACUAUAAGCACUAAACCAUUGGUGCAGGAUUUGAGCUCAAUAUAUAUCAACAUCAUCAUAACAGUAAUUAAAUACUCACCUGAUACUCACCUGUGCGUCCGCCGCACCAUUCAUUCAUAUGCAUCAUAUCUCAAUUCAUACUUUUCAUAUCAUUUCAUGCAUGGCAAUUCGAUUCACAUUUCUAUAUACUUUUCAUAUACUUUUAUGCAUGGCAUUUCAACUAAUAUAUCUCAUAUACUUUUAUACAUUUUCAUUAAAAACAUAAUUUCAUGCAUUUUCAAUUUCUGGGAAACGGCAAGUAUAUAUGUAUACGGAAAACAAAACUGCCCACUCACCUGGAGUUCGCCCUACAACUCCCUAGCACAAUACGCCAAGGCGUCAUGACGAUCGGCGCCUAAAAACAAUAAUUAAUUCCAACCUCAGAAUUCAUAGUGAUAGAAUAUAUAACUUAUAUAAAAUACGUCACUACGUAGUUCGAUCCGGAAGAUCUGCCACUCAGAUUUUAAAUCCAUAACUUCCAGAGGUCCACAAUAUACCUCUAGGACAACUUCCUAAAAUUUCAUUACCAUCCAACGGUCGGAUCUCCGUCAAUUUCCAAAACUAAGUGACGGUUAACAUUUUAUUUUAUGAACUUACAAUUCCAAUUCCGGAAGAUCCGUAACUCGGAUUCCCAAUCCGUAAGUUCCAAUAAUCCUCAAAUAUUACGUAUUACAACGUAUCAAAGUUUGGUAACGAUCCAACGGUCGGAUCGUCAAUUCACAUUUUCACCAAAACUAUAAAACGUUAUUCGAACACCUAACCAACAAUCCUUAAUAACUUUCUCAUACGGUGCUCAAAUUGGGUAUAUGAAUAUACCACGGUGAUCUACUCGACGUCACGGACGUCGACAUAUUUUUAAAAUAAUUUUAUUUAUUUAUUUUUUUUAACUGUAGCACCUUCUUCUUCCUUGGGUCGCCGGACUGGUUUUUCCGGCGGCCGUUUUCCGGGCAGUUUUUCAAAUUGUCAUAACUUUGUCAUUUCUCAACGAAAUCAAGUGAUUCAAAAACGAAAGUUGUAGCCCUUGAAGAGACAAAGAGAAUGGUACCUUGCACAACACCUAGUUCGCCGUGGUUUGGCCGGAAACUGCCUCGAAAGCCUCGGAGGUCGCCGGAAACUGGGUAUUUUUCAAAUGAGUAUAACUUCUUCAAUACUCAACGAAAUUGAGUGAAACAAAAAGGAAAGUUGUAGUACUUGACGAGACGAAGAGAUUGAUACCUACCUCGACUCCUAACUCGCCGGGGAUUCGCCGGAAAAUGCCUCGAAGCUCCGGCCAAACUUUGAACUUGUCGAUCUCCGUGUUCUUACGUCCAAAAACUUCCAACGAAGCACUCCGAGCUUCCUUGGAACCUCACUAAGCUCACUGUGAGCUUGGAUUGUCCUAAAACAAAGUCAAUUCGAAGAUCAUGAACAGUGCACUUUCACGGGGAGUUUAGAAUCUAGGUUUUUCCGAAGUAAAACUUACCUGAAAUUGGUGUCUACGUGAUCGUGGAGUCUCCAGGAGUUCGAUGGUGGUCUUAACUCCGUCGUUGGUAUAGAUUUAGGGUGGUUUUGGAGCUCGUCUGUGUGAGUUUGAAGGAGAGGGAGAGAGACAGAGAAUGAGAGAUUGUGAGGGAGGAGAGAGAGACAGGGUACGGGAAAUAGGGAGGGAUUUGAGGUGUGUGGUCCUACCUAACCCCAAAUCAUAAAAUUCCAUCUCCAAAUAACUUAGAAACAUAUAUUUCACCAAUAUAUGAUUCACAUAUCUUAAUCACGUUUAAGGGAAAUUCCGUCAAUUUACAAUCACGAGUGUAAAACUUUGGGACGGGCUGUGACAUAAAUAUAUCACCCUAAUAAUUUUGGUGCCCCUAAUUUUUCUGGGCCCUGGACGGUCGCCCUGCCUACACUGGGCCUAGGCCGACCCCCUUUCACAAUCCCUGGAGAGCUAGUUCAUUAAUAGACCGAGGAAUAAGUAAAUUGACUCAUUCAUAUAUUUAGAUCAUGAAUGUUUGGAAUCCAUAUUAUGUAAGGAGACAUUGCUUUUGCUAUUAUGAAAUUUAAAAAAAAAAAUGACUAGAUUAGAACUUGCAUAAUCUACGUUUUAUUCAUGGCAUGCGAUUAUUAAUGAUUAAAGCUAAGCUUAAUACUAUGGGAGGUAAAGUAGUGGAAAGCAAAUCCUUGGCACUCAUGGCACUUAUGGAGAAGAUGAAGAAAAGAAACCUAGGUCGUAUUUAUAUACAAACAUGUGACUAAAUUACAGAAAUGAUAACGAGAGAGCAUGUGAUUGUUGACAACCAGUGACAUGAGAAACACACUCUGGGAUCAUAUCCAUCAGAAGCCCAAUUCCAUCCUGUGUAAGAAAGAGAGCAUGAGAACACGAACAUGAAAAAUGAAAGAAUUGUAUUCAGCAUUUUGUCAAGCUAUCAAUUGGUACACAAGCAUUAUGAUGUAAUAAUCAUGUUAAAAUAAAAUAUAAAUAGUAAAACUACACGUCCAAGCUUUAAUCCAAAGAAUUCUCACUUAGUAGUCCAAAGCUAAUUGAUUACCAUUCGGUUGAUCCAGAAACACUCAACCUAUCCAACUAUUUUGCGACGUUACCAAAAACUACUACUACUUUCCAGGUGAAACAUGAAGGGUGAAAAAGCAAACAUGAAUCACUAGAUUUACUACAAAUGAUAUACCGAACAAUCUAACAGUAAAUAUCAACAAGACCAAUCCAACGUUAUCACAAAGCAUAUAUCAAUAAGAAAAAUAUAAAAAUAUUGUUACCUUACUGAAAGCUCCAAUAUUCGGUAAGGUAACAUUGGAGGUCACUAUCAUCUUUCCCGCGAUCAGUGAAUAAAAGCCAAAGAUCUGACUCUUGGAUUCGAGUCAUGGGUUUGGGUCGCAAUUCUCUCGUCGCAUGUUUGAAUACCAAGUUCAUCUUAACAGACUUGGUUUUUUUUAUCAAACAUCUUAACAUAUUUAGGGGUGUGUUCAAUUGGGGAUUUAAGAGAUUUUAAUAGAUUUAUAAAUUUAUAGAUUUAUAUGGAGUUUAAUUGAUUUGUAGAGAUUUCAUGUAAAAUUUUGAUUCAAUUCCCUCGAAAUCUCAUAAGGAGAUGUGAGACUUGAGGAUGUUUAAAAUACACUACGAAAUCUCUCCAAUUGAAUUCCUCAACUUUUUCAAAUUCUUUAAAAUUAAUUUCUAAUUAAAUUCAAUUGAAUGUUGUAAAAUUCUUUAAAAUCGUAAUUGAAUGCAUCCAGAUUUCUAAAUAUUUUAAUAAACUAUCUUAAAAUUCUUAUUUAAUACAUUGAAUUUUAGACAAUUACUUAAAAUUCUUAUUGAAUACCUUUAGAUUCAUUAAAAAAUUUAAAAUUUUUCAAAAUCCCAUUUGAAUACAUCACCCUUAAUAAAUUGUACAUUACAUUAUAUCCCAUUUGAGCACAUUAGCUUAUGCCUCCGGAUUCUGCAUAUCGGGUCGGGUUCCGAAGUUCGAGCUCACAUUUGAUAAUCAAAUUCAUCACAUUUGAUCCAACGGUGGUAAUUGGCAAACCCACCUCGGAGUCAAAAGAUGCGGCCCACGCUCCCUCUCUUUUCCAAAACCCUAGCAAAACCUCGGCCCUAUAAAUACCUUCCACAUCCGCCGCAGGAGGCACCCAAAUGCCCCUUUCUCUUCCCUUUCACACACUAAUCCCUCGCAGAGGCGAUGGGAUUCCCAGUUGCUUCUCCGUCGGAGAAACCUUUCCAACUGCUCCAUCUCUUUGCACCAUCGCCUCUGUUUCUUUUUUAUUUAUUUACUUAAUUAUUUGAGCAAUUUCCUUUAUCCUUGCCAUUCAUAUUUCAGAUUUUCAGCUUGUUUUUUUUUAUCCGAAAAAUAAAAUCGAAGUUGUAUGAGUUUUUUGCAAUUUUGUUGGGUGAGGCCGGUGAUGAUCGAAACAUAUUUUGCCUACAUUGCUUGAUUAUCUUAUUUUAUUGAGAUAAUGAUAAAAUCCGAUGUAUCUGAGGCCUUCCCGGAAGAACGAGCUUUAUUUUAUUUUUUAUUUUUUGGGUAAAAUGUAUUAUUUCAAAUCUUAAUAUUUCAAAAAACUGAAUUUUUAAAUUUCGACUAAAAUGAUGAGUUUUGUUGAUAUUUGCGAUAUAUCACUUAAAUAGUGAAGAAAUUCUUAAUUUCGUCUUAUUAAAUAUGUCAGAUUUUGUUUGAUAUUUUCUCGAUGUCAGAAGUCGAACUUAGAACUCUUAACCAUAAGAAUUGAAUUGAGCUACACUGGAUGCGUUGGAGAAAAUAUUAAUAACUGAAGGAGGAUUUAUGUUAUAACAAAAAUAAAAUAAAAAUGGUAUUCCGGUGCCAGGAUUCGAACCUGGAUGAAAACUCUUAACCAAUAAGACUUUUUGUGGUGAGCUUCACCGGACGACUUGAUAAAUCAUGGCGAAAUAAACUAUUUAAAUGUACUCCUUACGUUGUGCCGUAGAUAAACAAUUAGUGCACAUAAUGUAGUUAUCUGAUUUGUGGGGAAUGGUGAUGCUCACCGCUUAAUGUCGUCGUUGGAUCAGUUUAAGUUUUGAGAUCUGUGAAAUGAAUAAAUACAAAUUUAAAAAUUUAAAUUUAUUUAAUAAUAAUAAGUAUGGUAAUGAGAAAAAAAUGCAUCUUAUGGUUCAGAAACACACUCUCAAAUUUAAAUAACAAUUUUCAUGCUUUCCAACAACACAAAAAUUUUAUAACUAAGAAUCAAUCAAAACAUAAUGAUUGAAUGAGCGAGGAUUUCUUUUAUUUUUUCCAAAUUUUCUGAAGGUUUUUUCUAUAAAAUUUAUGGUGUCAUGAUUGCCUUAAAAGAAUCGUAAAUGUGUUCCUUGAAAAAUAAUAUGAAACCGUAUUUUGAGUUCUUAUGUUUAUUGUUUUAAUUCGAUCUAUCGUUUGAAGCCGCCUCCACCAAAAUAAAUUCAUAUCUAUAUUUUUUCUAUAACGAGUGAUUAAUAAAUCCAACCGUUUUUCAGCACCACAAAAUAAGUUACAACCCGAACACUAACGAGCGAUUAAUGGGUCCAACCGUUUUGCCACAUAUAUAUUUUCUUUUUAUCAAAACAUGCAAAUAUCUUCUUUACCAACUUGAAUCUCCCAUCGUUUGUUUUCUCUUCAUCCACAGAUUUGAUCUGUCUUUUUUGGUGAUCAAACCAAAAUUUUCUUGGACAUGAUUGUACAUACAACCAUUAAUAAACUAUCUCCAACAAAAGCCUAAACAUAGCCUCGUCCAAAAUUAUAGUCUUGCAAAAAAAUAUUUUUUUAAUAAACGAUGUCAAACUAUACUCAUGUACUAUCUUUAACCUGUAUGAAACCUUAAAAUGUAGUGAGCUUCAUCAGUUCAUGUUUAGUGCAAUUAUAUAGAACAAAAUGGUUGUAUUUCAUUUAGGAUUAGGACUUAUAUGUGUGACUUGUAAGGGAUUUAGAGCCACAAAGGAGGGAAACUUGAAGUUACAAUUAUUUGAAUUUGGCGACAGUUAAUCGAAGGAAAUUGCUUGUAACUGCAUCCUUGAUGGGAGGAUGAGUUGCGGAACGUACAUAUAUAUAUAUAUAUAUAUAUAUAUAUAUAUAUCACUUUGAUCUCUCUUCUUAGGUGUGUGUGAUCCCUCACGUAGAAAUAGUCCCAUUGAGUGUUCUUGGAUCAAUUUUGUGACCAAAGGAAGAGAAGAUAUCACAUCCUGGCCCGGGACGGACCACUUCCCGGGCCCACUCCACCACCGUAGCACGAUAUUGUCCGCUUUAGGCCCCGAUUAAGCCUUCACGGUUUUGUUUCUGGAAACUCACGAGCAACUUCUUAGUGGAUCACCCAUCAUGGGAGUGCUCUGCCCACCUUCUCACUUAACUUCGGAGUUCAGACAAAACCCGAAGCCAAUGAUCUCCCAAAAUGGCUCGUGCUAGCUAGGGAUGAGAAUAUACAUUUAAGGAUCACUCCCUUGGACGAUAUGGGAUGUUACAGAAGACAAAUGAUCAAACUUGUUGUCAAUGUCUUCUUCUACAAGUAAGUAAAUUCUCAUUACUUGUUAUAAUCGCUGCAUGCAUAAUGACACAAUAAAUGCAACAAUUAUCAUUCAAUGUUAAGAUUUCUGAACUAGGAUCAUGGUUUAAUUGUUAAUGAUAUAUAUAUCCAAGCAUAACCGAAAUAGCUAAACAUAGCCCCAUAAUAAUUUAUUAUUUUAAACCUUAUACUUUAAAUUAAUUAAUUAAUUUAAUUUAAUUAUCAUUGUAUGUUUUCAAAUUUAGCCGUUUAAUUUGAAUUAAUUGUUGCAACUGAGGAGCUGGAUCCCCAAAAAGGGCUAAGAGGGGUUCUAUAUUUGACCAACUUGAUACCCCUUAGGCUAAUAAUCAUCUGGUGGGCUCCAUAAAAUUAUAGUCUAGUCAUCGGUUGGAAAUAAAUUUUUAGAUAAAUCAAGGUCAUUUUUAGUUUUUAAACCUUUAGUCAUCUCAAUUGAAAAUGACCUUAUGUCUUUAUACGAUGUGCCUCCUAUUUCCAGCUUCAACUCCAACUGAAGGAUGUAAACGUAAUUAUCAUCUAUAGAGAUUCAUCAGAAUUUGAGGGGUUAGAUGACCCCUACUUGCCUCUUAAUGGAUUGGCCUAGGGGUGGGCAAACGGGUAUAGGAACCGCGGGUCGGGGCGGGUACGGACCGGUUCUUAUUUUGUAAAAAUAAAAAUGAGGCGAGGUAGGGCGGGCUUUUGAAAUUUUCGGUUCGGGCUGGUUCCUGAAGUAUGGUAGCGUUUGGUACGUGGGACGGGACGGGACGGAACGGGACGAGCCGUUCCGUCCCACGUUUAGUGCGCCUAAAAACUGUGGAACAGGUUGUUCCAUGGGACAAAAUUUGGCUGAUUUUUCGUUCCACCUCUUCCCCCUGGAACGACCCGUUCCACAUCUGUGGAACACAAAUUUAUAACAUUUUAUGACAAAAUUUCUCCUUAUCUUUUUCAAUAUUUACAUCAUCUGUUCCGUCCUGUUCCAUCUCGUCCCGUCCAGUCCUGUUCCGUCCCGUUCUGUCCCAUCUGCGUACCAAACGGUACCUAUAGGAACCGCGGUUACCCGGACCUGCCCGUUUGUAGUUAGAAUGGACGUAUAAGAUUGAAGAGAUCAUCUCUCCAUCCAAUCUGAAUCGUUGGUUUUAGGUUUGCUCAUCCUCAAACUUAUCGAAUUCAACUGUCACUCUUACUCUGUUGAUCGAGUCUCUCUCGCCGUCUCCAGUGCGUCGUCUCCUUCCCUCCACCACCCCGACAACACGACGGCCCAGACGACCACCAUCUUCUCGAUUUGUCACCUCUCUCUCACCUCUCUCUCGCCAUCUCGAUUUGACAUCCCAAGGACCCAGACUUACAUAACCCAGCCACCCCACCACCCAUCUUCUCGAUUUGUCACCUCUCAUUUGCCGUCUCGAGUGUGUCUUCCCCUCCUUCACCGAGGAGGACGAGAUUCAAAUCCUGCUGGUUUACUCCAAGGAGAUUAACAAGCGCAUGCUCGACACCGUCAAGUCCAGGAACGCCAUUGCUUCCGCUGCUCAAAACGGCGCCAUGGAGUCCGAGACUGUGAGCUCUGCGGUGGAAUGUACCGCUGUUGCCGCCAAUGAAGAUGCUAAGGCUGAAGAGCACAGAUCUCUCCAUGUGUGUUAGGUCACUCUUAGCUUCAUAUUAGCCUAUUAGAGCUUUCAUAUCGAGAUCUGUUCAUAUUUAUCAUGGAUUUCUUGUGAUGCCUAUAUACCUAAUGACCUGUUAAAUAUUUAAACUUUGUUAAUUUCGCUAUGCGCUUCAAUUUUCUGUGGAUUAUAUUAUCUGGGUUUCUGUUGUGAGUAUUGAUCUACUGAGUCUUGAUCUGCUUUGUUCAGAGAUGUUUAUGUUGAAGAUUUUAUAAGGAAGUGGGUGCAUUUGGAAUUGGAAAAUUAUCGAAAUCUUUCCUCUUGCAUUAUUUAGGUUUCCUAUUGCAUAAUCUGCUGCAUUAGUGAAUCUGUGCAAAUUCCAAUUUUUUUUUUUCUAAACAAAAAGAAAACCAAGAACCCGUGGACCCGGCCUGAACCGGCCCAUUUCAACCAGGCCGAGUAAGGUCCAAUUCCUAUAUAAGAAAAUGUAAUCCCCAACUCGGUCCGGCCCAUCUCCUUUGCACCUGGAUCCACCAGUGGCCAUAUGCUAUUGCCCUUUUAUUUUCUUUUUUCUCCUGCCAUGGGCGCAGUCAUGGGUAAGUAGGUAAGUUUGAUUACGCAAUUAAUUGGGCACUCUAGGAGACGCGUAGUGUUAGUGCAGGCUCAAAAGUCAAAAGGUUAAUGAGGAGUGUGGAUGGAAAGCCUGCCCUAAAUACGUUUGUAUUCCUUUGCUGAGUUACUGUACUCUGCCCUUUUCUCCUCUCUUCCUGGAAAAUUCACUCUAUUGAUCUCUGGCCGUGUUUUGCGUGGCAUGAAACAAAACGGUCAAGUAGUGUAUAACAAUUUCAAAAAAAAAGGUCAAAUAGUGUAUAACAAUUUAUCAUAUAGAAAGUUGAUGGUGCUGCAGAUGAUUAAUGAGAGUUUUAACGAAAAACUCACAGCACUGUUUACUUUAACGAAAAGCCACAUUUUUACAUUAAAAAGUCAAACCUAGUACUAUUCAUUUUAUCCUUUAUUUUGUCUUUAACAUUAAAACUCAAAGUUUUCAAACAUUUUUCAUUAGUUUUCCUAUGAUUAAUUGGUGUCCGUAGAAAUUACAUGAUAUCACUCAGACUUUAUCCAACAUAUUAGGCCAUCUCCAACAAAAGUCUAAACAUAGCCCCAUCUAAAAUUAUAUUCUUGUAAAAAAUUAUCUUUUAAUGAAUGAUGUUAGACCAUACUCAUAUAUCAUCUUUAACCGAAAUGGUUAAACACGGCCACUUAAUAAUUUAUUAUUUUAAACCUUAUACUUUAAAUUUAUUGGUUAAUUUAAUUAAACUACCAUUGCAUGUUUUCAAAUUUAGUUGUUUAAUUUGAAUCAAUUAUUGCAACUGAGGAGCUAGAUCCCCAAAAAGGGCUAAGAGAGGGUCUAUAUUUGGUAAGCCUGAUACACUUUUGGCCAAUAAUCGUCUAGUGGGCUCCACAGAAUUAUAAUCUAGUCAUCGGUUGGAGAUGAAUUUUUGAAUAAAUCAGGUAAUUUUUAGUUUUUAAUCCUUUAGUCCUCUUAGUUGAAGAUGACCUUAUGUCUUGCUUUAUAUGAUGUGCCUCCUAUUCCCAGCUUCAACUCCAACUGAAAGAUGUAAACGUAAUUGUCAGCAAAGAGUUAGAAACAUACCCGAAUCCACGUUUUAUAAGCAGAAACUACACUUAUUUGACAUGUUUCCUCAUUUUUUUUACUUGCAAAUUCAAAACCGUCUUGUCGGACCAGUAUAACAAAAUAAUGUUUACGAACAACUGUUAAAACUAAUCACAACAAGUUAAUGCAUAAAGAACUUACGGAUACGGAGGGUGCUAUGAGGCCACCGAAAAGGGUAAACCCCGCAAUAAAUGAAUUCACCUUGUGAUUAAUACUUUGCACAACUUUUUAUGAACCGACAAAAGGCUACAACAAAUUAUGGCUAAAACAGGUCGGGGAUAUGAAAAUAAAUGUCUUCACAGGGUCAGCAGCUUACCAGGGGAGGCAAAAAUGGAAUGAAUGAUGGAAAACUUGAUCUUCAUUUACCGCUCCAAGCUCUGCGCGUUUAAUCCGCUGUUGUAUCCUCAGCCUGCGAACCUACGCAUAUCGAAGCUCAUUCUUAAAGAACACAUUUCUAAUGGCAAUUGGAGAGUAAUUUAAAACAUGCUAAACUGAGAAAGUGGUAGCAACAAGCAAUUGCUCUCACCUCCUCCAUAUGCAAGAAAAUUUUGUUGCGACGACUCCGAAUAUUAUCUUGAAUUUCCUGCAGCUCCAUUGUCGCAAGGUCCUGCACUGUUUCAGGCCCCUCUAUGAUACAAAAUCUGCACAAUUAAGCAUGUAAAAACAAAAAUUUACAGGCUACAAAGCAAUUUCCAUAAUUUUUGGGUUAAUUAACAUCAACAGCAGAUAAAUCACAUGGGUUUUUCACAUAAAGUUACAAACUUUCAAAGACCAGUAAGCUGUCUGCAAUCUCAUAAAUUUCACAGUGCAAAGUAACAAUCCAAAGCUUGGAAAAUUUUCAUUUUCUGUUAAUUUCCUAGAGAGAGAGAGGGGGGAGUACCCGGCGGGGUUUGUAUCGGCGGCGGGAUUGGGAUCAGAAUCGACAGACGGAGCGAAAGAGGAGGAGUCGGGCUCCGAAGCCAUGGCCAGGGAUCACCAUCUGGAGCUGCUUGUUGAUAUGGGGCUUCUUGGGUAGCUGAAUUUGGAGCAGCCGGAGCUACGCAGUUUGUACGGACAGCACCGAUUUACGGGGAAAGAAACGGCAAAAAGUCUGCCGGAGCAGAGCAUCUCUCUCUCUCAAACCAGAAGGCAGAGCUUUCUGUUUCUCUACAGGUUUCUUUCACUGGUAAAUUCCGGAGAAGCAGAGAAGAAGGGUCAAAGGGCCAUGUAUAGUUUUAUAGUCAUACAAAAAAUUAUAUUUUAAUAAAAAAUGUAAGGCCAUAUUUUAUUAGGAAAAUUAAUGAAAAGGCUUGAAAACUUUGAGUUUUAAUGAUAAGGACAAAAUAAAGGGUAAAGUGAAUAGUACCAUGAUUGACUUUUUAGUGUAAAAAUGUGGUUUUUGGUUAAAGUAAACAGUACCAGGUGCUUUUCGUUAAAGUUCCCUAUUUUAUUCCAUAUCCAACUUAGUGGGCCAAUGGACCGUAGGCCAAACAUAGUCAUUUGACAAAAAUCUUAUCUCUAACCGAGAGAGCUAAAGGACCGUAGGCCGAAUAUAACUCCUUAAUAAUUUACUUUUAACGAGUGACUCAAUUAACUAUUUUCAUUUCUUACACGUUCAAAAUUAGACAAAUUCUUUGCAUACAUAAAAAAAAUAUAUAUAUAUUAAGGAGAGAGUAUUAAACUAUUACAUUACGGGUUUCGAACUCGCGAGAACCCUAAUGCCUCUCCACUAGGAUAUUAGACCAGUAAAUUAAAAAGAAAUAUUUAUAGAGGGCUGGAACCAGUCGAAGCUGGGGGGCUAGGCCCUCACGCCCAUAUUAUAUUACUUGAAAAAAAAACAUACAACAAGGAGGACAUAGUACUGAAACCCUGACAAUCAAAAGCAAAAUCAUAUACGACCACUCCAAGCAGUCAACAUAACCAUCACAUAUUGAAUCCAAAAGGUUGACGACCCAUUCGCUGCAUAUAAUGUACAGAAGAUAACAAAUUUUGAAGUGAUGCUCCAAGUAUGAUAUUGGGCAGAAAAGAGCGGCGGCUUCAACCACUUCUUCAGCUAUAUCCGGCUGGGUGAGAGCAGCUAAAGACAUGAUUGUUCCCUAAGAACAUGAAUACAUUGAGUAAACACCAAAAGUAACUGCUAGGGAAGGAGAUUUGAAGUAGAUUAAGAGGUUUAAUACCUGUGAAUGUCCAACAACAAAGACGUUGGAGCUUGUUGAAUACAUGCAGCGCAUCAUUUCUGAUAGAUCAAAUCGAGCCAAUUCCUGCCAACUCCAAUCCCAAAAAUCCUACAGUAAAGCAUAAAUCUUGUUCUUUUCUGAUAAAGAUGUGUCCCUGACUCCAACGUGUUUGACGCACAUUUUCUACCCAUACAUCGAAACCUUCAUCUGCUGGAGAAUUUAAGAAUCAUGCAUCACCUGGUUAAGAUCAAGAAAAGCCAGUAACCAAUUUCAAUUGAGUUUGAAGCACAUUAGAGCCCAAUUUAAAAUGUAUCCGAUGGAUGUUCAUCACUUCACACAAUAGUUAGUUUCAAGAAAGGAAAUUUCAACGCAACCUGAAAACUUCAGAUCAGGGGGCACCAAAUAGUGAGCUAUACAUUCAAAUUUUGAAAUAAUCAACGCACAAUAUGUUGAAAAAAGUUGGAAGGAGCUAUGAAAGUAAGGCUUUUCACUAAUCAGGCGUCCAGAGAAUCAAUAUUUUUACUCACGGAUCAGUUAGGGCGAACACUCCCCACCAAAGCAAUCUCAUUAGUACUUCACAUCUCAAACCAAACAGAAAUUGCAGUAACAAACAUGACAUCUAUUAGUCCUUCACAUCUCAAAUCCAGUAAGUACCCAUCUUUCGUCAGAAUCUGGAAAACAAGCAGCAGUGGAUUUAACAAUCUGGGUAUCUCAAAGUUACUCACUUUAAUCACAACAUAUAAAUGGGCAUUUUCUAGUGAAAUGUUAGUGUAGUACUCACUGUGUUGCUCCGAGCAAGAGUACCCAGAAAGCUCGAUGAGCUGAGCACAGAGGGACUGCAGUGGUGAAACGGCGACCGAUUCUGUAAAAUUCAGUCCGGUUUUGGGUGAUUUCUGAGGCUGAUAAGGAAAGCUGGGACGGAAGGGCACAAGUCUGGAAGAAAGGCUCUGGUCACCAUUGUCGCGAUUCGUGGAGGAAGAAGUGCCCCAAAACAAUUUCAGUCCUGAACAGGUGCACCGUUUGCACUGGGCCAGGGCCGACCCUGAAUCGCUAUAGCGUCCUUCUCCAAACAGUAUAUAUACAGAUGCUAGAAAUAUCUACCAGAACCAUUCAAAUCUAGCAUCUACAGCUUUAGCAUUUAGUUGGUACAAGGUACACUCUUCCGAAGGGAGAUGAAAUCAUUGAGGCUCUUAUAUAUUCCUCCUCUUGAUGUGCCCCUGUAGACUGCUAAUUCCAGACGAUCCAAUCUCAUACAUGUUCCCUGCAAAAGCAUGCGUGCCAGACUUCAAGAUCAAACUCGUUAGCGGAAUAAAUGGUGCACAAAGGGAUUUAAAAUCUUGACAUAUGUGUAUUUUUGGCAGAUUUUAUGCGAGCAUGCAACUAAAACUGGCAUCACUAUCAAUGGUGCACAAAGAUCGGCAGAAAAAACGUAAAGAGAAGCAAUCACAACGCAAAAUGUACGAAGUAAUCUGUCCACGUAUUGGGAAAACAUUAACACUGGAUGAGGGGAAUAAACAUGGAAUUUUGAUAAAAGUCAGAAUUUAUAAAUUGACAUGCAGUAAUUUUCUUGUUUGGAUUUAUAAACAUAUAAAUUUAGAAUUUCCGCGUGGGAAAAACAAAACUUGGAACUUAUGACCUCCAAUUCUCAAGUUUAAAUUUCAUGUAAAUAUGUGUCAUUUCUAAAUUUCCAUGAGAGAGUUUAAAGAUAACAAAUACUGUUAUUUCAAUUUCUAUCAUUUUAAAAUUUCUUAGUAAUCUUAAAUUUCCUCUUCCAAACAGAGUGUAACAGUUUGUAACUUCUCCAUUGUAUUUGUUCAACUAUGCAAUUUUCUGUAAAACUUAAAAGGCUGCUUAGCAUCUCUUGUUCGUUGUAUUGAAUACCAUGGUUUUACCGAUGAAUGCAAAGUUUGCUGAUGAUUCAUACGACAAGCAAUUGAAAAUCCCAUUAUUAUGCCCCACAUCAUUUACACAAAUUCAGAGGGCUCAUCCACUGUAAUUUGCAGGUACAGAAAUGUUAUGAUUAAAGGAAAUGCAAACUACCUUUCACCCAGAUUGGAGGAGCACCGGUGGCAUUAGCAAGUGAGCAACAGGAAUUGACAUACCAAUAUCUUCACAGUUUCCGCACAAGCACAAAUCAAAAGAAUCCGGCGGCGGAGUUAUGUACCUCUUCUUGGAAAAAGACACCUCUUGGGAUUUCAUAAAAUCCGGCUGUGCCUAGACGUCUGACCACGCCAAUUCCACCAAAGCUGCUGCAACGCGGCGUAGUGUCCGAUUGAUUGCUUCAAAACAGAGCUUCGUAUCCAUGUGUUUAUAAGCACAGAGUACCCAAAACCCCAGAAAAUUAUUUCUUUAUUCAGAUAAUAAAAUUUCGCAAAUUUCGAAUUUUAAUUCCGAACCAAAAAUAGGGUUUGAAUUUUGAUUACCUAGAAAUUGGGGGUUGGGGUGGAGAGGGACUGAGGCCAAGACGCAGCUAUGUGUCCGUGAUCAGGUGUGCCAAUUUACAGAGGGUGUCGGGAAGAUGCACAAGGCUUUUGCAGUUUCUCAGAUUUAAAUACUGAAGCCCCGUAAGGCGUUCAAUCCAGGGGGAAAGCUCUUUGAUAGAUGUUCCAUCCAAGAAAAGCGCUCUUAAUCCUUCCAUAUUUUCUUCAAUGCUUGGAAACACCUCAAACUUUGUACAACCGGAAAGAGAGAGAUAGACCAGGGACUUGAGCUGACAAAUGCUGCUUGGAAGACCCUUAAGUUCCUUGCAAUCAUCUAGCUUUAAAUAACUCAAUCCCGUGAGAUUAUUAAUUGACGAGGGCAGUUCUUUAAUUUUUGACCCGGAAAAAUAAAGAACUUUUAACCCCUCAAUCACUUCUGAAAUCUCUGGAAACAUCUCUAGACUCGAGCAACCAGAAAGAUUAAGAGUUUUGAGAGAUUUCAUACGAAUGCUGCUUGGAAGACACUUAAGUUCCUUGCAAUCAUCUAGGAGCAAAUGACUCAACCCCGUGAGGUUAUUAAUUGACAGGGGUAGUUCUUUAAUUUUUGACCCGGAUAACUCAAGCUCUUCUAACCCCUCAAUCACUUCUGAAAUCUCUGGAAACAUCUCUAGACUCGAGCAUCCAGAAAGAUUAACGGCUUUGAGAGAUUUCACAAGAAUGCUGCUUGAAAGACACUUAAGUUCCUCGCAAUGAUCCAAGCUUAAAUAACUCAACCCAGUGAGAUUAUUAAUUGACGAGGGCAAUUCUUUAAUUUUUGACCCGGAUAAAUCAAGAAAUUCUAACCCCUCGAUCACUUCUGAAAUCUCUGGAAACAUCUCUAGACUCGAGCAACCAGAAAGAUUAAGCACUUUGAGAGAUUUCAUACGAAUGCUGCUUGGAAGACACUUAAGUUCCUUGCAAUCAUCUAGGUGCAAAUGACUCAACCCCGUGAGGUUAUUAAUUGACGGGGGUAGUUCUUUAAUUUUUGACCCGGAUAACUCAAGCUCUUCUAACCCCUCAAUCACUUCUGAAAUCUCUGGAAACAUCUCUAGACUCGAGCAGCCAGAAAGAUUAAGGGUUGUGAGAGAUUUCAUACGAAUGCUGCUUGGAAGACACUUAAGUUCCUCGCAAUUAUCUAGGCUUAAAUAACUCAAACCACUGAGAUUAUUAAUUGAUGGGGGCAAUUCUUUAAUUUUUGACCCGGAUAAAUCAAGAACUUCUAACCCCUCAAUCACUUCUGAAAUCUCUGGAAACUUCUCAAGACUCAGGCAGCCAGAAAGAAAGGAAUUUAAGAGAUUUCAUACGAAUGCUACUUGGAAGACACUUAAGUUCCUUGCAAUCAUCUAGGAUCAAACGACUCAACCCCGUGAGGUUAUUAAUUGACGAUGGCAGUUCUUUAAUUUUUGACCUAGAUAAAUCAAGCUGUUCUAACCCCUCAAUCACUUGUAAAAUCUCUGGAAACAUCUCAAGACUCCAGCAGCCAGAAAGAUUAAAGGUUUUGAGAGAUUUGAUACGAAUGUUGCUUGGAAGACUCUUAAGUUCCUUGCAAUUUUCUAGGUUCAAAUGACUCAACCCCGUGAGAUUAUUAAUUGACGAGGACAGUUCUUUAAUUUUUGACUUGGAUAAAUCAAGCUCUUCUAACUCCUCCAUACCUUCUAAAAUCUCUGGAAACAUCUCAAGACUGGAGCAGCCAGAAAGAUUAAAGGUUUUGAGAGAUUUCAUACGAAUGCUGCUGGGUAGAAUCUUAAGUUUCUCGCACCCUUUCAGAUUCAAUAAAACAAGGUUUCUAAGAGUCCUAAUAGACUGGUGAACCUCAACUAAGCUUCUACAACCUUGAAGAAUUAGCCUCUCAAGAUUUGGCACAUUUGUGAAGUCAGGGGUUUCCUCAAGGUAUUGACAAUAACUUAAAUUGAUGACUUCCAACUUUUCCAGCGUCUGUUAAAACAUUUAGGAAAGCAUGCAUUACUUAAUAAGACAUCUCACUCAAAACCCAAACAUUUAAAAGAAACAAAUACAUGUAAAUGAUUGUACAUACCUGGGUUCCUUCCCAAAGUCGGUCAAUGAGACUAAAUUGCAUGUCAAGUUCAACAAGAUUUUUGAAUUGAAAGUUGGAUAGCAAAGACUUGAGAGGGAAUCCAAACCAGGAGAGAUACCUCAAGUUAAGUAACUUAAAGGGCCCAAUCAAGUGGUGUUUGCAGUAAUCAUGUUUAGAAAUGGAGUCCUUAUGACUGAUCUUGAUAAGUCUUAGUUGAUUCAUGCUAACAAAAGCUUCAGCAUUUAAGCAUACCCAGUCUGAGUACGAGAAAUCCACGAUUAUGCUUUCAACUGAUUUUGUAGCCUGUGUAAAUCAAAGUAAGGGAAAAUACAGAGAACCUUAGUUUAGAUUAUGAAACUAAUACUUGUUUCUUAAGGAGCCGUUUGAUAAUCAUUUUGUUUUUAGUUUAAUUGUUUUCAAUUUUCAAUUAUUAAAACAAUAAACACUAAAGGUUGUACCCAGUGCACAAGGCUCCCGCUUUACGCAGGGUCUGGGAGAGAUGAAUGUUGGCUAGCCUUACCCCCAUUUAUGGAGAGGCUGCUUCCAAGUCUCGAACCCGAGACCUACCGCUCAUGGGCGAAGGCACUUGUCAUCACACCAAGUGCGACCUCUUAUUAAAACAAUAAACACUAAAAAUUAAAAAUUAAAAACAAAAAUACUUAUCAAACGGACCUAAGAAAUUGAUUUUGAUCAAAAGUUGAAACUUUUUAUUGACAAUAAGAAAAAGAUUUCUCACCGUAUUUUGAGAUAGCACGUGAUGAACAUCUUCAUAACUACACAACCUACUUCGUCUCCCAGGCUCUUUGAUACAUUCUUGGCGGACGAUUUCCCGACCCAUUUCCUCUAAUGAAUCAUGCAUCUCCAGUUCCCCCUCCCCUGAGACAGUUAUGAGAGCUCGAUCGAUUAGAACUCUUAUUCCAGUAUAAGGAUGGAAACCACAAACUUCCAGAAUUCGGGUUGCACAGUCUUUCUUCAUCCCUUUAAAGAAACAUGCAAUGUCCAGAAAGAUGUCCUUCUCCUUGUCAUCUAGUCCAUCGAAGCUUGAUUUAAGCACAUCAUGAAUUCCCCUUCGUGGGAUUUUCCUUAUUUUUUCUAACUCAUCUUCCCACUCGCGUAUAGUUUUGUUACCAAGAAAAGCUCCCAAGACUUUGUGUGCUAAAGGCAGGCCUUGAGCAUAUUCUACGACAUGAUUCGAGAGAUCAUCAUAAUCUCUGGUAGGUUGGUUUUUUCUGAAGGCGUGCCGCCUAAAGAGUUUCAGAGCUCCAGAAUCACUCAAAAUCUUGGGAUUAUAUAUCACAUCAGCUAUGCUUAGUAAUUGCGAAUCUCUAGUUGUUAUAAUAAUUCUGCUUCCACAACCAAAGGAAUGUGGCUCUUCAAGUAAAGCUUCAAUUUGUUCUAAUUCGUCCACAUCAUCAACAACAAUAAGAACUUUUCUCUGACCAAGGCUUUUUAACAUCACCUGAAAACCAUUUUUUGAUAUGUCAGAACUCCCCACCUUGUUGUUCGAGAUAUUCGAUAGAAGUUGUGCCUGCAUAUGUAGUUUGCCAUGCUUCAUGAAACCUUCCUUGAAAUUUUCAAGAAAGCAACAAGCUUCAAAUCGAUUAGCGAUUUUAUCAUAAACAGCUCUAGCGAUGGUUGUUUUGCCUAAACCACCCAUACCCCAUAUUCCAACAACGCGAACAUUAUUCGUUUCACCUCCGGGAGGAUAUAAUAAUAAAUGCAUUUCAUGCAUGUGAGAAUCCAUGUCAACCAAGCCAUUAUCUUUGCUUGAUGUUGAUGAGAUGUCGAUCAAUUUCCUAUAAACAUCUUCUACAAUUUCCUCAAUAAGCACCGCAUCAUUUCUGUCAAAUUUAAAAAACAAUAUAAUAACACCACCAAAUGAUAAUUAAUGGGUCUUUUUCAUCUGUUAGUUUUCAAAAAAAUAGAAAUUAAAACUAAAAACUAAAUAUUUAUCAAAUUACCCCUAAACGUUACAAAAAUCCCAAAAAUUACUAGGAAACUAAAACAAAUUAGAAUUUACUCAUAGUUUCGCGAAUCCCAGCCGGCUAAACUGGUGGCAGUUGUAAGAGCGGAUCUCCAGCUCCGAACCUCCUCUAUUUCGGCGUUAGAAUCGAUAUCGUGCUGAGCAAAAGCUUCCGCGAAACUUUUCUUGAGUUUACGAACAUCAGACGGAUCAACUUCAUAGAAAAUGGGGAGUACAAUCUGGUUAUUGGUACCUUGCAUUCCAGGAUUUGCACGAGUUCCUUCAAGCACCAAGUGGAAGAAGCAUAGUUUUGAGAGAAAACUACAAUCGAAAGCCUCGACUCUUGAAUCGCUGUCAGGAGCUCGGAAAGGUGGUCGCCUUUUCUGAACUUUUCGGCAUCAAUGAAGGCGUUGAUUGGUUUCUUAGCCAGAGCGUUGUAGAGAUGGCUGACGAAGCCCCUGCGAGUGUCUUCCCCUCUGAAAUUGAUGAACACAUCGUAUUUCCAACCAAAGCCAGAAGAAGAAAAAGAAGAAGAAGAAGAAGCAACCAUUUAUCGAUCGCACCUGGUCACCGAUGAUCGAGCAGUUAUGACUAAGAGAAUUGUAAGUACAUAAAUACUCAAUGAGUCAAUGCAAAAGGGAAAAAGCGAAAAGGAAAUGGUUGUGAUAUCCAUACUUUAUUUUACUUUUUUAUACAUUUUUGAUAAUUUAUUUUUGUUAAUUUUUUUUAAUUCAUCUAGUUUUACAUUUAAAAAUUAAAAAAAUUUAUGAGAAGUUGAAAUGUGUGAAUAUCACGUCCAAAGGAAAAUUAUGCUUUUAUGUGUUUUCAGAUCUUCUUCAGGGAAAUUUCGAUGGGAAUGGAAUCUGCAUGCUUUUGAUUUUUAACCCAAGAAAAUGCCAAGAAAGGGGUCAAAGUAGUAAAUUUAAUCUACACUUGCCUACCCAACCACCUCUUAAUUUAAUAUAUUUAAUCGAGAAAAGUAGGUUAGAGGAAGGAUGGUAUCUCCUUUUCCUCUCUCAGUCUUCCAGCAUGCCAUUUAAUCAUGAUUAAGGCUAAAGCUUAAUUAUAGAUCUUGAUUGGAUUAUUAGUUUCCGUUGUAAUAUGGUGGUUAGAAGAUUAAAAAAAUUAUGAUUUAUGCUUUCAUAUGCUAACAAUUAAUGAAGAAUUAACAAAAUUUUAAAUUUUAAAUCUAAAUCCUAACAUAUUUUACCAUAGAAGCUUAAAUCUUAAUUUACUUAUCACAUGGAUUAUUUUAUAACUACCUUACUAUUAAUUCAAUUAAACCUAUUAUUUCUACGAAAACUAAAGAAAAGUUAAAAAAAAACUUUAGUUUUAAUGAAAAAAGAAAAAUGAAUGUGUAGUAAAUAAUACCAGAAAAAAAUAAAAAAAAUAAUUUUUUAUUAAAAAUAAACAGUAUAAAAAAUGUUGCAUUAAUACUCUCAUUAUUUAUUUACAAAUACGUGACUAAAUCACAAAGUGUUAGAAUGAAAGGGAGCGCUCAAAACGAUGAAAAGCAGGAGCACAGAAAGCUAUCUCCGUUUCUUUGUUGAGCGGACAACUGUUUAUUUGUCGUUCUUUUGGCAGAUAGCUCCUAAUGGCCCAUUUCCACAGCUGGUUAUAGGAUUCUGUUGCUAUAUAAGAAGUGUUUUGUUGUAAUUCAAUAUCGAUGGAAAUUCAACAGGAUCUUUUUCAAAAUUUUGUGAGGAUUUUGGGGUGUUCGUGAAUCUUGUUCAUCGUAUAUUGUGUAGUUGUUUUUUAUCGAAUAUUAUUUUUGUUUAAUUUUAAAUAAAGUAAUUUAAAAUAAUUUUUUACUGCAAGAUGUAUGAUGAACGUAUAUGAUUCACAGAUCUCCAAAAUCCUCACAAAGAAAAUCCAAAAAUGAUCUGAAUUCAAUGGAGAUAAGUUAAUUUUGAAUCAAAUAACAUUAGGAAAGAAAAAUAACAUUAGACGCCAGUCGGGCGAAGGAUUGGAGCCUAGUGCCUAGGCAGCUAGGCGAAGCCUGGGCGAUUAGGCGGCUAGGCGGCCUAGACGGUUUUAAAUAAUUUAUUGUAUAUUUGUAUAAAAUUAUUAUUAGCACUUCAAAAAUCUCAUUUUAUACUCCAAAUUUUCUAUAUUAAAAAAGAAAAAUACACUUAUGAUGAGUGUAGAAUGAGAUUUUUGAAAUGCCAAUACACUUCUCUAUUUUUAUUAUAUAAAUCAGUUGGACUUAAAAAAGAAAAUAAAGAAAAUAAAACAUUGUUCAAAAACUAAAACUCUAUAAAUAUAAAAAGUCAGGUCUUGAUUUAUCAUUACAAUUGAUAAAUAAAGGAGUGUGCUAUCUACACAACUUUUUUUACUUCUCACUCCUAAAUAAAAAAAUGAUGUGUGGAUAUCACAUCCCUAAAUAAAAUAUAUAAAUAUAGAUAGUUGGAGGAUAUCCAAGAGACAUUCUUUGGAGGAUUUUAGAGAAGAAAGGAGUACGAGUAUAUAUCCAAGCUAUAAAGGAUAUGUAUGAAGGAGCAAAGACUGCCGUAAGAACUCAUGAAGGACAAACCGAAAGCUUUCCCAUAACUGUAGGAUUACAUCAAGGCUCAUCCUUAAGUCCUUACCUUUUUGCGUUGGUAAUGGAUAAGUUAACAGGACAUAUUCAAGAUGAUAUUCCUUGGUGUAUGCUUUUCGCAGACGAUAUAGUGUUGAUAGAUGAAACUCAGGAAGGGGUAAAUGCAAAGCUUAACCUUUGAAGAGAAGUGUUGGAAUCUAAAGGUCUUCGCCUAAGCCGAUCAAAGACAGAAUAUAUGGAGUGCAAGUUCAGUACAAAUGAAGGCCAAAACGAGUUAGGGGUGAGGAUCGGAGAUCAAGAAAUACCAAAGAGCAACCGUUUUCGUUACCUAUGAUCUAUCUUGCAAAAGAACGGAGAAUUAGAUGGAGAUCUCAAUCAUAGAAUGCAAGCUGGAUGGGUGAAGUGGAAGAGUGCAUCCGGCGUGUUGUGUGACCGCCGUAUGCCACUGAAGCUCAAGGGAAAAUUUUAUAGGACGGCAAUAAGGCCGGUGAUGCUGUAUGGCACAGAAUGUUGGGCAGUGAAGCAUCAACACGUACACAAAAUGGGUGUAGCGAAGAUGAGGAUGCUUCGUUGGAUGUGUGGGCACACGAGAAAGGAUAAGAUUAGGAAUGAGGAUCCGGGGUAAAGUAGGAGUAGCCGAAAUUGAAGGAAAGAUGAGAGAAAAUCGGUUACGGUGGUUUGGACAUGUGCAAAGAAGGCCUACUGACGCUCCGAUUAGAAUAUGCGACUAUGGGACAGAGGUUCAGGGCCGAAGGGGUAGAGGAAGACCUAGGAAAACUUUGGAAGAGACUUUAGGAAAAGACUUAGAGUACUUGGAUCUAACGAAGGACAUGACACAGGACCGAGCACAAUGGCGUUCUAAGAUUCAUAUAGCCGAUCCCACUCAGUGACUUGGAUUUUCCAAGUCUCCAACCGAGAAGUUUUCCUCACUCGGGAAAUUAAGGGAACACUACCUCAACCUACAUGCUCCACUCACAAAGCUUCAACAAAAGAAAAUUCAAAGAACUUAGCGAAGAAUGAUUUGGUGUAUUUAACACAAACGUUGAAAUGAAGGAAAGCUUAUUUAUUGAUAUUCCCGAUAAGCUACAAAUAUGUACAUAUACAUAAGGUUGCUUAGGAGAAGUCUCAGCAGCCGGUAGAGCCCCAGAAAGAGAAGGCACCAGAGGGGGAUCAUUCGGAGCCUCAGAACUGGACAGAACCCUAGAAGGAUGAGGCAUCAAAGGUUGAUCAUUUGGAGCUUCAUUACGCGGUACAGCCCCAGAAGAUGAAGGCAAUAAAUGCCUUUGGAACAAACCCACAAAUCUCUGAUGAUCAAGUAAAACCUGACCAUCAGAUUCCUUCAUCUGGUCAAGCUUCCUCUUCAUGUUUGUAGCAUAGUCAUGUGCGAGCCGGUGCAACUGUUUAUUCUCAUGCUUGAGCCAUCUAAUCUCCUGUUUGAGACUCAUCACUUUAGCCGCCAAUGAUUCAACUUGGCGGGUUCAAGCAAAUAGGCGUUGGGCCGUAUUAGACACAGAACCUGCACACUGAACACUGAGAGCCAGCGAAUCCUUAACAGCUAACUCAUCAGACCGUUUGGAAAGUAGUUUGUUAUCUUUGGGAGUGAGAAGGUUCCUGGCCAUCACCGCAGCGGUCAUAUCAUUCUUCAUUACGAAAUCCCCAACGGUAAGAGGACCAGUAGGGGAGACGAAGGAUGUGCGCCAUAUGUUGUCUGGAGAAGGCGGGGCUGCCUCUUUAACAAGGUUCAAGUCAAAACGACGGUCGGAGGGGCCAGACAUUUUCAAAGGUGUUGAAGAGAGAAGAUGUCGGAUAAAUCAAGAUCUUAGAAGUGCAAGAAUGGAGCUUCUACUGGUGGAUUUCAAGUGUGCUUUAGAACUUAAUGACAGCCCCUAUAAAAAUCUGCACUCGACGGAGCUUCAGAAAUCGAAGAGGCGUUUGCUUUCUCAAAAGUUGGGCUGCUCAAAGACCACGAAGGCCAAUCUCAGAAAUCGAAGAGGCGCUCGCUUUCUCAAAAGCUGGGCUACUCAGAGACCACGAGGGCCGAUCUCAGAAAUCGAAGAGGCACCUACUUUUCCAGCCUUGUCAGCACCUGUCACACGCACACUCAGCUUUGCGGAAAUUAUGGGCAUUCUGUCGAAGACUUCUGGUGAAGUAAAAAGCACAUGAAUCUUACUGUUCAAUCACCCACUUCCCACACGCAACAAUAGCUCAUGGGUACCACAGAUAACUUUGCCAAAGUUGAGCACGUGAAGCUUGCAGCUCCUACUACAUCGCUCUGACCAAGAAGGGUAAAAGAAUAGCAAAGAAACAGCACUAACAAAGUUUAGACCCAUAAAUUUUGAAGGUCUAGCUACCAUAUUAUUACCCACAAGGGUAAAGGAACAGUACCACUGCUGGAUAAUUGGAAAGUCCCUGUGUGUCAACCUCUGUGCUUCGUGGCAAGGUAGACUAGCAAACAUGCCCAACCUUUACUCACAUUCGAGAAAACACUCCCAAUAAGAUUGCUUGCUCCAAAAUCGAAGAGGCACCGUCCUCCGAAUCUCGAGAGCCAGACUCCCAACAUGAAUACUUUCUCAAAAAAAUCGAAGAGAGGGUAAAGGAACAGUACCAUUGCUGGAUAAUUGGAAAGUCCCUGUGUGUCAACCUCUGUGCUUCGUGGCAAGGUAGACUAGCAAACAUGCCCAACCUUUACUCACAUUCGAGAAAACACUCCCAACAAGAUUGCUUGCUCCAAAAUCGAAGAGGCACCGCCCUCCGAAUCUCGAGAGCCAGACUCCCAACAUGAUUACUUUCUCAAAAAUCGAAGAGACACUGCUAUCCCGAAUCUCGAGAGCCAGACCCCCAGCAUGAUUGCUUUCUCAAAAAUCGAAGAGGCAUCGUUCUCCGAAUCAAUCGAAGAGGCGCUCGCUUUCUCAAAAGCUGGUGGGCUGCUCAGAGACCACGAGGGCCGAUCUCAGAAAUCGAAGAGGCACCUACUUUUCUAGCCUUGUCAGCACCUGUCACACGCACACUCAGCUUUGCAGAAAUUAUGGGCAUUCUGUCGAAGACUUCUGGUGAAGUAGAAAGCACAUGAAUCUUACUGUUCAAUCACCCACUUCCCCACACGCAACAAUAGCUCAUGGGUACCACAGAUAACUUUGCCAAAGUUCUCUGCCAAAGUUGAGCACGUGAAGCUUGCAGCUCCCACUACAUCGCUCUGACCAAGAAAGGUAAAAGAAUAGCAAAGAAACAGCACUAACAAAGUUUAGACACAUAAAUUUUGAAGGUCUAGCUACCAUAUUAUUACCCACAAGGGUAAAGGAACAGUACCACUGCUGGAUAAUUGGAAAGUCCCUGUGUGUCAACCUCUGUGCUUCGUGGCAAGGUAGACUAGCAAACAUGCCCAACCUUUACUCACAUUCGAGAAAAACACUCCCAACAAGAUUGCUUGCUCCAAAAUCGAAGAGGCACCGUCCUCCGAAUCUCGAGAGCCAGACUCCCAACAUGACUACUUUCUCAAAAAUCGAAAAGGGUAAAGGAACAGUACCAUUGCUGGAUAAUUGGAAAGUCCCUGUGUGUCAACCUUUGUGCUUCGUGGCAAGGUAGACUAGCAAACAUGCCCAACCUUUACUCACAUUCGAGAAAACACUCCCAACAAGAUUGCUUGCUCCAAAAUCGAAGAGGCACCGCCCUCCGAAUCUCGAGAGCCAGACUCCCAACAUGAUUACUUUCUCAAAAAUCGAAGAGACACCGCUCUCCGAAUCUCGAGAGCCAGACCCCCAGCAUGAUUGCUUUCUAAAAAAUCGAAGAGGCAUCAUUCUCCGAAUCUCGAGAGCCAGAUCAUCAAUAGGAUUGCUUGUUCGAAAACCGAAGAGGCACCACUUUCCCAACUUCAAGAGCCGGAUCUCCUUGGAUAAAGCUUGUCUAUAAUCUUCACACGGAACAUCAGCUUUCCAGAUACCACAGACCACUUUUUCAAAGUGCUCUGACAGAGUUAAAACAUGUGAAGCUGGCAGGUCCCACUACCGUGCUAUGACUAAGCAGGGUAAAGGAAUAGCAUUACUACUUGUUGUUAGGGAGACUCCUAUAUAUGUCGACCUCCAUCCCCAACGACAGGCAGACCUGCAAAAAUGCUCAACCCUUCCUCAUAUCUGAGAGGCCACUCCCAACGAAGCCUUUCAAAAUAUUCAGCUUUCUUCCCCCUCCCCGAUAAUACCUCUGCAAACAAGCUAUACUAGAGCAAGAAUAUCUCAUAUCAUCAGGGUUAAAAGCAAGAGUAUCCCAUAUCAUGCUUUUUCCCUGUCUUUUCCUUUGGCCUUGUUUUUACCUGCAAGACAAGGAGAAAGAGAGCAAUCAGUCAGCACUUGGAAUCAAGCUUCCAGCCAGGAACUGACUGCCUGGAACCCCUUACCUGAUUACUUACCUGGCAUUGCUCUCGAGUACUCAUCUUCAACAUCUUAUGUUUCCAGGGAAGAUUACCGCAUCUGCCUUGAGGAACAGAUAGGGCAAGUGCGAAGGAUACAAGGAAGCAUGUGGAGACAAGCGUAACAGCACACGUGCCGAUACAUCCAUUACUCUGUCAAAAGCAAAAGUAUCCCAUAUCAGCAGGGUCGAACGUACUCUAGAUUUGAUGGACUUGUUUUGACCCUCAAAUUCUUCAGUCGGCCUUAUACUCUGGAGGAAACCAGAAAACCCUCCAGCUCAGUUCAAGAAUAAGCCUGUGGAAAGUUACUUCUUCAAAAGCAAAAGUAUCUCAUAUCAUCUCUUCUCAUUUUUCUUCUCUUUAUCCUUCAUGCUGCCUGCAAGAUGGGGAGAAGGUGAACAAUCAGCCGGAGCUCUGAUUGCUUACCUUGUCUGUCACCUCUUUCAGCAGAUCCCCUAGCUCGGCGACUUGGGGGACUCCUACUACAUGGUUUGUAUCGCGCUUGACCAAGCCUGAAACUACAAGUAAGCUUCAAGUGAAAUUGAUACAUUACCUUGUGCAUCUCCACCAGUUAAAGAUACCACCCCUGGAUGGAGGAAGAGUACUUCCAGAGAAGAUGCCACAUCUACCUAUGAGACAGAUAAGGCAAGUCAAGACGAUACCACACUCCGAUACUUAGAAGUUUCGUGAUUACGAGAUCAUUCUCCCACAAUAUUUCCUAAUGUCAUUUGUACUAAAUCAUUCACUUGUACUCACUAAAGGAGAGCUUGAACCUAUGUACUUGUGUAAACCCUUCACAAUUAAUGAGAACUCCUCUAUUCCGUGGACGUAGCCAAUCUGGGUGAACCACGUACAUCUUGUGUUUGCUUUCCUAUCUCUAUCCAUUUAUAUACUUAUCCACACUAAUGACCGGAGCAAUCUAGCGAAGAUCACAAAAAGCAACCGUUUUCGCUACCUAGGAUCUAUCUUGCAAGAGAACGGAGAAUUAGAUGGAGAUCUCAACCAUAGAAUACAAGCUGGAUGGAUGAAGUGUAAGAGUGCAUCCGGCGUGUUGUGCGACCGUCGUAGGCCACUGAAGCUCAAGGCAAAAUUUUAUAGGACGGCAAUAAGGCCAGCGAUGUUGUAUGGCACAGAAUGUUGGGCGGUGAAGCAUCAACACGUACACAAAAUAGGUGUAGCGGAGAUGAGGAUGCUUCGUGGGAUGUGUGGGCACACGAGAAAGGAUAAGAUUGGGAAUGAGGAUAUCCGAGGUAAAGUAGGAGUAGCCGAAAUUGAAGUAAAGAUGAGAGAAAAUCGGUUCCGGUGAUUUGGACAUGUGCAAAGAAGGCCUACUGACGCUCCGGUUCGAAGAUGUGACUACGGAACAGAGGUUCAGGGCCGAAGGGGUAGAGGAAGACCUAGGAAAACUUUGGAAGAGACUCUAAGAAAAUACUUAGAGUACUUGGAUCUAACGGAGAACAUAACACAAAACCGAGCGCAAUGGCGUUCUAGGAUUCAUAUAGCCGACCCCACUUAGUUGGAAAAUGCUUUGUUGUUGUUGUUGUUGUUGUAUAGAUAGUUGGCGCUUUGUAGUGGGCGGUAAGUUCUAGUUUUACCAUUAAAAAAUAUACACUGUCAAACUAGUGUGGGUUCUAUCAAUUUUUUUAGUAUUUUAUUUAUUUUUUCACUCUGUCUCCGUGCCAUGGUCUUGAUAUUAUCACUCCUUUAAUAUUUUAUUCAUAUUUUAUUCUACUUGAUUUAUGAUGGUGUGUUUUUUUGACCAAGGUUUAUAAUGGUGUUUGUUCUAUAAGUCGGCAUAUUUGCCAACCGCAAUCGAUACUGUCGUUCUCAAACACAAAGCAAUAGUUUGCUACCGAAAACAACCAAAGUGUGACAAAGGGAACCGUCUUACACCUAACCUGUUUUUCCCUCAUCAAAUGAGCGCGUUGAUCUGCAGGUAUUUUCUGCCAUCUCAAAACCUGUUACAAAGAAAUAUAACGUUGAUGUCGAGCUGGAUAGCAUAUUAUACCAAUUAUGUGUACAAACCUAUUGAAAUAAAGUAGCUGUAGUUGCAUAUUACGACAGAUAUUAACGAAAACAAAAGAAGGCUCGCCUAUUCAAGAUCCUAAAUCCCGUGAUUCUUUUGUUUUUAGUUUCAGAAAUUUUCAGAGCACAAACUGGAAAGUACCAAGAUACUUACAUAUUGGGCAUAAUGAAAUGCAUCUUCAUCUUUCAAGCAAGAUUUGAGUGAGCGCAAACCGUCCUGAGAGUUACAUAAGUCAAUCAGUAAUAUAAAAACGUAUACGCAUCACAUCCAAACACAAGUAUUCAAACACCAACAACUUCUUCAUGCGGUGAGGCAUGUUAAAAAAUAGGGAAGAACAGUUAUUGAAUAGGAAGUUAAAGGACUAAAUUUAUGACCUUGUGUUUGUAGUUCUUGGCUCGUAUGCGUUCAUCUAUUACAAAACCAAUCUGUAACAGGUACAACAGAAAAUAUAAGCAGUAGUCAGAACAUUAAUCUUCGGCAUUCACAUUGCCACCAAUCCAAAGUUAAAAGUCUGAAGGCAAAACAGUAUGAUUCUUAUCUCUCAAACAAAAAUGAAACUAUACCCCGGUCUCAGACAUAAAUGAAAUAAGUUCUACUGCCUCAACUGAGUACUGUGAUUAUAUAUAAAUCCAAUUCACCUUGUCAAGUAAUCUCUUAGGAUCUUGAAAUGCUUCCUUCUUAGCCCAGUCAUUAAAUACAUGCGAGAAAAUUGAUCUCUCAUCCACACUGAAUCUAUUGCACAGUGACAGAAGAAUAAAGUUAAACAUGAACAUAACCAACCAAAAAUGCUAGUUAUAAUAGUACACCCAUAAUUGCAAGCAAAACCUUUUUAAGAAGCCAUUUCCAUGGUUUUCCUCCCCAAAUUCCAUCAAUUCUGCAGAGGCAACGUCAAAUUUACUAUGAUGGAGAUCAUUUUGCACUGUAAUAACUUCAGAAGGUAGGAGAUUUGGUUUCAGAUCAUCUGUUGACGGAGUAGUUUCUUUUGAAGUGUCAUGAUGCUUUGAUUGCAAGCCUUCUGUACUUACGUCAGCCUACAAAACAAAAAUUGCAUUCAUCCACACUAGACUUAAUAAGAUUAGAAACACUUCAGAUUCUUCAUUAUUUGUAUUUUUGACUAAACAGCAGAACAACUGAGGAUAAUGAACAGUAAUACACACCUGGACUUCUCGUAGAUGAUUUGGAAUUUCUUUCAGAAAUCGCGAAGGUUGAAGCAUCUGAAGGAGUCACCUUCUCAGUCAGAGCAACAACAACAAAUAAGGAGGACAGGAAUUCAAGCUAAAACGAACCUGCCAACUGGAAUCCAUCGUAACAUAAAGAAUGAAAAGCUUUUUUCGAGCACGAGUCAUUGCAACAUAUAAUAGGCGUCUCUCCUCCUAUGAUUAGAGUGGGAUUAUUGAGUUAUUGAUCAAAAGAAAAAAGAGUGGGAUUAUUGUGAAAAACAUGUCAAAGCUCUGCAUAUAACUGAAAAAUGUUGAACAAUUUACCACACACCUCAAUGGAGGUCCCAUUUUCUUUUGCAACCCCAUUGAAUUCAUGCAACAACGGGAUCUCAGAUUCAUUUACCUGUGUUAUUGGCAUGAGCAUUAAAGCAAGCUAAGAUGAUUUGAAGAGGUUGAUAUCGUCAUGAAUAUAGUAGAACAGAGAAUACCAAUUUCAAGCCAUCAAUUAGGUAUAGCAUUGGCAUGUUUAAUCCGUAAAAUCUAAUGACAGAACACCUCAACUCUACACAUAAAUAAAUAAACAACCUGAAAAAUAUUACAGCCACAUGUUAAGGCAAAUACCUUAAUUAUGAAAACUAUAUCCCACUCUAAACCUUUUGACUGCAAGAGAAUGAAAAAGAAAGACAGUAAGCCAAGAAUGUUUUGUAGAACUCCAAAGGAAGUCCAAUAGGGAAAUCAUCGCAAGUAUAAGAGUUAGCGAGGUUCGCAUAAGAGGAUAUCAAAAAGAUCUAGAACCUGAUGAAUAGUAGUCAAAGUGACAGAACUUUGGUUGUCAUGUCUUCGGGAGUGAAAAUUUUCACUCUCCUGCUCAGAUAUGUAGUCGAUGAAAGCUUUGAGUAAAUUAACGCAGCCUUUUUCUUCUGCUACGACUUCUCUCUCUCCCCUUUUCCCGCAACAAAAUGAGUUGAUAAGAAAUCAGAUACGUCGUCUAGUAGGUACUGAAGAACCUGCAAUGAGAAUAAUCGCAUCACAGCAACAGGGUUGGACCAAGAUUUAAGUGACAACAAUGAUUAACUAACUAAAAUAGAGAAAUUAUUCAUUUAAGACCUUGUUGACGGAAAAAAGGGUUUUCCAAGCAGCGGGUCAUUUAAGCUUAUUGUAUAAAUGACAAUCAUCACAAACGGCAAACUUACAGAUCUCACGUCAUUGUCUUCAUUCAGCAGUUUUCCUCCAUCUACAUCAACGACUGCACGUUGCUCAAGACGGUACUUCUAAAAAUUGAAAGUCAACAACAACAACAACAACAACAAAGCCUUUUCCCACUAAGUGGGGUCGGCUAUAUGAAUCCUAGAACGCCAUUGCGCUCGGUUUUGUGUCAUGUCCUCCGUUAGAUCCAAGUACUCUAAGUCUUUUCUUAGAGUCUCUUCCAAAGUUGUCCUAGGUCUUCCUCUACCCCUUCGGCCCUGAACCUCUGUCCCGUAGUCACAUCUUCGAACCGGAGCGUUAGUCGGCCUUCUUUGCACAUGUUCAAAAUCACCGGAGCCGAUUUUCUCUCAUAUUUCCUACAAUUUCGGCUACUCCUACUUUACCUCGGAUAUCCUCAUUCCCAAUCUUAUCCUUUCUCGUGUGCCCACACAUCCCACGAAGCAUCCUCAUCUCCGCUACACCCAUUUUGUGUACGUGUUGAUGCUUCACCACCCAACAUUCUGUGCCAUACAACAUCGCUAGCCUUAUUGCCGUCCUAUAAAAUUUUCCCUUGAGCUUCAGUGGCCUACGACGGUCACACAACACGCCGGAUGCACUCUUUCCAUCCAGCUCGUAUUCUAUGGUUGAGAUCUCCAUCUAAUUCUCCGUUCUCUUGCAAGAUAGAUCCUAGGUAGCGAAAACGAUCGCUUUUUGUGAUCUUCGCUAGAUUGCUCCGGUCAUUAGUGUGGAUAAGUAUAUAAAUGGAUAGAGAUAGGAAAGCAAACACAAGAUGUACGUGGUUCACCCAGAUUGGCUACGUCCACGGAAUAGAAGAGUUCUCAUUAAUUGUGAAGGGUUUACACAAGUACAUAGGUUCAAGCUUUCAUUUAGUGAGUACAAGUGAAUGAUUUAGUACAAAUGACAUUAGGAAAUAUUGUGGGAGAAUGAUCUCGUAAUCACGAAACUUCUAAGUAUCGGAGUGUGGUGUCGUCUUGACUUGCCUUAUCUGUCUCAUAGGUAGAUGUGGCAUCUUCUCUGGAAGUACUCUUCCUCAAACGAUAAAUUAUUACGAAGCAUUGAAUAUAAGCAUGAAACGAAGAAAAUGUUAUGGAAUGGUGAUCCUCAUCCUCAAAGAUGAUUAAAAGCAAUUUGAUUCAAAAAUGACAUAUCAACUCUGGAGAAAUGGAAGACAAACCUGUGGUACCAUAUUCGCAACUGAGGUUAUGACAGCUGAAAUCGAUUGUUCCUGUGUGCAUUGAUAAGUGAGACUACCAUAGAGAUUCACAACUAAAUAAAGACAGGUAUUCCACAGAACAACCUUUACCUCUUUGGAAACACAGAUCUAACAAAAACUAUAACAUUUUGGAUUAAUAUUGACGAAUCAAGAAUAAUGCAAGGGAGCAAGAGAUACUCUUCCUUCUAAUAACAAGGAGGCGUGAAAAGUAUACAGAGUUCCAACAAUUAGAGAACUAAAAUCAAACUAAAAAAAUCACCAAAGUAGACAGAAUCUCACUUCGCCAAAAAUUUGAAAAUAUAUCCUUUUUAUCCAUUGAGAUUCAUGAACUACUACUACUACUACAUCAUGCCAAUAAGCAAUGCGUAAGAGGUGCUACAAUUUACCGAAUAUAUUUACCCUGAGAACAAGUUUUGAAAUCAUCUCUAGUGUUAACAGCACCUUGCGUCCUUGGGUAAGCUGAGUCCUAUUAUCAAGUAAAGAGACCAAUCAGUACAUAUCCAAAAGAUCUUAAAUGCUUGUAAUACCAAAUAAGAAAGAAACAUGAGUAUAUCUUGAAUUAACCAUGUAAAAAUGUAAUGUUAAAGCAUCUUGUCAUACAGACCUCUUCAAGGUACCAGAAAUUUUUGCACUAAAGAUGUCACAAGCAGCUGAUAUGAAGCUGCAUUUUCUGUGAGUUGAAAUUUUGUCAAUAUAAUCGAUCACCUGAAGAGAGAGAGAGAGAAAAAGACAGUGAUAUCCAGAGAUGUGAGCCUAAAUGCUGAGUGUGUAAAAAAAGAAGAUUAAAUGGAUAGCAAGAAUAUACAACUUUAAUGCUGAAAAGAACAUUGAAUAUGAUGCUCAUUCAUCAUUCCCAUUGAACGUGUACCUUCUUCUUUUCCUCUUUCUCAAAAGCAAGUAGAGCCUUGAAGACUUGCCUAUAUGAUCCAUCAUCACAACCAGGCAAAGUUGUUUUAAUCAUAGCAACAAUGGCUCUAACUACCUGCCAUAAGAAACAUGCUACAUCAACAAGAUCACAGAGUGUACCAGAAACCGUAAUGUAGCAAAAUCUUGGAUAAAAUAGCUGACCAAAAGGGAAUGGAAAAGCAAGCACGAAAAACAAUGAAAAGGACCAGUGAUGCCAAAAUUCUGGUGGAAAAGGUGAAAAGCUUCUGCCUAUUACAAUUUUUGUAUGCAUUCUUUAUAACUUAAGUUCUACUAGCAAAAACCACCUUAUGCAAAAUAAUAUUGGAAAAAUUAGAUACAUACAACUGAGAAGAUAGGUUUUCAUAAUCUGGACAAGUGCUAACUACCUUCUUCCUAUAAACUGCCACUCCAUGAACAUUAAAUGGUAUUUUCCUUUCACGCAAGGCUGUCUGGAAGACUUUUCCUGAUACCUGUAGCAUAAAAUACAAAAGAAAAUGUGACCAAAAUGUCUUAUAUGAUUCACCUCAUUCACAUUAGCACUAAGGCAAGUAAGCUUGACCUGCCUCCGGUAAAGGAUUGCUAUAUUUCCAUAGGAGCACCCUGCUUCUGACCGUUUCGAUGCAGUCUCCAGGAUCUUGUCGACAACAAAGGCGCAUUGUGCAUCCUCAUUGUGACUUUCCUUGAUAAUUACCUACAUUUUGCCAGUAAAACCAGUGUCACUAACUAAAAGGACUGAAAAAUGACAUCAAAUUGUACUUGUUGGAGCAAGGAAAGAUUAAGUACCUUAGACCCAGAAGAAUUGUCCGUGUCAACAUUCUUUAGUUGGCAUCGCUUCUUAUUGUUUUUUAUAACAGAAGAUGCAGCUUCCACAAUAUAGCGUGUGGACCUAAAGUUUUUAUUAAGCCUAAUCUGAACCAUAAAGUUAUGUCAAAUCCCACAGAAACCCAUAAAAUAAAACUUACUUUCCUGUAAUUGUACAAUAUAUUUGUUCUAUACUAUAUAUAAUGAAAAAAGACACUGUGAAUGACAUAAGAUAACAUAGCAGUCAAGUGCGAAGCGAACCUCUUUGUAAUUUGAAAAAUCUUUACGAAAAGAAUCAAAUCCAGAAAUGUCCGCCCCAUUGAAACUGAAAAUGGACUGCAGCAGGAUAUAUGUUAUUUGAUUUAGAACAGAUAAGGGCUGGAUUAGAAUGAGCUGAGAGAGAGAGAGAGAGAGGGAGAGAGGGAGAGAGGGAGCAAUAACAUUGGAUUUCCAUAAUAAAUCAACAACAUGCCUGAUCAUCAUCACCAACAAUGGUUAUGUGGUUAUGAGAGGCGAGAAUCCGCAAAAGACUAUAUUGCAUAGCACUUGUGUCUUGAAACUCGUCUAUUACAAUAGCUUUCCAUGACUCCUGGCACUCCUUCAACACUAAUUAAGAGAACACCAUGUAUCAACAUUUAGCAUUACUUGUAAAACUAGAUAAAUCAAUGAAAUAUACUUAGAUGAUAGAGACCUUCAGGAAAAUCACUUAGCAGCUUCACAGAGCAGCUAAUUAAGUCGUGGUAGUCCAAAGCGUUGCACGAUUUCAAGAUAUCAUUGUAAUUCCUAAGAAUUUCACCCUGAUUCAGAUUGAGAGCUAAAACUCAUAAGCAAUAGUUUCAAAGAACUGAAAUGAUAUCUGAAAUUCUAGUUCUGAGCGUACUCCUGUCACAUCACCCAUUCUUCGGCAUUCAGCGGGAGUCUUUCCAGAAGCUUUUGCCUGAAACAUAAAUAAAUUUACUGCCUAAUGCCACAUAUUGUAAGACACACCAUUGUAUUGGUCAUUCUAGCUUGAUUGUAGCUAAUAUUUUUUAAAUCGAAUGAUUAGAGUUCUUAAUCCACAAUAAUCUGAACAUUAAAUUUGGUAUUCAAGACUAACCUGUGUCACAAACUUCAGCCAUUUCUUUGAUGCAUCCUUAAAAUGAUGUGGAGAUGUUACGCCGUCAGACUCUUCCCCAUCUAUAGCAACAUUAAGAUUCGUUUUACUCUUUUCAUCUUCUGAUAACCGCACAGCUUCAAUGAUUGCUCUUCUCUGUUGCCCAUGUCCAUAUAUCAAAAAUUCUGGUCUGCGCUUGAGUCUAAAACACAAGCCAACAUAACAGACUCAGCUAUACCACCAAAUGUAUGGUGUUCAAAAUCAAGGGAGGUGAAUCAAUAGCUUACUUCUCAGCAUGUGAUCGGCAAAGUUGCAAUGAAAAUGAAUGAAAUGUACUGAUUGUUAGUAGUUUUGCCGUUGCUUUCCCAGUCACAGAUCCAAUUCGAUCUCUCAUCUCGGAAGCUGCUGCUGUAGUGAAAGUCAUUGCUAGAAUGUUCGACGUGCUAAUGCCCUAAGAACACAAAAAAAAAAAAAAAACGAAUAAGAUUUCGAUCAUAAACAAGAAAUGUAGAGAAACACACAAUUACGAAAGAAAAAGUUAGAGGGAAAGUAGCAACACCUCAUUGAGCAGCAUUAGAACGCGCCCAACUAUCGUUGAAGUCUUUCCACUUCCAGGGCCGGCAACAAUCAUCAAAGGUACUGAAAUAUAGCUGCAAGCUGCCUCACGCUGCCUUUCGUUGAGAGAAAGCAAAUACUUCAAAUACUCAUCCGGCAUGUUAGGCAAUCCAUGGUUAACAGAAUCUGUUUGGUUUUCACUACUCAAAGGCGGCGCUGAUGGCACUAACGUGUUAUGACCCAAAUUAUUACUGAGGUUUUAUGCUUUAUUACUGUGAGGAAUUGUUAAUAUACCAGCUGGCAUUUAAAAGUGUAGAGGUUUUAUAAAAGGAGCCCCAGCUCCCCCAAAUGUAUCAGAUCAGAAUUUUACAAAAGAAAUCAAUAUUGGAGCUCUGCUCCUUCUUCUCUCCUUCCCUCUUCUUCCAUAGCUUUCUUGUGCCACUUACAGGUUGAUUAAGGGAAUUGAGAAUUAGAUCUUAUCAAUGGUAUCAUCCUUCUCGAAUCCUGGUUUCCCUCCUGUGCACACCCACCCACCUACGUUUUCUGCCAUGGUUGCUGCGCCCAAGGAUUCGCUUCGCGAGACCCUGGAUGCUCUAUUCGCACCCUACCUGGCUAAGAUCCGCCGUGCCCGUGAGUUGGCUCUCAGCGCUGAGGGAGACUCCACUCCAACCCUUAUGUUCGCUAUCAGUGAUGGGGGAGUUCCUGAUCCAGCCCCGAUGAUUGCCGAUGACGCUGCAGGAAUCGAUCUCGGUCAGAAAAUAAUUCCACGAGUCGCUGCAUCAACUAAUCAGAUUCUGCCGUUGCUCUCGUCAUCGCCGUUAUUGCGAGCACUAGCAAAUCCUCCUGUCAGGCCACCGUCGAACUCAAACGCUUCAUUGGCAAAUUCGCCCAGCCAGCCGCUACACUCAAAUGAUAUUGUAGCAGCCACAAUUCCAUUGCGGAAUGUUGAGAAAACCAGGCCCGUUGCGAUUGUGACCACAAUGCCGCUAUUUCCGAUUUCAGCAACCUUUAGCACUGAAUCAGCCCACGCUCACAAUCACAACCUCGUUUUGAGCACCAAGGAAGCUACAACAAUGGCGCAUGUUCUGGGUUUUCCUCUCAAGAAAGCAGGAGCUACUAAAUCUGUAGGUAUAUCUCAUACAAACACCACGAAGCGUCGACACGAGGUAUUGACAUCCUUGCUUUCCAAUUCUACAAAUCGGAAGGACAAAUGGUAUUGGGUUUUGCAGGUUAUUUUGGCAUAUUAUACUGGUGUUAUUGUGAUAAUGUAUGACGACUUCUUAACUGAUAAAUGUGGAUGGGGUAAUUGGUACCUUGUGGGACAAUUUGUGUUACACGCGCCCCUAAUUUAAAUCGUAUUUUUACUAAAUUUGAGUUUAUCUUGCUUUUAAAAUUAUUUUUGGGUUUUAAAUGGUGUGCCCAAGGCCCACCCCCUGUUUUGUCCCCCGUUCCCUUUCCCUUUCUUUUAUUUAUUUUCUUCUUUCUUCUUCUUCUUCUUCUUCUUUUCUGUUUCUUUUUCUUUCUUUUCCGUCUGUCCCUCUCGGCUCUCUCUGCGCCCUCUCUUCUCUGCACCGCAACAAGCACACGCACGCACCCAUUGCACCUGCGCGAGGAAGACCAUCAUCAUCUCGUCCUGCUCUCUCUCCCUCUCGUGUUUGCGAACCCAGAAAAUCGGAAAGGAUCUUCCGCGAGAUUUUUAUAUUUUCCGGUUAGGUAAGCCUCAAAUCCCUCUCUUUCGUCCUAGAAUCUUUUGAGAAUGGGUUCUAAUUGGUUUUAUUUCGUGAUUUUUGGAGGUUUUAGGAUGAAAACAAACUCGGGUGCAGGAACACCCAUUUCCGGCGAGGAACCCGCCACUUUCGAGUUAAUCUCCGGCCAAACCACGGCGAGUUGGCCGGCGUGCAAGGUAUCAAUCUCUUCGUCUCGUCGAUUACUACAACUUUCCUUUUUGUUUCACCCAAUUUCGUUGAGUAUUGAAGAAGUUAUACUCAUUUGAAUCUUACCCAGUUUCCGGCGAGUCCGACGGCUUUCGAGGCGUUUUCCGGUCAAACCACGGCGAAUUAGACGUCGUGUGAGGUACCAUUCUCUUCGUCUCUUCGAGGGCUACAACUUUCGUUUUUGUCUCGCUUGAUUUCGUUGAGUUUUAACAAAGUUAUAGCCAUUUAAAAUUGGGUGGUUUUCCGGCCGAAAUUCCAGCCUUCUUCUUCCUCGGGUCCGGCGACCCAUCAAACUUGGGCCCUUUGGGCCGUUUCUGUUAAGGGCUUUAAGCCCAAACCCUAAACCUUUGGGCUUUAGGACCAAACCCAAGAACCCAAACCCUAUGACCCAAACCCGGAUCCAAGCCCAGACCCGUUUGACCUGGUCCGACCCGGAUCCUGACCCGUUGACUUUGACCGGUCAACGUUGACUUUUCUAGUUGACUUUUCGGGUUUUCGUCCAAGACCUUCCUAGGCUAAUUUCGACGUCCUGGAUCCGUUUUUGAAGUUCGUUUUCCCAAAUUCAAUCGUUUGAGUAGAGUUUGACUAAAUGGAUCAUUUAUGUGCUUAGGUGAAUUUAAUGACGGCGGUUCCGUUAUUCCUAUUUGGUAUGGCGUUGCACCAACGGUGUACGGUGAGUGGACCCCUUCUAAAAUGCAUGUUUUAUAGUAGAAAUGCAUACAUAAAAAGUAUGAUUUGAUGAUUACCUUUUAUGAAACGUUUUGUGAGAUAACAUGCUUAUUGAGGCUACUUUAAAUUAUUACUAUUUUUCCUAUAACCCGUGUUCUUAUAGAAUAUCUGAUGGAUGACGAUAUGAUAUUAGAACAUGUUUAGAACACCUCUUUAUAGUAUAGAUGAUGGAUGACUUUAUACUAUGAAGUUGUUUUUCAAUAUAUAUGUUCAAUGGUUUUGUACUUACCUAGUGGUCAUUUCCGCUACGGGACGUAGGGAUAGAUUCCGGUCAUUCCCGGGCGACGGUUUGGUGUUGGCAUAGGGCCUGGAGUGUGUUUCCUCUGGCUAUUUAGCACAGGGACGGGGAGCCGGCAUGGGGCCUGAAGUGUAUUUUCCUCUGACUGUCUGCUCAGAGACGGGGAGCCGGCAUGGGGCCUGGGGGUUAUCGGACAAUUCACUAGUGAUUAUUAUAUAUAUAAAAGUUAUGAUUUGAGACACUGCACAUCAUGCUAGGUUUCGGAAAACCUAUGUUUAUCAUUAUAUAUGUGUUUUCAUAAAACUUGGGGGUUAGUACGUUGAUAACUGUUUUGUUAUAUUUAUAUCAAAUUGGUCCACUCAUGUUUGUUUUGCGCCCCCUUCAGGAUUUAGGAUCGAGGCGUACAAUCCCGGCAAUCCAGGCACUUCCGCAUCGGUAUCUUCAAGUCCUCUCGGUGUAGAACCCACUUCUGUGUUCAUUCAAUUUUUAUAUUAAUUCUUUUAAUGUUCUAGAUUAGAUGUGUGCUCUGAACACGUUCCUUAAAUGCAUAUUCUUUAUUUAUAUUUAUAAGUUUUAUCUAUCCUUUAUUUUCAGCAAUUGCACUCAAUAAAUGGCUUUCGUCGCCCUCGGGUGUCGGCCAGCACGUGACCAUCCUGAUAUCCUGAGGAUAUCGGGAUCGGGGCGUGUCAGAUUGGUAUCAGAGCGUGGUUUGUUCAGAGCAUACUUAGGAUCCUCUUCUAUUAUCGUAGAGUGUUGGUUUUGACAUCAUUUGGAUGUCCAGACUUCUAGAUUUGGUGCCAUUCGGCGCAGUCGUGCGAAUCUUCCUCUAUUUGAAUUGUCACAUUCGGGUUGAUAUACAAGAAUUUGUGUCGGGAUUGUGCCUCAUCGGUGACGUGUUUGAAUUGUUGGACGACUUUCAGCUUCAGAUUGAUACUCUACGACGUGCAUUCCCUGGGAAUGACGGGCAUAGUCGGUGUUACUUGGAAGCGACGGAUUUUAGAAAUCUCAGCUUAAGGAAGUCUGGUCAAGACCAGCUGUAAAUUCGAAAUGGCGAUGCCACUCUACAACAUGCGUUCCCUAGGAAUUGCGGGCGGAGUCGGCUUUGCAUCGAAAUCUUGGGAAGCGGAAAAAAAAUCUUGGCAGUACGAAUUGACUAAGACCAACUGGAGUUCUGAAGCGGUGUUGUACUCUGCAACAUGCGUUCCUUAGGAAUGGCGGGCAGAGUCGUAUCUCUUUAGAAAUUACUCGAAACUUUCGAAAUGCAGAUUGAAGAAGCGAGUAAGUGCUAGUGGUGACGACGGUUAGUAGGUGGUAGUUGGUGGGAGCAAAAUCAAUGUUCUCGAACUCAUUACCACUGAAGAAAUUUGGGUGAAUCUUUAUAACAGUUCUCUGUGAUUGUUUUAUCGAUUACCUUCUCGUUUAUUCCAACGACGAAGUCAAGUUCACUGACCUUUGAUCGUCAGCUUCACAUCAAAUCCCUCGAGAGUUGACUUCGUCUAGAGAUUAUACUUUUCUUGGGAAACUCCUCGGUAGCAGACGUUAUUCUCAUCAAUUUCGAAAUGGAGUUGCGAUUCUUGUUGUUGUUGUAGUUGAACUUGGAUAAUGAAGAUUCAGCCUUGUUUGGAUAAACAAAUUCCUUGAACUUCACCUGGGUUUGGUACUUGGUAGUAAACCCUAGUUCCUCAUCCGUGUACUUUUCAGUGAAGGUGAACUUAGUCCCUUGCUUGCAACCUAACUGUUCAGCCUUGUAAUUUUCAGCGUAAUGGCUUGAGACUCUAUCAUAUUCAUCAUUGUACGAAGAUCGAGCUUUACUCUGAACUUCUCUGGGCUCGUUAAGCUUUGAUUUGCUCAGAGGCAUCACUUUAAGGUAGCCAAUCGUGUCACUGCAUGCAUACACAAGCUGCUUUGUAUCUUUCUUCUUCGUUAUUCUGCUGAUUCAGAGGUUUUAUGUUUAAUUUCUGAAUUUUUAAAUGACUAUCGCGAAGUACCGUGAAUCUCGAAAUGUCUUUGGCCUCGUCAAAUCUUAUUAAUAGUUCUUGACUAUUCUUGAGAUUAGACUUGUUCCUUUUGGCUAAGAAACCAGUCGACCUUAUUGUGAUGAGUAGCCAAAUAAUCAUAAACAGUAACUUCUAUUUCUGCAUCUUCAUUUUCCUUCGUUUGUUUGUUUGUUUCUCAAUGUGAACUGGAUCAUGCCGGGACAUUACACGAAGGGUGUAAAAAAAAAAAAAAAAAAAAACGUUUGUUCUCGGCGUGGUUUCUAGUUCAAAUCCGGAUAUCUUGUACUCUAUAUUUAAUGGACUUGUUUUGAACCUUAAAUUCCUGAGUGUUCUUUUAGCCUUAUCGACAUGGUUUCUCUCUCAAUUAGUGAGAAAUUCAUGAUCGAUGGUUUCGGCGGAAGUGUGCGCCCAAUUCUUAUCGAUUUGGACAGGAAUGUUGGGAGCAUAAUCUUUUCACAAGCUUACUAGACUUACCAGAAAGAGUUCCACGUGGGUGUGAAGUUUGAGUUGUCUUUUGGUAAGAGACUGGUGAAGAUUGUGGUGCAGAUGAUUAGCAGAUUGUAUCACUAUCUUCACGCUGAAUUGAAUGGUCACCAUUCAUUAUCCUGCUGCAAUUCAUAAUCAUCAUAUCUUACUCUGGUAGACAUUUUUGAUGAUGUGUUCGCCUCAACGCAGCUUUCCACUACCUCUCACCAGGAUCCUUCGGUUCGAGAGCACGUGGGCGUGAGGUUGAGCGGUCUUUUAGUAAGAGUUGGUUGAAGGUUUUAGUUCAGAAGGUCAGCAUAUUGUAUCACCAUCUUACUAGAAUUCAUAGGCAUCACAUCGGUUAUUUUCCAACGAUAUGUGUUCGUGUCAAUGCAUACUUCGACUGCUUCACUUCUGAACCUUAUUCUUGUGAGUAUGUGGAUGUUGAAUCACUUAUAGCAGAUUUGUUUGGUGCACUCUGGAAUGGCACCACAACGUAGUUGAGAUAAGAAUCGGAAGAUCUUUGCACUUUUUGCGAAUGGUGUGUGCUCUCAUGGGGUGUUUAGGUUGAUUGCAUGAGAGUCAUUCUUUCCUCCAACAUUGAUCUUGUUUGACUAGAAAUCUGCAACUAAGCAAAAAUGGAGAGGUGGAUUGAGCACUACAACAGUUCCCAAGAGAUACUGCGUGUUGAGGAAGAUGACUUCUCGUUUUCUGCUUACCUAGUUCGAGCUUUUGGGUCUACUACUAACAUGGUGGCCACUUCUCUUGAAUCCCAAAGUACAGUUUCAAAUGGGUUCUUUGUUGGCAUAACUCUGGAGUAGUUGGUCACAUUUGGAAUAACUGAGGAAGAGGUUGUGCUUGGUACUAAAGGGAGUUAGUAUGACGAUAGUUAUUGGUUUUGUUCGAUUUGGGUAUGGCACUAUUUGCGACAUGGUACGAGAGUUGCUACACGCAACAUUGGUUGAUAGAGGAGACGUGCAAGCUUGUACUUGGAGGAUCGAAUUUUCGACGUGUGAAAUUGUGCACCCUCAGGAAAUUACUGCUUGUUUACUGAGACAACAAAUGUGUGGUCGAUAUCGCGGGCGGCCGACUGUGGUAUCGAUAAUUUAUUUGUUGGGUUCGUUAAGCAAGUGGGGCAGGAAUAUCCUUUUACGGCAGCCGUUAAAGAUUCACUAUUGUUAGAACUGGACCCAAAGACACAUCUAUUUUCGGAGUACGCGACGUUUCGAAUUCUUGGGCAAGACCCACUCUCAUUCUUCAGUUUUGGUUUUCAGUAUAAGUAUUUUAACCUCAUUUACUCUAGUUAAUUGUUUUGCCAUUACAAAUGUUUUUGGAAAAGUAUUUCCGUUUUCAGUUUUUAAGUGUAGCUCGAAUUUUCAACCUAUAUGUUGGUACAUAUCCAUUUUGACGUUAUCGUAUGUUAUGUUCUUACUUUUGACCUUAAUCUAUUUUAUGUUUUCGACUUUAUAUCUUUAUAAAGUAUGUUUUCUACUUUUACACUGAUGGGGAAGAAAGUAAGCUUGGAGGCAUGAUAGAGGAUUUUGCAACCCGCUCGCGACGGUGUGGUAUAUUCUCUUUGAUGCACCCACUCUGACUUGAUUUCUCUUUAUACAUAUAUUCUUCUUACUAUUUUCGUGUAUUUCAGUUUAGUAGGUGAUUUUAAAUUUCGGGGACGAAAUUCUUUUUAAGGGGGGUAGAUUGUUACACCCGCCCCUAAUUUAAAUCGUAUUUUCACUAAGUUUGAGUUUAUCUUGCUUUUAAAAUUGUUUUUGGGUCUUAAAUGGUGUGCCCAAGGGGCCCCACCCCCUGUUUUGUCCCCCGUUCCCUUUCCCUUUCUUUUAUUUAUUUUCUUCUUUCUUCUUCUUCUUCUUCUUCUUUUCUGUUUCUUUUUCUUUCUUUUCCGUCUGUCCCUCUCGGCUCUCUCUGCGCCCUCUCUUCUUUGCACCGCAACAAGCACACGCACGCACCCAUUGCACCUGCGCGAGGAAGACCAUCAUCAUCUCGUCCUGCUCUCUCUCCCUCUCGUGUUUGCGAACCCAGAAAAUCGGAAAGGAUCUCCCGCGAGAUUUUUAUAUUUUCCGGUUAGGUAAGCCUUAAAUCCCUCUCUUUCGUCCUAGAAUCUUUGAGAAUGGGUUCUAAUUGGUUUUAUUUCGUGAUUUUUGGAGGUUUUAGGAUGAAAACAAACUCGGGUGCAUGAACACCCAUUUCCGGCGAGGAACCCGCCACUUUCGAGUUAAUCUCCGGCCAAACCACGGCGAGUUGGCCGGCGUGCAAGGUAUCAAUCUCUUCGUCUCGUCGAUUACUACAACUUUCCUUUUUGUUUCACCCAAUUUCGUUGAGUAUUGAAGAAGUUAUACUCAUUUGAAUCUUACCCAGUUUCCGGCGAGUCCGACGGCUUUCGAGGCUUUUUCCGGUCAAACCACGGCGAAUUAGACGUCGUGUGAGGUACCAUUCUCUUCGUCUCUUCGAGGGCUACAACUUUCGUUUUUGUCUCGCUUGAUUUCGUUGAGUUUUGACAAAGUUAUAGCCAUUUAAAAUUGGGUGGUUUUCCGGCCGAAAUUCCGGCCUUCUUCUUCCUCGGGUCCGGCAACCCAUCAAACUUGGGCCCUUUGGGCCGUUUCUGUUAAGGGCUUUAAGCCCAAACCCUAAACCUUUGGGCUUUAGGACCAAACCCAAGAACCCAAACCCUAUGACCCAAACCCGGAUCCAAGCCCAGACCUGUUUGACCUGGUUCGACCCGGAUCCUGACCCGUUGACUUUGACCGGUCAACGUUGACUUUUCUAGUUGACUUUUCGGGUUUUCGUCCAAGACCUUCCUAGGCUAAUUUCGACGUCCUGGAUCCGUUUUUGAAGUUCGUUUUCCCAAAUUCAAUCGUUUGAGUAGAGUUUGACUAAAUGGAUCAUUUAUGUGCUUAGGUGAAUUUAAUGACGGCGGUUCCGUUAUUCCUAUUUGGUAUGGCGUUGCACCAACGGUGUACGGUGAGUGGACCCCUUCUAAAAUGCAUGUUUUAUAGUAGAAAUGCAUACAUAAAAAGUAUGAUUUGAUGAUUACCUUUUAUGAAACGUUUUGUGAGAUAACAUGCUUAUUGAGGCUACUUUAAAUUAUUACUAUUUUUCCUAUAACCCGUGUUCUUAUAGAAUAUCUGAUGGAUGACGAUAUGAUAUUAGAACAUGUUUAGAAUGUCACAGCCCGUCCCGGGAUUUCUAUAUCGGGGGCGUGAAUUGACGUAACUACCCUUGACGGACAUUCGGGUACGUGUGUGUGCGACAUUAUUGAAUUAAUUUUGUAAGUUUUGGGAUUUUAAUUUUGGAAUUUGGAAAUUUUUGUGGUUAGGGAAUUGGAUGGAUGGUGAGGAUUGUGUUGGACCACACAAUCACACACACACGCACUCCCUGUCUUCUCUCCCUCCCGUAGCUCUCUCUGUCCCUCUCCCUCACGAUCUCUCUCUUUCCCCUCACCCUAUACGUACGGCCUUCACCCAAAACCCUUCAAAACUCGACGGAUCGAGGCAAAUAAGGUAUGCAUCUUCAUCCUUUCGUCGUCCUGAGUUCAUUGGUGCUAGUUUUAGGAAGUGAAACCUUCGAUUUCACAUAGAUCCCGAACCUCCAUUUUUGAGGUACUGUUCAUGCGAACGUAAAAUGUUGUGUUUCAGGAGAUUUCAAGCUUGUGGUGAGCUUUAGGAGGUUCCUAAGGAAGCUCGGGGACGUUCGUUGGAGAGUUUUGGACGUCGGGAUCGUAGGUUUCAAGUUUGGCCGAAUCUUUGGUUUUUCCAAGGUGAGAUUUCGUAGUUUUUAGGCCCUAAAACAAGUCCAACGUGAUUGUACACUCUUAGGGCUUCAAUUUGGUAUAAAAUACGAAGAAAAUGGGUGAAAAACGAAGGAGAAUAGUGAGUUUGAAAAUCGGCCGGAGUUCGGCCGGAGUCCGGCCACCAGAGAACCAGUCCGGCGAGACCUGCGAAGAAGACGACACGUGCGCUGCACGUGCUGCGCGUGGCCAGCGCGUGGACCCGUGCCACGUGUGGCGCGUGGGGGCGCGUGGGGCUUCCAAAAAUUUUUCUAAAAAUUUCUCGACGCUCGUGACGUCGAGUAGGUCGAUGUGGUAUAUUAUUAUACCAAAAUUGAGCAUCGUAUGAGAAGUUAUUUCAAAUUAUUGGUGAUGUGCUUAAAAUUAAUGUUUUUAUAGUUGUUUCGCAUAUAGGUGAGACGUAUCCCGAGGACGACCGCAUCCAGGGACGCCACGGGGGUUACGACGACCCGUCGACUUAUCAGUGAGUGGGCAGUUUUGUUUUCGUAUUACCUAUAUACUACUGUUUUUCCCAGAAAAAUGUUUAUAUGAAAAUAUGUUUUGAAUAUGCCAUGCAUAGAAUUAUUUGAAAAUCAUGAAUUGGUUUAUGAACUAUAUGAUUGAAAUAUGAUGCAUACAUGUUGCAUGGUGCUGUGGAGGCACAGGUAAGUCAGGUGAGUUCAUUUAUUCAUUGAAUUGUUGUUGUUGAGAUGAGUUGAGCUCAUAAUCUGCACCCUAGGUGUUAGUGCUUAUAUUAUUCACCACACCGCACGCUCGUCUUGGAUCCAAGUAGGUGGAUGUCGUACAGACCAUGUGAGGGUUCCGACAUGCUAGUCGUACAGAUCACUAGGCGUGAUUCCGACUAGUGGGUGACCUUAGUUAUGCGCGCUGAUGAUAUGAUGAGAGAAGCACUAGAGCGUAUUUUUACACCUUUCAUCGUAUAGACUACCUUACGUAGUUCCGAGUGAUGUGCAGAGUAGGGCCGUAUAGGUCACUGUGGUGACUCCGGCUUAGUGGGAUUUUUGAGCUAUUGAAUUAAUCGUAUAGGACCAACUGCAGGGUCUCCGAUUGAUUCCUUAUUUCACCUGAUUUAUAUUUUUUAUUUAUGUCAUGGCAUGUUUUCUUGAAAAUGUUAAAGAUUUGAGAUUUAAAUGUUGAGAUUUUAUAUGGUUAUAUAUAUUUCUGGGAAAGUAUACAGGUUUUUACGGCGAGGGGAUAUAACUGUUUUAAUGAAAUGUUUUGGAAAACUAAUUUGUUUUACUGACCCACUCAUUUUGUUUUGCGCCCCUCCAGGUUCUAGUUUAGCGGUGGUUGGCUCACGAGGUCCUUUCCGGCUUUCUGACAGAUUUGGGACAUGUAGGACUCACCUGAGGGUGAUGUAUUCUUAUUUUAGUCCUACUUGACUGCAGUUAACCUAUGCUCUGAACUUAUGUGUUUACUUGUAAACUCGUCCGGUUAUGUCCGUAUGUGGUUAUGUUGAGUUUGGGUUGAAUUUCUGUUGUUAUUACGCUUCCGUGUCGUGCUUAUGGUUACGUCACGCCCACGUGACGGCCAGCACACCUGGAUCCUCCGGAUCAGGGUGUGUCAGUUUGGUAUCAGAGCUUAGGUUGCAGUCCUGUAAAAUUGUUAAUGUCUUAACGAUCUUUUUGAUGUUUUCUGUCAGAAUCAUGCCGCCUCGUAGAGAGCGUAGGGAGUCCCGCCGUACUCCUGAACCUAAUUUCCCAGAUAUUACUCAGUUAGGGGAAGCGAUGGCCCAGGCUUUACAGAAUGUGAUUCGUCCUCCCCCUCCUCCGAGGACACCUCUGGAGACCAUGUACAACUUGAAGUUAGAUCGGUUUAUGGGUAAUGAAAGUCAUGAGGGGGCAGAGAAAUGGCUUGAUCAUAUUGAGAAAACCUUUCAGGUGAUGCAGAGUCAGGGGAAUCUCCCUGCUAAUAGGUGGGUGGAGACCACCACUUGGUUUCUGGGUUGUGAACCAGCAGCAUGGUGGAUAAAUCAGGCUAGGUACAUGUCACCUGAGACGGCAGCCGACUGGAAAGUAUUCAAGGAGCAUUUUAUGAAGAGAUUUCGUUCCUCCUGAGUAUAUUGACCGUAAGAAGCAGGAAUUCACCAGGUUGAAACAGAGAAAUAUGUCGGCACAUGAAUAUUAUAGAAAGUUUACUGAUUUGUCUCGUUAUGACACUGAUAUAGCUGGUAAUCAGGGAGAGAUGCUUCGACGUUUCAAGUUGGGAUCUAAGAAGAAGUGGCGUACCUUUGCCAAUGCACUUCCCUGCGCUGAUUAUCAUGAGUAUUUCGAGAUUUUGGUUAGGAUGGAGGACUCUGAUAAUCUUCCUGACAGUGAGGAUGACGAGGACAAGAAUGAGGGUCAGAAGAAGAAUGAUAAGGGUAAGGGUAUUUCUAUUCCUGGACCUCGACAGACACAGAGUUUUUAAGAAGAGUGGAGCGAGUUCGAGUUCUUCUAGUGGGGGAUAUAGUUUUACUGGCCCGAGGAGAGGUGGUGGAAGAUUUUCUGGUGGACCCAGAUUUCAGGGUCAGAGGGAUGCUGGUGGAUCUGGCGCUCCAUGGUGCCGCCGUUGUAACUCCCGUCACCAUGGUGAGUGUAGGAGAGGUUCUGGUGCCUUGUUUUUACGUGUGGGACAGAUGGGACAUCGGGCUUCUCAGUGCCCCCAGGGUCAGCAGAGACCGCAGCAGACUAAUAUGCCACCUCCAGCACCAGUUCAGCAGAGUUUUGGGACCGGGUGGUUAUGGCCAGCCGAGUCGUGGUGGUGCCUACCACUAUCAGGGGGAUGCUGCUCCGUAUGCUUCCGGACCUUAUCAGUAUUCUCAGGAGCCUUAUCCUCAGGCAGGGUAUUCUCAGGAUUUUGGAGGUUAUUCUUCUUAUUCCUCUAUGCCAGCUGGUGGAUCGCAGUGGCAUCAGGGAGGCCAGCCCCGUCAGGGGGAAGUUGCUACUGGUGGUGCAGGAUCAUCCAGGCAGCCUAGUCAGCCAGGCCAGGGACGAGGUAAUCAGGGCAAUAGAGGCCGAGGUGGACGUCAGCAAGCUCAGGGGCGAGUUAAUCAUAUUGUCCCUGCAGGAGGCUCAGAACCAUCCAGACUUGAUAAUGGGUACGUUAAAUGUUCUUGGUCAUUUUGCUAAGGUUUUGAUUGAUUGUGGCGCUACGCACUCUGUGAUUUCUCAUACGUUUGCUCAAAUAACCCAACCUCACCCUUCACCUCUAGGAUUUGAUUUAGAGUUUGCCAUGCCUAGAGGAGAUAAAUGUAUUGUGGAUAGUGUGUAUCUGGGGUGUCCAGUGAUGGUUGAGGGCGUGAUUAUGUCCGCUGAUCUUAUUCCGUUAGAUAUUGUGGAUUUUGAUGUGAUUUUAGGGGCCGAUUGGUUACACCAUAAUCGUGCCCAUAUUGAUUGUUAUGGUAAAUCAGUUACUUUUUAUCGUCCUGGAUUACCCGAGGUUAUUUUUGUGGGCGAGAGAAGUGGGGUGAGACAUGGAGUUAUUUCUGCCAUAAGGGCGAGGAAAUUAUUAUCGAAGGGUUGUCAGGGAUAUUUGGCACAUGUGGUAUUAAAUGAUGUUGCUCCUACUAGUAUAGAAGAAGUUGGUGUGGUCAGACAUUAUCCGGAUGUUUUCCCUGAUGAUUUGCCGGGAUUGCCGCCAGACAGAGAGGUGGAAUUCUCUAUUGAUUUGCUUCCAGGUACGGACCCUAUAUCUCUGACUCCUUAUAGAAUGGCUCCUGCUGAGUUAAGGGAAUUAAAAAUCCAGUUGCAAGAAUUACUUGAUAAAGGUUUUAUUCAACCUAGUUCUUCACCUUGGGGUGCCCCAGUAUUAUUUGUGAAGAAGAAGGAUGGAACUCUUUCGAUUGUGUAUUGAUUAUAGACAAUUGAACCGGGUAACGAUUAAAAACCGUUAUCCAUUGCCCCGCAUUGAUGAUUUGUUUGAUCAGCUGAAAGGUGCGUGUGUAUUUUCUAAGAUUGAUUUGAGAUCCGGGUAUUAUCAAUUGAAGAUUAAAGAAGACGAUGUACCUAAGACGGCUUUCCGAACUCGGUACGGACAUUAUGAAUUUUCGGUUAUGCCGUUUGGGUUGACUAAUGCACCUGCAGCUUUUAUGAGAUUAAUGAAUGAGGUAUUCCAGAAAUAUCUUGAUAAAUUUGUUAUUGUUUUUAUUGAUGAUAUUCUGGUAUACUCUAAGUCCCAAGCAGAUCAUAUCCGACACCUUAAUUUGGUGUUAAGGAAAUUAAGGGAGCAUCAGUUGUAUGCCAAGUUCAGUAAAUGUCAGUUUUGGUUGACUGAAGUGGCAUUUUUGGGGCAUGUUGUAUCAGCUCAAGGUAUUCAAGUUGAUCCUCAAAAGAUUGCAGCAGUGGAGAAUUGGGAGCAACCUCGAACCGUCACGGAGGUACGAAGUUUUCUUGGCUUAGCAGGUUAUUAUCGACGGUUCGUUCAGGAUUUCUCUAUGAUUGCUUUACCGUUGACAAAGUUGACCAGGAAGGAUGUUAAAUUUGAGUGGGAUGAGAAUUGUGAGCGGAGUUUUCAACAAUUGAAGUAUUGCCUCACUCAUGCACCGGUGUUGGUACUUCCCGACGAUAGCGGUAAUUUUGAGAUAUAUAGUGAUGCUUCAUUAAAUGGUUUGGGAUGUGUUUUGAUGCAGCAUAAUAAGGUGAUUGCCUAUGCUUCUAGGCAGUUGAAAAAAUCAUGAAAGGAACUAUCCUACUCACGAUCUUGAAUUGGCAGCAAUUGUUUUUGCUUUGAAAAUUUGGAGGACAUUACUUUGUAUGGUGAGAAGUGUAAGAUCUUCACUGAUCACAAGAGUCUUCAGUAUUUGUUUACUCAGCAUGAUCUUAAUCUUCGUCAGCGAAGGUGGAUGGAAUUGUUAAGUGAUUAUGAUUGUUCUAUUGAAUACCAUCCAGGUCGUGCUAAUGUAGUAGCGGAUGCACUGAGUAGGAAACCUCAAGGUAGACUUAAUGCCCUUAUAUGCUAGUCGUGUUCCUCUUCUUGCUGAAUCUGAGGACAACUGGGGUAAGGUUGGAAAUUGAAAGACCGAGGAUGGAGCUUUUCUUGCUAGUUUUCAAGUCAGGCCAGUUUUGGUGGAGCGUAUACUUGCAGCUCAGAUGGUGAAUGAGGAAAGUUCAAGGAGUUGGUUCAGUUAAGAAGUGAAGGGAAAAAGAAAGACCUCAGAAUUCGGGAAUCAGACGGUAUGCUCAUGCAAGAAGACAGAAUGUAUGUUCCGAAUAAUGAGGAAUUGAAGAAGGAAAUUCUGGACGAAGCACAUUGUUCAGCUUAUGCGAUGCAUCCGGGAGGAACAAAAAUGUAUAUCAUACCAUUCGACCAUUUUAUUAUUGGCCGGGUAUGAAAAGAGAAAUUGCAGAAUAUGUGAGCAGGUGUAUUAUUUGCCAGCAAGUGAAAGCAGAAAGAAAGAAGCCAUUUGGGCGAAUGCAACCCCUUCCUGUUCCCCAGUGGAAAUGGGAAAAUAUAACCAAUGGAUUUCGUGUAUAAACUUCCUCGUACGCGAAAUGGAUUUGAUGGUAUUUGGGUGAUUGUGGAUCGACUCACCAAGUCGGCGCAUUUCAUUCCUGUGAGGGAGAAAUACCCUCUGAAUAAAUUGGCUAAGUUGUUUAUUUCGAAGAUUGUCAAGUAUCAUGGAGUCCCAGUAAAUAUUAUCUCCGAUCGAGACCCGAGGUUUACUUCUAAAUUUUGGGUGGCUUUUCAGGAAGCUCUGGGUACUCAAUUACUGUAUAGCACAGCUUAUCAUCCUCAAACUGAUGGGCAAUCAGAGAGGACCAUUCAGACGUUGGAAGGAUAUGUUGAGAUCUUCAGUACUGCAAUUUGGUGAUUCUUGGCAUGAUCGUCUGGACUUAAUGGAGUUUGCUUAUAAUAACAGUUUUUCACUCGAGCAUUGGUAUGUCCCCAUUCGAGGCACUUUAUGGUAGGGCGUGUCGAACGCCAUUAUGUUGGUCUGAGGUUGGUGAACGGGUAUUAGAAGGCCCUGAGAUCGUGGAUGAGACGACUCAAAAUGUUCAGAUAAUUAAGUCAAACCUGAAAGCAGCCCAGGAUCGACAGAAGAGUUUAGCGGAUCGGCAUACUACUGAUCGAGUGUAUGAUGUGGGUGAUUGGGUAUUUUUGAAAUUGUCGCCUUGGAGAGGUGUAGUACGAUUUGGGAAAAGAGGAAAGUUAAGCCCGAGAUAUAUUGGACCUUAUGUGAUCACUGAAAGAGUUGGUGAAGUUGCCUAUCGGUUGGAACUGCCUCCGGAGUUAUCUAAGGUCCAUAAUGUGUUCCACGUCUCUAUGCUUCGGCAUUAUAUUUCUGAUCCUUCUCAUGUGAUCCCUCCUCAACCGUUAGAGAUUAAUCCGGAAUUUGACGUAUGAUGAGGAACCGGUCACUAUCUUGGAUUGGAAAGAUAAGGUUCUAAGGAACAAGACGGUGAGUUUGGUAAAGGUGUUGUGGAUGAACCAUUCUGCAGAGGAAGCCACCUGGGAGACGGAAGAUCGGAUGAGAGAGAUGUACCCAAGGUUAUUUUAUGGGUACUAAGUGGUUAAUUUGGAUUGUGGGAAUUUCGGGGACGAAAUUCUAUAAGGAGGGGAGAUUGUCACAGCCCGUCCCCGGGAUUUCUAUAUCGGGAAUGUGAAUUGACAGUAACUACCCUUGAUUGGACAUUCGGGUACGUGUGUGUGCGACAUUAAAUUGAAAUUUUGUAAGUUUUGGGAUUUUAAUUUUGGAAUUUGGAAAUUUUUUGUGGUUAGGGAAUUGGAUGGAUGGUGAGGAUUGUGUUGGACCACACAAUCACACACACACGCACUCCCUGUCUUCUCUCCCUCCCGUAGCUCUCUCUGUCCCUCUCCCUCACGAUCUCUCUCUUUCACCCUCACCCUAUACGUACGGCCUUCACCCAAAACCCUUCAAAACUCGACGGAUCGAGGGGCAAAUAAGGUAUGCAUCUUCAUCCUUUCGUCGUCCUGAGUUCAUUGGUGCUAGUUUUAGGAAGUGAAACCUUCGAUUUCACAUAGAUCCCGAACCUCCAUUUUUGAGGUACUGUUCAUGCGAACGUAAAAUGUUGUGUUUCAGGAGAUUUCAAGCUUGUGGUGAGCUUUAGGAGGUUCUAAGGAAGCUCGGGGACGUUCGUUGGAGAGUUUUGGACGUCGGGAUCGUAGGUUUCAAGUUUGGCCGAAUCUUUGGUUUUUCCAAGGUGAGAUUUCGUAGUUUUUAGGCCCUAAAACAAGUCCAACGUGAUUGUACACUCUUAGGGCUUCAAUUUGGUAUAAAAUACGAAGAAAAUGGGUGAAAAAACGAAGGAGAAUAGUGAGUUUGAAAAUCGGCCGGAGUUCGGCCGGAGUCCGGCCACCGGAGAACCAGUCCGGCGAGGACCUGCGAAGAAGACGACACGUGCGCUGCACGUGCUGCGCGUGGCCAGCGCGUGGACCCGUGCCACGUGUGGCGCGUGGGGGCGCGUGGGGCUUCCAAAAAAUUUUUCUAAAAAUUUCUCGACGCUCGUGACGUCGAGUAGGUCGAUGUGGUAUAUUAUUAUACCAAAAAUUGAGCAUCGUAUGAGAAGUUAUUUCAAAUUAUUGGUGAUGUGCUUUAAAAUUAAUGUUUUUAUAGUUGUUUCGCAUAUAGGUGAGACGUAUCCCGAGGACGACCGCAUCCAGGGACGCCACGGGGGUUACGACCCGUCGACUUAUCAGUGAAUGGGCAGUUUUGUUUUCGUAUUACCUAUAUACUACUGUUUUUCCCAGAAAAAUGCAUUUAUAUGAAAAUAUGUUUUUGAAUAUGCCAUGCAUAGAAUUAUUUGAAAAUCAUGAAUUGGUUUCACAUGAACUAUAUGAUUGAAAUAUGAUGCAUACAUGUUGCAUGGUGCUGUGGAGGCACAGGUAAGUCAGGUGAGUUCAUUUAUUCAUUGAAUUGUUGUUGUUGAGAUGAGUUGAGCUCAUAAUCUGCACCCUAGGUGUUAGUGCUUAUAUUAUUCACCACACCGCACGCUCGUCUUGGAUCCAAGUAGGUGGAUGUCGUACAGACCAUGUGAGGGUUCCGACAUGCUAGUCGUACAGAUCACUAGGCGUGAUUCCGACUAGUGGGUGACCUUAGUUAUGCGCGCUGAUGAUAUGAUGAGAGAAGCACUAGAGCGUAUUUUUACACCUUUCAUCGUAUAGACUACCUUACGUAGUUCCGAGUGAUGUGCAGAGUAGGGCCGUAUAGGUCACUGUGGUGACUCCGGCUUAGUGGGAUUUGAGCUAUUGAAUUAAUCGUAUAGGACCAACUGCAGGGUCUCCGAUUGAUUCCUUAUUCACCUGAUUUAUAUUUUUUAUUUAUGUCAUGGCAUGUUUUCUUGAAAAUGUUAAAGAUUUGAGAUUUAAAUGUUGAGAUUUUAUAUGGUUAUAUAUAUUUCUGGGAAAGUAUACAGGUUUUUACGGCGAGGGGAUAUAACUGUUUUAAUGAAAUGUUUUGGAAAACUAAUUUGUUUUACUGACCCACUCAUUUUGUUUUGCGCCCCUCCAGGUUCUAGUUUAGCGGUGGUUGGCUCACGAGGUCCUUUCCGGCUUUCUGACAGAUUUGGGACAUGUAGGACUCACCUGAGGGUGAUGUAUUCUUAUUUUAGUCCUACUUGACUGCAGUUAACCUAUGCUCUGAACUUAUGUGUUUACUUGUAACUCGUCCGGUUAUGUCCGUAUGUGGUUAUGUUGAGUUUGGGUUGAAUUUCUGUUGUUAUUACGCUUCCGUGUCGUGCUUAUGGUUACGUCACGCCCACGUGACGGCCAGCACACCUGGAUCCUCCGGAUCAGGGUGUGUCAUAGAACACCUCUUUAUAGUAUAGAUGAUGGAUGACUUUAUACUAUGAAGUUGUUUUUCAAUAUAUAUGUUCAAUGGUUUUGUACUUACCUAGUGGUCCUUUCCGCUACGGGACGUAGGGAUAGAUUCCGGUCAUUCCCGGGCGACGGUUUGGUGUUGGCAUAGGGCCUGGAGUGUGUUUCCUCUGGCUAUUUAGCACAGGGACGGGGAGCCGGCAUGGGGCCUGAAGUGUAUUUUCCUCUGACUGUCUGCUCAGAGACGGGGAGCCGGCAUGGGGCCUGGGGGUUAUCGGACAAUUCACUAGUGAUUAUUAUAUAUAUAAAAGUUAUGAUUUGAGACACUGCACAUCAUGCUAGGUUUCGGAAAACCUAUGUUUAUCAUUAUAUAUGUGUUUUCAUAAAACUUGGGGGUUAGUACGUUGAUAACUGUUUUGUUAUAUUUAUAUCAAAUUGGUCCACUCAUGUUUGUUUUGCGCCCCCUUCAGGAUUUAGGAUCGAGGCGUACAAUCCCGGCAAUCCAGGCACUUCCGCAUCGGUAUCUUCAAGUCCUCUCGGUGUAGAACCCACUUCUGUGUUCAUUCAAUUUUUAUAUUAAUCCUUUUAAUGUUCUAGAUUAGAUGUGUGCUCUGAACACGUUCCUUAAAUGCAUAUUCUUUAUUCUCUUAUAUUUAUAAGUUUUAUCUAUCCUUUAUUUUCAGCAAUUGCACUCAAUAAAUGGCUUUCGUCGCCCUCGGGUGUCGGCCAGCACGUGACCAUCCUGAUAUCCUGAGGAUAUCGGGAUCGGGGCGUGUCAAUUUGUGAAGAAGAAUUUUUAUGCACUGCAACUGUUUGAUCGUCUGUCUAAGAGAGGGAGUGCAAAUGUACAUGUGCUUUAUGUGGCCUCUUUAGAUAUGCAUGAUUUAGAAGCUAGCCCUAAACUGGAUGGUAGUAGCAGCAAGCCAAGGGUUAAAGAAGUGUCUUCUGAAGAAAAAGAUAAUGUGUCUCACAUUGAGAUUAAGAUUACUGAAUACCAUAGCUCCGAUGAAAAGUGUGUUCUGAGGUAUCUUAAUCUUUCAGACAACGCCAUGGGCAACUAUGGUGUCAAUGCAUUUGAGUCACUUCUUAGUUCACAAAACAAUUUGAGAGAACUUUAUUUGAUGAAUAUGGCAAGGCUCAAUAUGUGUCAUAACAUGAGGGAGUGGCACUGCGAUGCUAUUAGGAAGAUCAAAUGGCUGAAUGAGAAUGAGAUUUCUGUUAUGAUCAAUACCGAAGGACAAGCAAACUAUGAAGGUUUUUUUUAUUGUAUCAAAUAUGGUGAGGAGCUCACUUUUAAGCUGUUGCUCUAUUUCCAAGCUGUCAAGGCAAAAAGUCUUGGGUUUACUAAACUUGGGUCACCAAAAGAGGCUAAGAAGGUUGUUGGGAACAUGAAUGAUGUUACUGCUAGUGCCAAACAGCUAAAGGAGAUGGAACAAGGCUUGACCAGUUUGAUAGUUUUGGGGAAUGGGCGAUUGUCUGAUCUUAUUGCACAGCUGCAGGAUAUAUUAGAGGGUGUAAAUGAAGCUGAUAUCUUGCCGGAGAAGUUUGAUAAUGCAGUUAUUAAAGCUCAGAUUCCACAAUUGGCUCGAGAAAUCAGGGAGUUAACCUCAUCUCGACCUGUAACCAUCUACAAUGAGAAUUCUUCCUCUAGUGGGAAUUAUGCUUCAUAUUUAGUUCCACUUGCUGCACUUGCUGCAAUGGGCUAUUGUUACAUGUGGUGGAGAGAUUGGUCAUUUUCAGAUGUGAUGUAUGUGACAAGGCAUAAUAUGGCAAAUGUUGUUGAAGCUCUAAUUAGAGAGGUAGCUAGCAAGAGCAAUGACUUUGCUGGGAACGGAACAACAAAUACAUUGAAGAUGAGUGAAUGCGCUAUGGGCACCUAUUUAGAUUUAGUAUGCUCUCUUAGUCACCUGGAAAGCAAUUUUGGUGGUGCCUUAGUUAUUGAUUUACAUGUUGAGUUCUCUUUGUUUUUCACUUGUAACCCUGACUGUCGGCUUUUAUGGGAUCCAGGAGAUGCAAUGGCUAAAACUGUUAAGAUGAUACUCUAUUUUAAAAAUGUCAAGGCAGAGUGGCUUAACAGGGUUACAAAAAUAACCAAGUUUGGUAGUUUUAUGGUACAAUUGGAUAGAAGUGUUGAAGCUUUGAAUAAGGGCAAAAAGCAAAAAACUAGAGAUGGUGGAUAUGGUGAUGAGAUAAAGAGAUUGCAUGAUUUAAGCGUGAACAAGGUUGUGGAUAUGGCGACUAGGUUCGAAAGUGCAUUGGUAGGACAUGUUAACAAUAUAAUUUGUAGUACUACUGUAAGAUUGGAGAGACUUCACUCCGAUGAUUGGUGGUGUUCUGCUAUAUCUCAACUGCUGAUGAUUGGUAAAUCCAUCGUAUCUAGUUCAAACAAAACUCAGGAAGCAAAUGUGGAUGCUGUUUUGGGAACCGGUGAUCCGAGUCUACUAGUUGAGAACACUUCAGUUGAGCAGCUUGGUUUCGUCAGAAAGGUGACAAUCUUUAAGGACUCCACUUCCAUUAUUGGUGAUGCAGCAUCAAAAGAUGGGUUGCAAGUCCAUGGUGUGUCUCCAUUUGACAUUAUGGGCAGAAAUCUUUUCUGGGAAAAGCAACUGCAAAGGCUGCAAAUGGGAGCUGUCACAAGAAAGUUCUUGGUGGUUAAUUUCAGUUCUGGUUUUGAUGAAUCUUCAUAUCUCUCUCGGGUUGAAAAUUUUGAGGAGAUGUCACAAGAAAAUUAUGGAGAGGCUACAGGAAACAAGAACUCACUCACUCAGUUCAAGCGAGCUGCCAUACCUGGAAGGAUUAUAAUGAUUUCAAAGUCAAGUUCUACAAUUCCAUUUUUAAGCCUUGAGGACAAGGCUAAUUUUCAAGGGGGAAGUAUUGUUAUGACCCAAAUUAUUACUGAGGUUUUAUGCUUUAUUACUGUGAGGAAUUGUUAAUAUGCCAGCUGGCAUUUAAAAGUGUAGAGGUUUUAUAAAAGGAGCCCCAGCUCCCCCAAAUGUAUCAGAUCAGAAUUUUACAAAAGAAAUCAAUAUUGGAGCUCUGCUCCUUCUUCUCUCAUUCCCUCUUCUUCCAUAGCUUUCUUGUGCCACUUGCAGGUUGAUUAAGGGAAUUGAGAAUUAGAUCUUAUCAUAACGUCACUACCACAACUCCCAAUAUCAUCACGCUGAAUGUCCACACUCGGUUUCUGCUCAAUUAAAGCGUCAAUUUCCUGCAAAAUACUCUCAUCGAAAUCAUCAUCGUUAAGAAUUCCAGAUGCAGAGAAAGAAUCAAAUGAAGUCAGAAACUGCGGUUGUCUGAUUGGAGUUGUGAAAGAAUCCGAUUUUGACACGCUUGAUUCGGUCCGGCUAACGCUUAAGCUCCCGGAACACGAAGCACUGCCAUAUUCACCACGCGCUGAAUUGUACCGGCUUGCGGAAAUCGGAAGCGGUGUUCUUUGAACUCUAUUGAGCUGAGUUGGCGUUUGGAUUCCAUUUCCGCCAAAAAACACAAUUGAAUUGAUUUAAAUUGAAGCAAGAAAACAGCCAAGUAGCCAAAAAAUAGUAAGAAGAUGAAACCUUUGAUUCCUGAACGACUUACUUGGUAUGAGGGAGGUGAUGAUCAGGUGAAACGGCGUCGUUGCAGGGGCGUUUGCGAUCAAUGAGGGCCUUGGCGGCUCUGAAAUUCCGAGAGAUGCGGUUUCUUUGUUCCGCCGUGAGCCCUCCGCCGUACGCCUGAACGUUUUCCUUGGACAUUGCUUCCAAGAUUCCAACGGAGGAUUUGGCCUGACGGCCUGACCAGGCUGAUAACAGUGUAAAACCUUAGGAGCUAAGGAAAAACUAAGAGAGAGAUUGUAGAGAGGGAAAGUUUUUUCUUUUUGGAAACCAGUAGAGAGGGAAAGUUUGUUAAACCUGAAUAAUAUUCUUUUCAUUCAACUUGUCUACAAUAAUUACCACUCGUGGUAUUUAUACAUUUGUAACACACCUCACUAACUAACUAAGACCACCACCAAUCAUACAUAAACACUUGUCAUAAUCCUAUGCACUCAUAGUAUCAUCACUUUAACAUUCCCCUCAAGCUCAUGUGGCAGAUUGCCAAGCAUGAGAUUGGAACAAUUACGAGCGAACUGGGGUGAACACAAGCCUUUGGUGAACAUGUCGGCAUAUUGAUCUGCAGAGGUAACAAACUACAAAAUAAUUGUCCUUUGAUGAACUCUUUCACGAACAAAGUGGCAAUCAAUCUCUAUAUGUUUGGCUUUAUAGUGCAAUACAGGAUUAGUGGCAAGAGCCAUUGUUGAAAUGUUAUCACAAUGCAAAACUAGAACAGAAGGAGAACCAACAUGCAAAUCUCGAAGAAGCUGUUGUAUCCAGAUAACCUUAGCAGUGGUUGUAGCCAUUGCUCUAUAUUUAGCUUCAGUGGAAGACCUACUCACUGUAUGCUGCUUUUUAGAACUCCAAGAGAUAGGAGUAUCUCCCAAAAAAAUGACAAAACCCGUGGUUGAACGACAAUCAUUGGGAUCCCCUACCCAAUCAGCAUCUGUAUAAGCUUUCAACUGAGAUGAACCUGAUUUAAAACAUAAUCCCAAAGAUAUAGUGCCUCUGCGAUAUCGUAGAAUACGUUUCACAGCAGCAAAUGAGUGGCUAAGGGUGAAUGCAUAAACUGACGUACUUGAUUGACAGAAAAAUAAAUAUAUGGUCUUGUAAAUGUUACGUAUUGCAGUGCCCCAACAAUACUUUUGUAAGUGGUAGGAUCAAAAACAGGUUCACUACCAUGAUUCAGAAGCUUCUGAUUAGGAUGACAAGGUGUGGAAAAAAGGUUUACAGUCUAGCAUAUGCAUCUUUUAAAGGAGUUCUUUGACAUACUUGGUCUGAUGAACAAAGAGUCCCUGACCCUGAUACUCAAUCUGUAAACCAAGAAAAUAAUGCAACACACCUAGAUCUUUCAUGCCAAACUCACUAGUUAACUAACUAAUAACCUUCUGAACCUUCACAGCAUCAUUACCAGUGAGAAUGAUAUCAUCAACAUAUAAUAAGAGAACAAUAAUUGAUGAACCAUCACACUUGACAAAUAAAGAAGGAUCUGCAUAUGAUGACUUGAACCCAAGCUUAGGCAAAUAACCUGAAAACCUGUCAUGCUAGGCUCUGGGAGCUUGCUUGAGACCAUAUAAAAACCUCUCUAGUUUGCACACAUAAUCUGGAUAGGUAGAAUCCACAAACCUUUGGGACUGAGACAUAUAAACUUCUUCAUCAAGAAAGCCAUGCAAAAAAGCAUUAUUGACAUCUAACUGUUUGAGUUUCCAAUUAUGAGAUGCAGCCAAGGAUAAAACCAAUCGAACUAUGGUUGGUUUGACCACAGGGCUAAAGGUUUCAUAAUAGCUAAUACCAACUUCUUGAGAAUACCCAUUAGCUACAAUUCUAGCCUUGUACCUAGCCACUGAACCAUCUGGAUUUCUCUUAAUCUUGUAAAUCCAUUUACAACCAACAAGAUUUUUGUCAGGUGCUAAGGGCACAAGCUUCCAAGUAUGAAGCAUCCAUCUCUUCUUUCAUGGCAUUUUGCCAUUGAACACACUUGACUGCACUAGAAAAAGACCGAGGUCCAAUAAAUGGAAAUGUGGAAGAAACACUAGGUGGAUGAAUGAAUGUGUUUGAAUGCACAACAGACACUGGUGAGGAAGAAUGACCAGAAGUAACUUGAGGAUUGAAACCCAAAGCAUUAGAGUCUAUAGGAAACUUGGAUUCAUAAAAAAUAACAUGUCUAGAUACUAAUAGUUUAUGAUCUUUGAGAGAGAAGCAAAUAUACCCUUUGUAUUGUGUAGCAUACCCCAGAAAAAUACACUUAGUAGUUUUAGGUUCAAGUUUAUUGCUUCUAUAGGGUUUCAAUGAAGGAUAGCAUAAACACCCAAAAAAUCUCAAAUGAUCAAGCUUAGGUGGAGAUUUAUAUAGCAUUUCAAAAGGAGACUGCAUAUGUAGGGUAGGUGUGGGCAUUUUGUUUAUAAGAAAAGUAGCAGUGGCACAGGCAUGGAACUAGAAUUUUGAAGGUAAUGAAACUUGUUGUAAAAAGGUAAUAGUUGUUUCGACAAUAUGUUGAUUUUUUCUCUCAGCCAACCCAUUAUGUUAUGGGGUAUAAGGACAAGAUUUUUUAUGAACAAUGCCUUUGGUAAGAAGAAAUUGCUUAAACUGAGUACUAACAUAUUCCCUACCCCCAUCACUCUGCAAAAUUUUUACAUGAGCAUCAAAAUAAUUCGAGACAGAAGCAAGAAAGUUGACAAAAACAGUGAACACUGCAACUUUAUUAUUUAAUGGAAAAAUCUAGGUAUAUCUUGUACAUUCAUCAAUAAAGGAAACAUAAUACUUGUAACCUUCUAUAGACAAACUAGGUGAGGGACCCCAAACAUCUAUGUGAAUUACUUCAAAUGGAGUAAGUGACUUCGAAGCAAUUACAGGAAAAAGGAGCUUGGUAAACUUGCCUUGCAAACAAGCAUUACAAGUAUGAGAUUGAGAGUUACAAGGAAAAGAUAUACAAGACUUAUUAAGUGCUGCAGUGACAGUGGAAUGUGUAGGAUGGCCUAAUUGACAAUGCCACAAUGUAGAAGAAAUCUUUUGACCCACAAAUGCAACUGGAUUAAAAACAGGAGAAAUAGACCUCUGUGGUUUGAUUAUGGGAAGUGGAUAGACAACAUUAUUACUCAGCCCUUGGAAUAGCACUCUCCCGGUGACCUUGUCCUGUAGACAGAGAGAAACAUCAUCCAUGAUACAACGACACUGAUUAUCUUUGCACAACUGAUUCAUAGAUAAUAAGUGUUGUGACAGUUUUGGAACAUGUAACACAGAGUUUAACUUGAAAUUAUGUGACUAAGUGAGAAGAGAAGAGGAACCAAUAUGUUUGACAGCUAAACCUUCACCACUAGCACUGGUCACAAUAUCAUUUGAUGGAUAAAUUUAUUGUCAUGUGCAAGUUUGACAAAUCUGAGGUCAUAUGGUUAGUUGCUCCCAAGUCAAGAAACCAGAAAUCUUGUUGAAGAGUUGAGGAUGAUGCACCAGCUCGUGCUUGCAUAGCAAGAGGAGGAUUUUGUGAGGAUAUAGUUAAUAGAUACAUAUGUGGUAUGACAAGAUACUGAAACUGUGAGCUAUUAGACUGUGGAAUCAUGCCUUGUGAAGGACCACAUGGAUUCUAGCUAGGUGCUUCACCAUAUGACCCAGUAGGCAUUGGAGUUGGCAUAGAUGAGGAUAAACCCUAAGAGAAAUGCUCUGAUGUGCCUGUGAAAUUUUUAUUCUGAUCAAAGCAAGUAGCAGCAACAUGACAACCUCUGUGACAAAUUUGACAUCCAUGUUGAAAACAAUUCAAUGCAGAAUGACCUUUGCGAUCACAUAUUUGCAGAAUGGCCUUUGCAACCCUAGAAAGAAGGAGCGAAGAAGACCAAAUGUGUACGUUUCUCUUUGGUUUUUUUUCCCUCCUAAUCGCGCUGUUCGAAAUCACGGACCUCGGGCCUGGGCCUAGUGGGCCCAAUUAUGAGGCCCAUUAUCUCCGGUCUUCUCGUUCUACUUCUAGUUACCCAAAUUAAGAACGUACGCUUUUAGCGCGAGAGAGAAAUGGAGGCCCUGAUUGCCUCGUACGGAGACUCGUCGUCGGGCUCAGACUCCGAGUCGCCGGCUCCACCUCCACCACCACCUCCGGAGCUCAACAACCCUCAAGAACCGACCCCUGCGCUGCCUCCACCUCCUCUGUCACUUCUCGACAGCCCCAAUUCCUUCGGUAACCUCUGAUUCCCAUCAAUUUUCAUCUUUUAGCUUUCUGUUGUGAUGGCUUUUUCCGAGUUGCCCACCAAGUGUUUGAUGUUUUGCCUCCGAAGAAUUUCUGGACUUAUCGGCAAGCGCCCAGCCGAGCAGAGUUCGGAACUUUCCUCACGUCGAAGGGAACUACGCAGUACAUGUAUACAUCCCAGGUUAUCAAAAUUCUCGAAAUUUUCAGCUCCAUUAGCAAAUGCGAUCGCUUUGCACUUAGUUUUUGCUUGUUUAAUUGUGUGGUUCCAGUUUAUAUACCACCAGCACCAAGGAAAGAGAUGGCCUUGUUUUUGAACAAGCUAGCUUCUCUGCUGCCUGGUCUCCAUGCGGUUGACGUUGACUUCCCGCUUGACAUUCUGCGUAAGGACGAGCACAAGCUUGAACAAGUUGCUUUAGGCAGAGAGUUCCAUAUAAGUCUCGGAAGAACUGUUCCGAUGCGGGUGCACCAGAUUGAUUCCUUGGUGACAAUGCUGCGGCAGAAGCUUCAGAUUCAGAGGCGGUAUGGUUACAUUUACAUUCUCUUGUCUGCAUUGCGUGAAUUUAGUUCUGUUAUUUAACAUAAUUCUGUAAGCCUGUUUUCGUAUAAAUGCACGGUUGAAUCAGCUUUCAUUGUCUACAAGUCUGAAAUAUUUUAACUUCCAUUGAUUUCAGAUAACAAAGCAGAUUCAAGCUGUGAAUGAGGUGUAUAAGCUUCACAAUCUUCCUGAAUUUUACAAGGUUAGCUUUUUCGUGCUUUUCAAACUCGAAUCGGUUCCUGAAUGUAUGACAAUAUAUUGGAUCAAACGAUUUCUCAAAACACUAAUUCACUUGAUGGGGUCUUGGUGAUCACAGGAUCCACGCCCUCACAUCUCGGUAGCUUGAGCAUUGGGUGACAUCAGCAAUUCCCUGAACAAAGUGGUUGAAGAAGAAAGACGAAGAUCUACCAUCGGAGGAUCGUUACAGAAAUGUAUUUUUACCAGUAAAUUCAAUGGUAUCGAUAUCGAAUGUAGGAUUGGUAAUAAAACACACAAAAUAUGUAAAUUUUCUGAAGAAUAAUGUAGCCAUUUAACUGUAUUGUGAAAUUCCGAGAAUAUAUGGCUGAGCAUUGGAUGAGAAGACAUUUCUUCGUUGGUGUCGAACUUCUUGUCGAAGGUAUUGGCACCAGUGUAAACGUCAUCAUCCAUGUUGAUGGUAAUUACUUACCAGCUACUAAGGGUGUCGGAACAACCUUGCACGCACCCUCCUGUGCAUUACUUGGUAUUGUCUCGGAUUCUCCAAACUUGAAUGCUAAUGUAAACCCACUCUUGACCUUUCCGUCAUCUGCAAUUACCGGAAAGCCGGCUUGGAUGUUGCCGUUGACCUACCAAACUUAAAAUACCGACGAAAUGUUGGAGUACUUCAGUGUACUACUCGUUUUUGUAUGCGAGAGCUCCACCUCUAUCGUUGUAACAGCAUCUGAUGCGGACUAGUCCUUCAUUCCCGUUACUCUUUGCCAUCUCCACUUCAAACUUGGUGUGAUGGCUCCCGGCCUCCUCUCCGGUGAAAUUGAGUAACCCCGGAGCUGGCGUGCCAUCAAGAUUUCCGUUGUGUCUCUAUUUGCUGUUGUGGUUCGGUUCCACUAUAAACUUGGCAGAGUUAGCAUUUUCAUUCUGUUGUCUGUAUAUCUUGAUAUUACAAGUAUUUGUUGUGCAAAAUGCAUGCUAAGUUCAAGUUAUGUUUAUAUGUGUGUGUGUGUUGCCACUUUUCCAACGUUUUCUCCAAAAUUGUGACGAGCAACAAAGCAGUUUUGAUUCCGUGCACAACAACGAUACCUCGAAAGAAAUUGAUUCUUCCCCAGAAAGAUGUUUUAAAACAAAGUUGAACAAGGGAAGAAAACUUUUGAAUCGCAAUCAGAUGUCUGGUCAAAUUCUUUAACAGUUGAUGUAUACAGAAGUUCCUUGCUUAUGACACGACUUAUGAGAGGAUGUAUGUAUUGCAUUUGCAUCAAAAGAAAGAAAGAAGGUUGUAAGUGGUAAGGGAACGACUACCGAUGCCGCUCCACUUCUAAUCAAAGGGAUCGAUCCGAGGGUCGUGUUCACUUGCCAUCGCCAUUCCAGUGCAAAGGCAUGUCGGGCACAUUACCUGCCACAUUUACAGACGCAAUGUUAGAUAUAGCUGCCAUUUGGAAGUCAUCUCUCAAAAUUUUGCUACUAAAUUAAUCUUAAACUUCAUUUCCAGUGCAAUUUUUUUCUUCUGAAUUGUCUUUCACAUGCCCGACAAAUAGAAGUAUCACCAAACAUGUGAUAUAGAGCAUCUAAGCGGCAGGCACUAAAAGGAAUUUAGUAUGCAAUAAACAUUCAACGGACAUAAUUAUAUGUCUAACCUUUCCCGCUCCUGAGCAAUUUGAACAUCGUUCAGUUUUUGGCAGAGAUAGGGGUUGGUUUCCGCCAUCAGCUGUCGAUACUGGUUCAGUAAGAACAAGGGUUCCAGUGCUGGAGCAACGAGCACAAGCAAGAGAUCCUGCGUAAGUAUCAAAUACACAGGUAAGUUGACAUACGAAACCAAUCCGAACAUCUCCAUCGUAUAUAUUUAAAGCUACAGUACAUAAAACUAAAAGUCAGAAAUAUAGGACAUUAUCACACCAGUUCCAAGACAAUAUUUGCAUCGUUUAUGCUCCUGCUGUUUCACAUUGUUUAUUUCAACUACCAUCAAUGCUGAGAUCACUCCGACUGCUCCUCCAGAGAAUGACGCCACUAUGGGAUCAACUUGACUGCAGUUUGAAAGUAAAGGAGAUCAAUAAACGAAACUGGUAACAACAUAGUAUCAACAUUAUUUAGCUUCGUUUCAAGAAAGAUGACAUCCUAGGUUUUUCUAAUGUGUAAAAAUUGAGGAUCCUCGUAAAAUUUGACUAUAUCGGUUCCCAAAGCAUUUGAUUCCUACGUUACAGACGGAAAACAGCAACAAUCGAAUUUAAAGAUUCAUAACACGAUAGAUGGUACAAAAUUUCAAAACGAUAAUUACUAGAGAACAGGAGGGUUAAUAGCCUGAGAUAUGAGCAAUACCUCAACUGCAACGGCAGAUGCAUAUUUACUAUAAAGUCUUUAUAUGAUGUGCCUCCUAUUCCCAGCUUCAACUCCAACUGAAAGAUGUAAAGGUAAUUGUAGGCAAAGAGUUACAAACAUAACCGAAUCCAUGUUUUAUAAGCAACAACUACACUUAUUUUGAUAUGUUUCCUCAUUUUUUACUUGCAAAUUCCAAACCAUAUUGUCGGACCAGUAAAAGAAAAUAAUGUUUAUGAUAACUGUUAAAACUAAUUACAACAAGUUAAUGCAUAAAGAACUUACGGAGGGUGCUAUGAGGCCACCGAAAAGGAUAAACCCCGCAAUAAUUGAAUAACAAACAGCAUAAUACUGCUUAAGGUUGUCUGAACUCUGCAAGCAAUGAAUUCACCUUGUGAUUAAUACUUUGCACAAACACUAGUUUUCGCAAUUUUUUAUGAAUCGACAAAAGGCUACAACAAAAUAUGGCUAAAACAUGUCGGGGAUAUGAAAAUACAUGUCUUCACAGGGGCACCAGCUUACCAGGGGAGGCAAAAAUGGAAUGAACGAUGGAAAACUAGGAAGUUCGUUUUCUUGAUCUUCAUUUACCGCUCCAAGCUCUGCACGUUUAAUCCGCUGUUGUAUCCUCAGCCUGCGAACCUACGCAUAUCGAAGCUCAUUCUUAAAGAACACAUUUCUAAUGGCAAUUGGAGAGUAAUUUAAAACAUGCUACACUGAGAAAGUGGUAGCAACUAGCAAUUGCUCUCACCUCCUCCAUAUGCAAGAAAAUUUUGUUGCGACGACUCCGAAUAUUAUCUUGAAUUUCCUGCAGCUCCAUUGUGGCAAAAUCCUGCACUGUUUCAGGCCCCUCUAUGAUACAAAAUCUGCACCAUUAAGCAUGUAAAAAUUAAAAAUUACAAGCUACAAAGCAAUUUCCGUAUAGUUGUUGGGUUAAAUAACAUCAACAGCAAAUAAAUCACAUAGGUUUUUCACAUAAAGUUACAAACUUUCAAGGACUAAUAAGCUGUCUGCAAUCUCAUAAAUUUCACAGUGCAAAGUAACAAUCCAAAGCUUGGAACUUUAAAUUUCCACCUUCUGUUAAUUUUUUAGUGCACCUGGUGUCGUUAGAUUCGAGUAGUAUGUCACAUUAAAUUUUUUUUUUCUGUGCAUGCAUUUUUUUUUAAAAGAAAAUUUAUAUUGUUAAAGAGCGAGUUCGAAACUAUUACAUUAUGGAAGGACAUAGUACCGAAACUCCGACGAUCAAAAACAAAAUCAUGUACAACCACUCCAAGCAGUCAACAUGGCCAUCACAUAUUGAAUCCAAAAUGUUGACGCCCCAUUCGCUGCAUAUAAUGUACAGACGAGCGGCAGCUUCAACCAGUUCUGCCAUAUCCGGCUGGAUGAGAGCAGCUAAAGACAUGAUUGUUCCCUAAUAACAUGAAUAAAUUGAGUAAACACCAAAAGUAGCAGCAAGGGAAGGAGAUGUGAAGUAUAUGAAGAGGUGUAAGACCUGUGAAUGUCCAGCAACAAAGAUUUUGGAGCUUGUUGUCGAAUAAUGCAACGCGUCAUUUCUGGUAGAUCAAAUAGAGCCAAUUCCCGCCAACUCCAAUUCCAAAAUUUCUACAGUAAAGCAUAAAUCUUAUUCUCUCUUCUGAUAAAGAUGAGUGUCCCAGACUCCAACGUGUUCCACACACAUUCCCUACCCAUACAUCGAAACCUUCAUCUGCAAGGACGAAUCCCAGCGAUUCUUCUGGAGAAUUUAAGAAUCAUGCAUCACCUGGUUAAGAUCAAGAAAAGCCAGUAACCAAGUUCAAUUGAGUUAAAAUGUAUCCCAUGGAUGUUCAUCACUUUGCCCAAUUGUUCUUUUCAAGAAAGGAAAUUUCAACAGAACCUGAAAACUUCAGAUCAGGGGGCACCAAAUAGUGAGCUAUACAUUCAAAAUUUGAAAUAAUCAACUUAGUAGGACCAGUAUGUUGAAAAAAUAGGAAGGAGCUAUGAAAGUAAGACUUUUCACUAAUCAGGCGUCCAGAGAAUCCAUAUUUUACCCGCGUAUCAGUUACGGGGAACACUCCCCACCAGAGCAAUCUCAUUAGUCCUUCACAUCUCAACCGUACAGAAGUUGCACUAACAAACAUGACUCCUAUUAGUCCUUCACAUCUCAAAUCCAGGAAGUACCCAUCUUUCGUCUGAAUCUGGAAAAUAAGCAGCAGUCAAUUUAACAAUCUCGGUAUCUCAAAGUUACUCACUUUAAUCACAAAUUUAGCAAUUAAACAUAUAAAUGGGCAUUUUUUUAGGGAAAUAUUAGUAUAGUACUCACUGUGUGCUCGGAGCAAGAGUACCCAGAAAGCUCAAUGAGCUGCGCACAGAGGACUGCAGUGGUGAACGACAGCGACCGCACAGAGGACUGCAGUGGUGAACGACAGUGACCAAUUCUGUAAAAUUUAGUCGAGUUUUGGGAAAUUUCUGCAGCGAUUUCGGAGGUCAAGAGGCUGAUAAGGAAAGCCGCGACCAAAGGGCACUGGUCUGGAAGAAAGGCUUUGGUCGCCGCUAUCGCAAUUCACGAAGGAAGAAGUGCCCCAAAACAAUUUCGGCCCUGGACAGGUGCACUGUUUGCACUGAGCCAGGGCCGGCCCUGAAUCGCGAUAACGUCCUUCUCCAAACAGUAUAUAUACAGAUGCUAGAAAAAUCUACCGGAACUAUUCAAUUCUAGCGUCUACAGCUUUAGCAUUAGUUGGUACAAGGGGCAUUCUUCCAAAGAGGGAGAUGAAAUCGUUGAGGCACCAAAUAGUGAGCUAUACAUUCAAAAUUUGAAAUAACCUCUUGGUAGGACCAAUAUGUUGAAAAAAUUGGAAGGAGCUAUGAAAGUAUGGCUUUUCACUAAUCAGGCGUCCACAGAAUCAAUAUUUUACUCACAGAUCAUUUACGGGGAACACUCCCCACCAUAACAAUCUUUUUAGUCCUUCACAUCUCAAACCAAGUAGAAAUUGCAGUAACAAACACGACUUCUAUUAGUCCUUCACAUCUCAAACCCAGUAAGUACCCAUCUUUCGUCUGAAUCUGGAAAACAAGCAGCAGUGGAUUCAACAAUCUGGGUAUCUCAAAGUCACUCACUUUAAUCACAAAAUUAACAAUUAAACAUAUAAAUGGGCAUUUAUUUAGUGAAAUAUUAGUAUAGUACUCACUGUGUGCUCGGAGCAAGAGUACCCAGAAAGCUCAAUGAGCUGCGCACAGAGGGACUGCAGCGGUGACGACGGCAACCGAUUCUGUAAAAUUCAGUCGAGUUUUGGGCGAUUUCUGCAGCGAUUUCGGAGGUCAAGAGGCUGAUAAGGAAAGCUGGGACGGAAGGGCACUGGUCUGGAAGAAAGGCUCAGGACACCGCUGUCCCGAUUCGUGAAGGAAGAAGUGCCCCCAAAACAAUUUCGGCUCUGGACAGGUGUACUGUUUGCACUGGACCAGGGUCGGCCCUGGCGAUAACGUCCCCCAAACAGCACAUAUACAGAUGCUAGAAAUAUAUAAAUGUAACCUGAAACUACUAGAACCAUUCAAUUCUAGCGUCUACAGCUUUAGCAUUAGUUGGUACAAGGGACAUUCUUCCAAAGAGGGAGAUGAACUCAUUGAGGCUCUUAUUUAUUCCUCCUCUUGAUGUGCCCUUUUAGGCUGCUAAUUCCACACGAUCCAAUCUCAUACAUCUUCCCUGCAAAAGCAUGUGUGCCUGACUUCAAGAUCAAAUUUUUCCAACAAAAGAAACUUAAAGAUCAAACUCGCUAGAGGAAUAAGUGGUGCACAAGGGUGUUAAAAUCUUGACAUAUGUAUAUUUUUGGCAGAUUUUAUGUGAGCAUGCAACUAAAACUGGCAUCACUAUCAAUGGUGCACAAAGAUUGGUGGAAAACUUUAACAGUUUGAGUUGUAACUUCUCCAUUGUAUUUGUUAAGGCAAGACGGAUGUCAUCUAUUCAUUUUUCUGUAAAACUUAAAAGGCUGCAUAGCAGCUCUUGUUCGUUGUAUUGAAUACCGUGGUUUUACUGAUGAAUGCAGAGUUUGCUGAUGAUUCAUACGACAAGCAAUUGAAAAUCCCAUCAUUAUGCCCCCCAUAUACCAGAAGAAAAAAAAGUCAUUUACACAAAUUCAGAGCGUUCAUCCACUGUAAUUUGCAGAUAUAGAAACGUUAAGAUAAAAGGAAAUGCAAAGUACCUUUCACCAAAUUGGAGGAGCACCGGUGGCAUUAGCAAGUUAGCAACGGGAAUUGACAUACCAAUAUCUUCACAGUUUCUGCACAAGCACAAAUCAAAAGAAUCCGGAGGUGGAGUUAUGUACCUCUCCUUGGAAAAUGCCACCUCUUGGGAUUUCAAAAUAUGCGGCCGUGGCUAGCCGUCUGACCACGCCAAUUCCACCAAAGCCGCCGCAACGCGGUGUAGUGUCCGAUUGAUUGCUUCAAAUCAGAGCUUCGUAUCCAUGUGUUUAUCAGCAGAGAGUACCCAAAACCCCUGAAAAUUAUUUCUUUAUUCAGAUAAUAAAAUAUCCCAAAUUUCGAAUUUUAAUUCCGAAUCAAAAAUAGGGUUUGAAUUUUGAUUACCUAUAAAUUGGGGGGUUGCGGUGGAAAGGGAGUCAGCCAAGACGGCGAUAUGCGUCCUCGAGAGGGCUAUGAAAAUACAAAUUACAGAGCGUGUUGGGACGAUGUACAAGGCUUUUGCAGUCUCUCAAAUAUAAAUACCGAAGCUCCGUAAGGCGUUCAAUCCAGGGGGAAAGCUCUUUAAUAGAUGUUCCAUCCAGGAAAAGACUUCUUAAUCCUUCCAUAUUUUCUUCAAUGCUUGGAAACAACUCAAAUUUUGUACAACCGGAAAGAGAGAGAGAGAAAAGGGACUUGAGCUGACAAAUGCUGCUUGGAAGACUCUUAAGUUCUUUGCAAUCUUUUAGAUUCAAAUGAUUCAAUCCCGUAAGAUUAUUAAUUGACGAGGGCAGUUCUUUAAUUUUUGACCCGGAUAAAUUAAGCUCUUCUAACUCCUCCAUACCUUCUGAAAUCUUUGGAAACAUCUCAAGACUAGAGCAGCCAGAAAGAUUAAAGGUUUUGAGAGAUUUCAUACGAAUGCUGCUUGGAAGACUCUUAAGUUCCGUGCAAUUAUGUAGAUUCAAAUGACACAACCUCGUAAGAUUAUUAAUUGACGAGGACAGUUCUUUAAUUUUUGAGCAGGGUAAAUCAAGCUUUUCUAACCCCUCAAUACCUUCUGAAAUCGAUGGAAACAUCUCAAGACUGAAGCAGCCAUAAAGAUUAAAGGUUUUCAGACAUUUCAUAUGAAUGCAGCUUGGAAGACUCUUAAGUUCCUUGCAAUCUUUUAGGUUGAAAUGACUCAACCCCGUGAGAUUAUUAAUUGACAGGGACAGUUCUUUAAUUUUUGACCCGGAUAAAUUAAGCUCUUCUAACUCCUCCAUACCUUCUGAAAUCUCUGGAAACAUCUCAAGACUGGUGCAGUCAGAAAGAUUAAAGGUUUUGAGAGAUCUCAUACGAAUUUUGCUAGGUAGAAUCUUAAGUUCCUUGCAAUCUUUUAGGUUGAAAUGACUCAACCCCGAGAGAUUAUUAAUUGACAGGGGCAGUUCUUUAAUUUUUGACCCAGAUAAAUUAAGCUCUUCUAACCCCUCCAUACCUUCUGAAAUCUCUGGAAACAUCUCAAGACUGGAGCAGUCACAAAGAUUAAAGGUUUUGAGAGAUCUCAUACAAAUUUUGCUAGGUAGAAUCUUAAGUUCCUUGCAAUCUUUUAGGUUGAAAUGACUCAACCCCGAGAGAUUAUUAAUUGACAGGGGCAAUUCUUUAAUUUUUGACCCGGAUAAAUUAAGCUCUUCUAACUCCUCCAUACCUUCUGAAAUCUCUGGAAACAUCUCAAGACUGGAGCAGUCAGAAAGAUUCAAGGUUUUGAGAGAUCUCAUACAAAUUUUGCUAGGUAGAAUCUUAAGUUCAUUGCACCCAUGCAGAUCCAAUAAAACAAGGUUUGUAAGAGUCGAAAUAGACGGGUGAACCUCAACUAAGCUUAUACAACUUCGAACAAUUAGCCUCUCAAGAUUUGGCACAUUUGUGAAGUCAGGGGUUUCCUUAAGGGAUUGACAAUAACUUAAAUUGAUGAAUUUCAACUUUUCCUGCGUCUGUUCAAACAUUCAGGAAAACAUGCAUUACUUAAUAAGACAUCUCACUCAAAGCCCAAACAUUUAAAAGAUACAAAUACAUGUAAAUGAUUGUACGUACCUGGGUUCCUUCCCAAAGUCGGUCAAUGAGACUACAUUGCAUGUCAAGUUCAACAAGAUUUUCGAAUUGAAAGUUGGAUGGCAAAGACUUGAGAGGGAAACCAAGCCAGGAGAGAUACCUCAGGUUAAGCAACUUUAAGGACCCAAACAGGUGUUGUUUGCAGUACUCAUCUUUAAAAACGAAGUGCCUAUAACUGAUCUCGAGAAGUCUUCGUUGAGCAUUUAAGUUCCCAUGAAGACCGAUCGUGAGAAGUCUUCGUUGAAUCCUUCUAACAACAGAUUCAGCAUUUAAGUGCCUAUGACUGAUCUUGAGAAGUCUUAGUUGAGUCAUUCUAACAAAAGCUUCAGCAUUUAAGCAUGGCCAGCCUGAGUACGAGAAAUCCACAAUUAUGCUUUCAACUGUUUUUGUAGCCUGUGCAAAUCAAAGUAAAGGAAAAUACAGAGAAAUUAGUUUUGAUUAUGAAAUUAAUGAUUGUUUCUUAAGGAGCCGUCUGAUAAUCAUUUCAUUUUCUAUUUAAUUGUUUUCAAUUUUCAUUAUUAAAACAAUGAAAACUAAAAAUAAAAAAUUGAAAACAAAAAUGGUUAUCAAAUGGGCCUAAGAAAUUGAUUUUGGUCAAAAGUUGAAGCUUUCUACUAAUAAUUGCAUAAGAAAAAGAUUUCUCACCGUAUUUUGAGAUAGCACGUGAUGAACAUCUUCAUAACUCCACAACCUACUUCGUCUCCCAGGCUCUUUGAUACAUUCUUGGCGGACGAUUUCCCGACCCAUUUCCGCUAAUGAAUCAUGCAUCUCCAGUUCCCCCUCCCCUGAGACAGUUAUGAGUGCUCGAUCGAUUAGAACUCUUAUUCCAGUAUAAGGAUGGAAACCACAAUCUUCCAGAAUUCGGGCUGCACAGUCUUUCUCCAUCCCUUUAAAGAAACAUGCAAUGUCUAGAAAGAUGUCCUUCUCCUUGUCAUCUAGUCCAUCGAAGCUUGAUUUAAGCACAUCAUGAAUUCCCCUUCGCGGGAUUUUCCUUAUUUUUUCUAACUCAUCUUCCCACUCGCGUAUAGUUUUGUUACCAAGAAAAGCUCCCAAGACUUUGAGUGCUAAAGGCAGGCCUUGAGCAUAUUCUACGACAUGAUUCGAGAGAUCAUCAUAAUCUCUGGUGGGUUGGUUUUUUCUGAAGGCGUGCCGCCUAAAGAGUUUCAGAGCUCCAGAAUCACUCAAAAUCUUGGGAUUAUAUAUCACAUCAGCUAUGCUUAGUAAUUGCGAAUCUCUAGUUGUUAUAAUAAUUCUGCUUCCACCACCAAAGGAAUGUGGCUCUUCAAGUAAAGCUUCAAUUUGUUCUAAUUCGUCCACAUCAUCAACAACAAUAAGAACUUUUCUCUGACCAAGGCUUUCUAACAUCACCUGAAAACCUUUACUCGAUAUGUCAGAACUCCCCACCUUGUUGUUCGAGAUACUCAAUAGAAGUUGUGCCUGCAUAUGUAGUUUGCCAUGCUUCAUGAAACCUUCCUUGAAAUUUUCAAGAAAGCAACAAGCUUCAAAUCGACUAGCGAUUUUAUCAUGAACAGCUCUAGCGAUGGUUGUUUUGCCUAAACCACCCAUACCCCAUAUUCCAACAAUGCGAACAGUAUUCGUUUCACCUCCGGGAGGAUAUAAUAAUAGAUGCAUUUCAUGCAUGUGAGAAUCCAUGUCAACCAAGCCAUUAUCUUUGCUUGAUGUUGAUGAGAUGUCGAUCAAUUUCCUAUAAACAUCUUCUACAAUUUCCUCAAUAAGCACCACAUCAUUCCUGUCAAAUUAAAAAAAAAACAAUAUAAUAACACCACCAAAUAAUAAUUAAUGGGUUUUUUCAUCUGUUAGUUUUAAAAAAAAAACAGAAAUUAAAACUAAAAACUAGAUAUUUAUCAAAUGACCCCUAAACGUGACAAAAAUCCCAAAAAUUAAUAGGAAACUAAAACAAAUUAGAAUUUACUCAUAGUUUCGCGAAUCCCAGCCGGAUAAACUGGUGGCAGUUGUAAGAGCGGAUCUCCAGCUCUGAACCUCUUCCAUUUCAGCGUUAGAAUCACGAUAGUGCUGAGCAAAAGCUUCCUCGAAUUUUCUCUUGAGUUUACGAACGUCAGACGGAUCAACUUCAUAGAAAAUGGGGAGUACAAUCCGGUUAUUGGUAUCCUUGCAUUCCAGGAUUUGCACGAGUUCUUUCAAGCACCAAGUGGAAGAAGCAUAGUUUUGAGAGAAAACUACAAUCGAAAGCCUUGACUCUCGAAUCGCUGUCAGGAGCUCGGAAAGGUGGUCGCCUUUUCUGAGCUUUUCGGCAUCAAUGAAGGCGUUGAUUGGUUUCUUAGCCAGAGCGUUGUAGAGAUGGCUGACGAAGCCCCUGCGAGUGUCUUCCCCUCUGAAAUUGAUGAACACAUCGUAUUUGCAACCAAGGCCAGAAGAAGAUGAAGAAGAAGAAGCAGCCAUUAUUAAUCGAUCGCACCUGGUCAGCGAUGAUCGAGCCGCUAAGACUAGAGAAUUGUAAGUACAGAAAUACUCAAUAGAUCUACAAAUUUGAUCACCGGAAAUUAGUCACUGAGUCAAUGCAAAAGGGAAUUUUCUUCAGGAAAUUUCGGUGUGAAAGGAAUCCGCAUACUUCGGAUUUUUCAACCCAAGAAAAUGCGAAGAAAGGGGACAAAGUAGUAAAUUUAAUCUACAGUUGCCUACCCAACACCCUCUUGAUUUAGAGGGUGUAUUCAAUUAGGAUUCUGAGAGGGUUUCAGGAAAUUAAUAAUUUCAGGAGUAUUCAAUUAGGAUUUUAAGUGAUUUUUUGAAAUUCUAGGUGUAUUCAAUUAGAAUUUCAAAAUAGUUUAUGAAAAUCCUUAGAAAUCCAGGUGUAUUCAAAGUUUAUAACAUUCCAUGUGUAUUCAAUUAGAAAUUGAUUUUAAAGAAUUUGAGAAAGUUAAAGAAUUAGAGGGAAUUGGAGAGAUUACGUAGUGUAUUUUAAGUAUCCACAAAUCUCACAUAUUCCCAUGAGAUUUCGAGGGAAUUGAAUCAAAAUUUUAUAUGGAAUCUCUACAAAUCAAUUAAACUCCAUAAAAAUCAAUGGAUUUAUAAAUCCAUUAAAAUCUCUCACAUUCUCAAUUGAAUAUAUAUUAAAAAGAUAAAGUUAGUCUCACAUGUAAUCUCUACGUACUAACAAUUAAAUGAGAGUUCCGUUUUAACUUAAUAUAUGUAACUUACAUGCUAAUAAUUAACGAAAUAUUAGCAAAAUUUUUAAUUUUAAGCAUAAAUUCUAAUUUAGAUAUCUUCUAACUAUCUUAUCACCUUAAAAAUUAUUAAUCAAAUUAAACUUAUUAUUUAUUUAUAAAUGCGUAACUAAAUCACAAAGUGUUGAAUGAAAGGGAGCACUCCAAAGGAUGAAAAAGCGGGAGCAUCGAAAGCUAUCUCCGUUUUUUGCUGUCUAUUUGUCUUCUUUUGGCAGAUAGCUCCUAGACUCCUAGGGGCCGGCCUAUUUUCCACAGCUGGUUAUAGGACUCAGUUGCUAUUGAAGAAGUGCUUUGUUGUAAUUCAAUAUCGAUGGAAAUUCAACAGAAUCUUUUUCAAAUUUUUGUGAGGAUUUUGGGGUGUAAGUGAAUUGUUUUUGUUCAUUGUAUAUUGUGCGGUCAUUUUUCAUCAAAUACUGUUUAUGUUUCAUUUUAAAUAAAAUAAUUUAAAAUAAUUUUUAGCUGCAAGUUGUACGAUGAACUGAUAUAAUUCAUAAAUCUUUAAAAUCCUUACAAAGAAAAUCUGAAAAAAAUCCGAAUUCAAUGGAAAUAAGCUGAUUUUGAAUCAAAUAACAUUACUUUACAACACUGCAGUUUUCAGCAUUGCACCGGAGAUCGUGCGGUCAUUCGUCCUUCUGUUCUCCGUAGUUUUGCCGACUUUGGUUCCACUUGCUGUCCAAUGCGCUAGGCGGCUUAUCAGGAUCAGGCUUAGAGAACCUGUAGUAAACUGCAUUAUGUGGUUCGUUUAUAGCUGUACAUCAUAAGUCUAUUUCCGGGAUCAUAUCAUCGUUGGCGCAUUCAUCAUAGAAGCUCCAGCUUCGUAUCCAAGUCAGUCGUUACUAUCUUACAUUUGCUAUAUAUUACAAAAUUUUGGGUGGGAAAACUUCUUAUAUGAUAAUGCGUGAAGAAUUCAGUUCGAAAACAGUAAAACAAAAUUAUUUGUACUAGUUCUUCUACUUGAUAUAUGAUGGUGUGUUUUUUGUUUUUUUGACCGAGGUUUAUAAUGGUGUUUGUUCUAUAAGUCGGCAUCUUUGCCAACCGCAAUCGAUACUGUCGUUCGAUACUGCAAAUGAAAACCCGGUGGGUGCGCAAAAUUUCGAGCCAAUCCUACAAUCUGACAGAUUGUAGGAAGAAAGGAACAAUGUUGUUGGCAGCACAAAAGUUCAUAAUCUUCUACUUGGAGUAAUCUGUUUAAGGCUUUAAUAUUCAUGCAGAAAGUUUUACAAAAUGAUCGCCUUUCGACAUAUAUCACAAUGGCGAUCUUUAAUCAUAAUGACUUGUACUGCUCGAUCAAACGAGACGCAUGGAGGCACGACGUAGGAGCCACGGUGCAGCCCAAACUUUGCAGAUAAGAAAUCUGGUAAUUCACAGCAUGACAAACAUAUUAUUGGGUCUCCUGACCAUCCUAGAUACCAAUGUGUGCACAAGGAAAGGAGUAAGGUAAUCAAAUGCUUGAGUCUUGUGUACCUGUUUCGGUGUUGGUUCGGAUGAACCCAUUGAGUUCUCGAUCCUUAACUUCUGGAAAUGCUCCUGAAAGCAUAAAUAUAUGUACGGAUUUAAACCAAUGACAAUGGACAUAAUUUACAGACAAUGAUUGAAGAAAAUACAGAUAUAAAUGCCUCAGUAUUCCAUUGACGAAAGUUCUAGAUUUGAUGAAUCAAACGUCCCACGUUGAGACUGCGUUAAGGCAAAUGGUUCUCAAACACAAAGCAAUAGUUUGCUACCGAAAACAACCAAAGUUUGACAAAGGAAACCGUCUUACACCUAACCUGUUUUUCCCUCAUCAAAUGAGCGCGUUGAUCUGCAGGUAUUUUCUGCCAUCUCAAAACCUGUUACAAAGAAAUAUAACAUUGAUGUCGAGCUGGAUAGCAUAUAUACCAAUUAUGUGUACAAACCUAUUGAAAUAAAGUAGCUGUAGUUGCAUAUUACGACAGAUAUUAACGAAAACAAAAGAAGGCUCGCCUAUUCAAGAUCCUAAAUCCCGUGAUUCUUUUGUUUUUAGUUUCAGAAAUUUUCAGAGCACAAACUGGAAAGUACCAAGAUACUUACAUAUUGGGCAUAAUGAAAUGCAUCUUCAUCUUUCAAGCAAGAUUUCAGUGAGCGCAAACCGUCCUGAGAGUUACAUAGAGUCAAUCAGUAAUAUAAAAACGUAGAUGCAUCACACCCAAACACAAGUAUUCAAACACCGACAACUUCUUCAUGCGGUGAGGCAUGUUAAAAAAUAGGGAAGAACAGUUAUUGAACAGGAAGUUAAAGGACUAAAUUUAUGACCUUGUGUUUGUAGUUCUUGGCUCGUGUGCGUUCAUCUAUUACAAAACCAAUCUGUAACAGGUACAACAGAAAAUAUAAGCAGUAGUCAGAACAUUAAGCAUCGGCAUUCACAUUGCCACCAAUCCAAAGUUAAAAGUCUAAAGGCAAAACAGUAUGAUUCUUAUCUCUCAAACAAAAAUGAAACUAUACCCCGGUCUCAGACAUAAAUGAAAUAAGUUCUACUGCCUCAACUGAGUACUGUGAUUAUAUAUAAAUCCAAUUCACCUUGUCAAGUAAUCUCUUAGGAUCUUGAAAUGCUUGCUUCUUAGCCCAGUCAUUAAAUACAUGCGAGAUAAUCGAUCUCUCAUCCACACUGAAUCUAUUGCACAGUGACAGAAGAAUAAAGUUAAACAUGAACAUAACCAACCAAAAAUGCUAGUUAUAAUAGUAUACCCAUAAUUGCAAGCAAAACCUUUUUAAGAAGCCAUUUCCAUGGUUUUCCUCCCCAAAUUCCAUCAAUUCUGCAGAGGCAACGUCAAAUUUACUAUGAUGGAGAUCAUUUUGCACCAUAACAACUUCAGAAGGUAGGAGAUUUGGUUUGAGAUCAUCUGUUGACGGAGUAGUUUCUUUUGAAGUGUCAUGAUGCUUUGAUUGCAAGCCUUCUGUACUUACGUCAGCCUACAAAACAAAAAUUGCAUUCAUCCACACUAGACUUAAUAAGAUUAGAAACACUUCAGAUUCUUCACUAUUUGUAAGUUUGACUAAACAGCAGAACAACUAAGGAUAAUGAACAGUAAUACACACCUGGACUUCUCGUAGAUGAUUUGGAAUUUCUUUCAGAAAUCGCGAAGGUUGAAGCAUCUGAAGGAGUCACCUUCUCAGUCAGAGCAACAAAAAAUAAGGAGGACAGGAAUUCAAGCUAAAACGAACCUGCCAACUGGAAUCCAUCGUAACAUAAAGAAUGAAAAGCUUUUUUCGAGCACGAGUCAUUGCAACAUAUAAUAGGCGUCUUAACACUUCAAAGCUCUGCAUAUAACUAAAAGGUCGUACCCAGUGCACAAGGCUCCCGCUUUACGCAGGGUCUGGGAGAGGUGAAUGUCAGCUAGCCUUACCCCCAUUUUAUGGAGAGGUUGCUCCCAAGUCUCGAACCCGAGACCUACCGCUCAUGGGCGAAGGCACUUGCCAUCACACCAAGUGCGACCUCUAAUUGUAUCAAAUACAUAUAUUCACAAAAAUUAUAUAUGACCGUUAGAUGUAUUAAAUACAUGCAAGUAUUGUAGCUAGAUGAUUAUUGAGUAAGGAAAUUCGAUCCUGACUUGCAAGACCUAGAGUAUACUAAUGACUUGUACCAGAUCAUGAGUCAACAAGCACGUAAGGUUAUUCAUAGUUUGACACUAGACGACAAUAAUGAAGACAUGAUCCAAUGAUUUUGCAAAAUAAAAAGUGCCUUAACAAAUGAUUUUGGUGUGCCACCGGAGAAAUCUAAAUCAUAUUCAUUGAAAGGCCAGUUAUUUCCUUCCAUUCUAAAAGAAAUACAGCAAUGAAUGUCAAACUAUAAAAUGUAUCUCCUAAAGUUGAGAGAAAGGACCCUUACCUACAUUACGGAAAAACACUAUCUUCCAAUGAAGUGGCAUAAAAAUUGCUGAAAUAUGUUAAUUUCUAAAGUACAAAUAAAACAACCUACCUUUUCAAAGUAGAAAUUUAUAAGUGCCUUUUCAAAGUAAAAACUUAAAAGUGCCUCUUCAAUGUUUUCAUUUUCAAAUAAAAGUGGUCCAAAAUGCUUGAAGACAACUAGGAAAAAGAAACAUAACUGAUUGAAGACCAUAUAGGAAAUCAAUGGAGCUUGAAUUUCUAGAUUAAUAAACAAAUUAACAGAGCUUCUGUACUACACAAGCCUUCCAAGGAUAAGAAGAAUAACAGAAGAAUAAUAAAAAUCACAUAUAGGUGCACAUGAACCUUCACACGUCCAGAAAAUUUGCAAAAGAAGUACAGCAAUAACAUAGAUGACAUAUGGCUUGGCGCACACACUCACACAGAGAAGCGUAAUAAGUAAUAAUAUUCCCAAAUAGCUGCACAUUCAAUUGCACACAUACAACAAGAACUACAACAAUAACGUAGACAUGACGCGCACGCGCACACACACACACACACACUCACGGAGCUAGUGAAUGCAACAAUAAUCAGCUGACCUGGUUCAAGACUGGAGCAGUGGUAGUGCAAUCGUCACAUUUUUGUUGACAUCAUGAACUUGGCUUUUUUCUCAGCUGGCUUAAGAAUCUGGAAAGAGCACAUUAAGUUUUCAUCUACACUCAUCAUCGCACCAGCAUUGUCAAACUCACCACAGUAGUUGGGAGCUGAAAAAAUUGUAACAAGUUGCCUGUCCGCAAAGAAUUCAUAACCAUCUUCCAUUGGCAUGUUUAAUCUGCAUAUAACUGAAAAAUGUUAAACAAUUUACCGCACAUCUCAAUGGAGGUCCCAUUUUCUUUUGCAACGCCAUUGAAUUCAUGGAACGGGAUCUCAGAUUCAUUUACCUGUGUUAUUGGCAUGAGCAUUAAAGCAAGCUAAGAUGAUUUGAAGAGGUUGAUAUCGUCAUGAAUAUACUAGAACAGAAUACCAAUUUCAAGCCAUCAAUUAGGUAUAGCAUUGGCAUGUUUAAUCCGUAAAUCUAAUGACAGAACACCUCAACUCUACACAUAAAUAAAUAAACAACCUGGAAAAUAUUACAGCCACUUGUUAAGGCAAAUACCUUAAUUAUGAAAACCAUAUCCCACUCUAAACCUUUUGACUGCAAGAGAAUGAAAAAGAAAGACAGUAAGCCAAGAAUGUUUGUAGAACUCCAAAGGAAGUCCAAUAGGGAAAUCAUCGCAAGUAUAAGAGUUAGCGAGGUUCGCAUAAGAGGAUAUCAAAAAGAUCUAGAACCUGAUGAAUAGUAGUCAAAGUGACAGAACUUUGGUUGUCAUGUCUUCGGGAGUGAAAAUUUUCACUCUCCCGCUCAGAUAUGUAGUCGAUGAAAGCUUUGAGUAAAUUAACGCAGCCUUUUUCUUCUGCUACGACUUCUCUCUCCCCUUUUCCCACAACAAAAUGAGUUGAUAAGAAAUCAGAUACGUCGUCUAGUAGGUACUGAAGAACCUGCAAUGAGAAUAAUCGCAUCACAACAACAGGGUUGGACCAAGAUUUAAGUGACAACAAUGAUUAACUAACUAAAAUAGAGAAAUUAUUCAUUUAAGACCUUGUUGACUGGAAAAAGGGUUUUCCAAGCAGCGGGUCAUUUAAGCUUUUUGUAUAAAUGACAAUCAUCACAAACGGCAAACUUACAGAUCUCAUGUCAUUGUCUUCAUUCAGCAGUUUUCCUCCAUCUACAUCAACGACUGCACGUUGCUCAAGACGGUACUUCUAAAAAUUGAAAGUCAAACGAUAAAUUAUUAAGAAGCAUUGAAUAUAAGCAUGAAACGAAGAAAAUGUUAUGGAAUGGUGAUCCUCAUCCUCAAAGAUGAUUAAAAGCAAUUUGAUUCAAAAAUGACAUAUCAACUCUGGAGAAAUGGAAGACAAACCUGUGGUACCAUAUUCGCAACUGAGGUUAUGACAGCUGAAAUCGAUUGUUCCUGUGUGCAUUGAUAAGUGAGACUACCAUAGAGAUUCACAACUAAAUAAAGAUAGGUAUUCCACAGAACAACCUUUACCUCUUUGGAAACACAGAUCUAACAAAAACUAUAACAUUUUGGAUUAAUAUUGACGAAUCAAGAAUAAUGCAAGGGAGCAAGAGAUACUCUUCCUUCUAAUAACAAGGAGGCAUGAAAAGUAUACAGAGUUCCAACAAUUAGAGAACUAAAAUCAAACUAAAAAAAUCACCAGAGUAGACAGAAUCUCACUUCGCCAAAAAUUUGAAAAUAUAUCCUUUUUAUCCAUUGAGAUUCAUGAACUACUCCUACUCAUCAUGCCAAUAAGCAAUGCGUAAGAGGUGCUACAAUUUACCGAAUAUAUUUACCCUGAGAACAAGUUUUGAAAUCAUCUCUAGUGUUAACAGCACCUUGCGUCCUUGGGUAAGCUGAGUCCUAUUAUCAAGUAAAGAGACCAAUCAGUACAUCCAAAAGAUCUUAAAUGCCUCUAAUACCAAUAAGAAAGAAACAUGAGUAUAUCUUGAAUUAACCAUGCAAAAAUGUAAUGUUAAAGCAUCUUGUCAUACAGACCUCUUCAAGGUACCAGAAAUUUUUGCACUAAAGAUGUCACAAGCAGCUGAUAUGAAGCUGCAUUUUCUGUGAGUUGAAAUUUUGUCAAUAUAAUCGAUCACCUGAAGAGAGAGAGAGAGAGAAAGACAGUGAUAUCCAGAGAUGUGAGCCUAGAUGCUGAGUGUGUAAAAAAAGAAGAUUAAAUGGAUAGCAAGAAUAUACAACUUUAAUGCUGAAAAGAACAUUGAAUAUGAUGCUCAUUCAAUUGCCAUUGAACGUGUACCUUCUUCUUUCCUCUUUCUCAAAAGCAAGUAGAGCCUUGAAGACUUGCCUAUAUGAUCCAUCAUCACAACCAGGCAAAGUUGUUUUAAUCAUAGCAACAAUGGCUCUAACUACCUGCCAUAAGAAACAUACUACAUCAACAAGAUCACAGUGUACCAGAAACCGUAAUGUACCAGAAACAUACUACAUCAACAAGAUGCAGUCUCCAGGAUCUUGUCGACAACAAAGGCACAUUGUGCAUCCUCAUUGUGACUUUCCUUGAUAAUUACCUACAUUUUGCCAGUAAACCGGUGUCACUAACUAAAAGGACUGAAAAAUGACAUCAAAUUGUACUUGUUGGAGCAAGGAAAGAUUAAGUACCUUAGACCCAGAAGAAUUGUCCGUGUCAACAUUCUUUAGUUGGCAUCGCUUCUUAUUGUUUUUUAUAACAGAAGAUGCAGCUUCCACAAUAUAGCGUGUGGACCGAAAGUUUUUAUUAAGCCUAAUCUGAACCAUAAAGUUAUGUCAAAUCCCACAGAACCCCAUAAAAUAAAACUUACUUUCCUGUAAUUGUACAAUAUAUUUGUUCUAUACUAUAUACAAUGUUUUAAAAGGUUCGCCUCGGGGCGCGCCUAGGUGCCCUGUGAGGCUGGGCUUGAGGGUUGCCGCCUCUGUUUUCAGGGAGUGGGAGGAAGGCGUCGCCGGAGCCGCCUAAGCGCCAGAAGGCGCCACUGGAGCCGCCUAGGUGAGCCUCAGGGGAUUUUUUUUUUUUUUUUUUUUUUUUUUUUUUACUCCCAAACCCAAAUUUUGGGUAGGGUUUUAACUAGCUCAUACUCUUCCUUGCACUAUCAUCUCUCUGCCUUCUUUUCUGAUUUUUAUUUUUUAUAUAAUGGAUGUGUGUGCCGUCUGCGUGCAUUGUUAUAUGUGUGCUCAUCGUGCUUUUCAUCCUCUAUUAUAUAUAUAUAUAUAUAAUAUAAUAUAUGUAUAUAUAUAUGUGUGUGUAUAUGUAUUUAUAAUAUAUGUGUGUGCUCAGGAUGAUUAUUGAUUAAUAAUCUUCUUUUUUUUAAUAUAAUAUAUGUGUAUGCUCAGUGUAUAUAUUAAAAAAUUUAGGUCCCGUGAGGCAUCGCCUCACUCCUCACGCCUAGGCUGGGCUAUCCCUCGGACGCCUCGCCCACGCCUCAUGCUUUUAAUACAUUGACUAUAUAUAAUGAAAAAAGACACUGUGAAUGACAUAAGAUAACAUAGCAGUCAAGUGCGAAGCGAACCUUUUUGUAAUUUGAAAAAUCUUUACGAAAAUAAUCAAAUCCAGAAAUGUCCGCCCCAUUGAAACUGAAAAUGGGCAGCAGGAUAUAUGUUAUUUGAUUUAGAACAGAUAAGGGCUGGAUUAGAAUGAGCUGAGAGAGAGAGAGAGGGAGAGAGGGAGAGAGGGAGCAAUAACAUUGGAUUUCCAUAAUAAAUCAACAACAUGCCUGAUCAUCAUCGCCAACAAUGGUUAUGUGGUUAUGAGAGGCGAGAAUCCGCAAAAGACUAUAUUGCAUAGCACUUGUGUCUUGAAACUCGUCUAUUACAAUAGCUUUCCAUGACUCCUGGCACUCCUUCAACACUAAUUAAGAGAACACCAUGUAUCAACAUUUAGCAUUACUUGUAAAACUAGAUAAAUCAAUGAAAUAUACUUAGAUGAUAGAGACCUUCAGGAAAAUCACUUAGCAGCUUCACAGAGCAGCUAAUUAAGUCGUGGUAGUCCAAAGCGUUGCACGAUUUCAAGAUAUCAUUGUAAUUCCUAAGAAUUUCACCCUGAUUCAGAUUGAGAGCUAAAACUCAUAAGCAAUAGUUUCAAAGAACUGAAAUGAUAUCUGAAAUUCUAGUUCUGAGCGUACUCCUGUCACAUCACCCAUUCUUCGGCAUUCAGCGGGAGUCUUUCCAGAAGCUUUUGCCUGAAACAUAAAUAAAUUUAUUGCCUAAUGCCACAUAUUGUAAGACACACCAUUGUAUUGGUCAUUCUAGCUUGAUUGUAGCUAAUAUUUUUUAAAUCGAAUGAUUAGAGUUCUUAAUCCACAAUAAUCUGAACAUUAAAUUUGGUAUUCAUGACUAACCUGUGUCACAAACUUCAGCCAUUUCUUUGAUGCAUCCUUAAAAUGAUGUGGAGAUGUUACGCCGUUAGACUCUUCCCCAUCUAUAGCAACAUUAAGAUUCGUUUUACUCUUUUCAUCUUCUGAUAACCGCACAGCUUCAAUGAUUGCUCUUCUCUGUUGCCCAUGUCCAUAUAUCAAAAAUUCUGGUCUGCGCUCGAGUCUAAAACACAAGCCAACAUAACAGACUCAGCUAUACCACCAAAUGUAUGGUGUUCAAAAUCAAGGGAGGUGAAUCAAUAGCUUACUUCUCAGCAUGUGAUCGGCAAAGUUGCAAUGAAAAUGAAUGAAAUGUACUGAUUGUUAGUAGUUUUGCCGUUGCUUUCCCAGUCACAGAUCCAAUUCGAUCUCUCAUCUCGGAAGCUGCUGCUGUAGUGAAAGUCAUUGCUAGAAUGUUCGACGUGCUAAUGCCCUAAGAACACAAAAAAAAAAAAAAAAAAACGUAUAAGAUUUCGAUCAUAAACAAGAAAUGUAGAGAAACACACAAUUACGAAAGAAAAAGUUAGAGGGAAAGUAGCAACACCUCAUUGAGCAGCAUUAGAACGCGCCCAACUAUCGUUGAAGUCUUUUCCACUUCCAGGGCCGGCAAACAAUCAUCAAAGGUACUGAAAUAUCGCUGCAAGCUGCCUCGCGCUGCCUUUCGUUGAGAGAAAGCAAAUACUUCAAAUACUCAUCCGGCAUGUUAGGCCAUCCAUGGUUAACAGAAUCUGUUUGGUUUUCACUACUCAAAGGCGGCGCUGAUGCGGCACUAACGUCACUACCACAACUCCCAAUAUCAUCACGCUGAAUGUCCACACUCGGUUUCUGCUCGAUUAAAGCGUCAAUUUCCUGCAAAAUACUCUCAUCGAAAUCAUCAUCGUUAAGAAUUCCAGAUGCAGAGAAAGAAUCAAAUGAAGUCAGAAACUGCGGUUGUCUGAUUGGAGUUGUGAAAGAAUCCGAUUUUGACACGCUUGAUUCGGUCCCGCUAACGCUUAAGCUUCCGGAACACGAAGCACUGCCAUAUUCACCACGCGUUGAAUUGUACCGGCUUGCGGAAAUCGGAGGCGGUGUUCUUUGAACUCUAUUGAGCUGAGUUGGCGUUUGGAUUCCAUUUCCGCCACAGAUUCUGGAAUUUGAAAAACACAAUUGAAUUGAUUUAAAUUGAAGCAAGAAAACAGCCGAGUAGCAAAAAAAUAGUAAGAAGAUGAAACCUUUGAUUCCUGAACGACUUACUUGGUAUGAGGGAGGUGAUGAUCAGGUGAAACGGCGUCGUUGCGGGGGCGUUUGCGAUCAAUGAGGGCCUUGGCGGCUCUGAAAUUCCGAGAGAUGCGGUUUCUUUGUUCCGCCGUGAGCCCUCCGCCGUAUUCCUGAACGUUUUCCUUGGACAUUGCUUCGAAGAUUCCAACGGAGGAUUUGGCCUGACGGCCUGACCAGGCUGAUAAUAUUCUUUUCAUUCAACUUGUCUACAAUAAUUACCACUCUUGGUAUUUAUACAUUUCUAACACGCCUCACUAACUAACUAAGACCACUACCAAUCAUACAUAAACACUUGUCAUAAUCCUAUGCACUCAUAGUAUCAUCACUCUAACUUCCCCUCAAACUCAUGUGGCAGAUUGCCAAGCAUGAGAUUGGAACAAUUACGAGUGAACUGGGGUGAACACAAGCCUUUGGUGAACAUGUCGGCAUAUUGAUUUGCAGAGGUAACAAACUGCAAAAAAUUGUCCUUUGAUGAACUCUUUCAUGAACAAAGUGGCAAUCAAUCUUUAAAUGUUUGGCUUUAGAGUGCAAUACAGGAUUAGUGGCAAGAGCCAUUGCUGAAAUGUUAUCACAAUGCAAAACUGGAACAUAAGGAGAACCAACAUGCAAAUCUCGAAGAAGCUGUUGUAUCCAGAUAACCUUAGCAGUGGUUGUAGCCAUUGCUCUAUAUUCAGCUUCAGUGGAAGACCUACUCACUGUAUGCUGCCUUUUAGAACUCCAAGAGAUAGGAGUAUCUCCCCAAAAAAUGACAAAACCCGUGGUUGAACGACGAUCAUUAGGAUCCCCUGCCCAAUCAGCAUCUGUAUAGGCUUUCAACUGAGAUGAACAUGAUUUAAAACACAAUCCCAAAGACAUAGUGCCUCUGAGAUAUCGUAGAAUACGUUUCACAGCAGCAAAUGAGUGGCUAAGGGUGAAUGCAUAAACUGACAUACUUGAUUGACAUAAAAAGAAAUAUAUGGUCUUGUAAAUGUUACGUAUUGCAGUGCCCCAACAAUACUUUUGUAAGUGGUAGGAUCAGAAACAGGUUCACUACCAUGAUUCAAAAGCUUUUGAUUAGGAUGACAAGGUGUGGAAAAAAGGUUUACAGUCCAGCAUAUGCAUCUUUUAAAGGAGUUCUUUGACAUACUUGGUCUGAUGAACAAAGAGUCCCUGAUCCUGAUACUCAAUCUGUAAACCAAGAAAAUAAUGCAACACACCUAGAUCUUUCAUGCCAAACUCACUAGUUAACUGACUAAUAACAUUCUGAACCUUCAUAGCAUCAUUACCAAUGAGAAUGAUAUCAUCAACAUAUAAUAAGAGAACAAUAAUUGAUGAACCAUCACACUUGACAAAUAAAGAAGGAUCUGCAUAUGAUGACUUGAACCUAAGUUUAGGCAAAUAACCUGAAAACCUGUCAUGCUAGGCUCUGGGAGCUUGUUUGAGACCAUAUAAAGACAUUUCUAGUUUGCACACAUAAUCUAGAUAGGUAGAAUCCACAAACCCUUGGGGCUGAGACAUAUAAACUUCUUCCUCAAGAAAGCCAUGCAAAAAAGCAUUAUUGACAUCUAACUGUUUGAGUUUCCAAUUAUGAGAUGCAGCCAAGGAUAGAACCAAUCGAACCAUGGUUGGUUUGACCACAGGGCUAAAGGUUUCAUAAUAGUUAAUACCAACUUCUUGAGAAUACCCAUUAGCUACAAGAGUAGCCUUGUACCUAGCCACUGAACCAUCUGGAUUUCUCUUAAUCUUGUAGCUCCAUUUACAACCAACAAGAUUUUUGUCAGGUGGUAAGGGCACAAGCUUCCAAGUAUGUUGUUGAAUCAAAGCAUCCAUCUCUUCUUUUAUGGCAUUUUGCCAUUGAACACACUUGACUGCACUAGAAAAAGACUGAGGUCUAAUAAAUGGAAAUGUGGAAGAAACACUAGGUGGAUGAAUGAAUGUGUUUGAAUGCACAACAGACACUGGUGAGGAAGAAUGACCAGAAGUAACUUGAUGAUUGAAACCCAAAGCAUUAGAGUCUAUAGGAAACUUGGAUUCAUAAAAAAUAACAUGUCUAGAUACUAACAGUUUAUGUUCUUUGAGAGAGAAGCAAAUAUACCCUUUGUAUUGUGUAGCAUACCCCAGAAAAAUGUUGGAGCAAUAAUAGAAAAUAUGAGAAAUAACAAUAUAAUUCCAAUGAUAAUAAUCAUAAAGAAAUUCACAACAUCAAUUAUAUAUGAGAUUAAUAUAAACUACUAGAGUGAAAGUUAGAAUAACUGACAAACUUGGAGAUUGAGGCUUGCAUAAAUGCAAUGUCCUAAAGAUAGAAUUUCGCCCCUACUCUUGUGUUUGUAGUUCAAUAGGCGUCCAUCUCUCAGAAUUCAACAAUCUAUAAUCCGAAGUCAAAGCACUUCAAUCUUCGGACUCUGGCGAACUUUAUAUAUUCCGUACUCUCAAGACACGACUCGGAAUUUGACACACGAAUCAUUUGAGAAACAAAGUUGGGGAAACCCUAUUUCUCAAGAGAGUAACAAUUAACUCUAUUUUUCUAUUUUUAAUGAUAAUGGUUUCAUGAGUUUAUAUAGAACCCAAGUACUUUUUGUUAAGGAGAUGUAACUUUUCAUCUAUAAGUAUACAUCACUUAUCAAGAGAAUACACCUAAACAACAUAACCUUUCUAAGAAAUUGGUUAACACUAUUUUUCAUUCAAUUAUUAAAAUUAUAUAUUACAAUAUUUCAUAUUAUAAUAUAUAAUUUCCAACAAAAAAUACACUUAGUAGUUUUAGGUUCAAGUUUAUUGCUUCUAUAGGGUUUCAAUGAAGGAUAGCAUAAACACCCAAAAAAUCUCAAAUGAUCAAGCUUAGGUGGAGAUUUAUAUAGCAUUUCAAAAGGAGACUGCAUAUGUAGGGUAGGUGUGGUCAUUCUGUUUAUAAGAAAAGUAGCAGUGGCACAUGCAUGGAACUAACAUUUUGAAGGUAAUGAAACUUGUUGUAAAAAGGUAAUAGUUGUUUCGACAAUAUGUUGAUUUUUUCUCUCAGCCAACCCAUUAUGUUCUAGGGUAUAAGGACAUUUUUUAUGAACAAUGCCUUUGGUAAGAAGAAAUUGCUUAAACUGAGUACUAACAUAUUCCCCACCCCCAUCACUUUGCAAAAUUUUUACAUGAGCAUCAAAAUAAUUCGAGACAUAAGCAAGAAAGUUGACAAAAACACUGAACACUGCAAACUUUAUUAUUUAAUGGAAAAAUCCAGGUAUAUCUUGUACAUUCAUUAAUAAAGGAAACAUAAUACUUGUAACCUUCUAUAGACAGACUAGGUGAGGGACCCCAAACAUCUAUGUGAAUUCCUUCAAAUGGAGUAAGUGACUUCAAAGCAAUUACAGGAAAAAAGAGCUUGGUAAACUUACCUUGCAAACAAGCUUUACAAGUAUGAGAUUGAGAGUUACAAGGAAAAGAUAUAAAAGACUUAUUAAGUGCUGCAGUGACAAUGGAAUGUGCAGGAUGGCCUAAUCGACAAUGCCAUAAUGUAGAAGAAAUCUUUUGACCCACAAAUGCAACUGGAUUAAAAACAGGAGAAAUAGACCUUUGUGGUUUGAUUAUGGGAAGUGGAUAGACAACAUUAUUACUCAGCCCUUGGAAUAGCACUCUCUCGGUGACCUUGUCCUGUAGACAGAGAGAAACAUCAUCCAUGAUACAACGACACUGAUUAUCUUUGCAUAACUGAUUCAUAGAUAAUAAGUGUUGUGACAGUUUUGGAACAUGUAACAUAGAGUUUAACUUGAAAUUAUGUGACUUAGUGAGAAGAGAAGAUGAACCAAUAUGUUUAGCUAAACCUUCACCACUAGCACUGGUCACAAUAUCAUUUGAUGGAUAAAUUUGUUGCCAUGUGCAAGUUUGACAAAUCUGAGGUCAUAUGGUUAGUUGCUCCUAAGUCAAGAAACCAGAAAUCUUGUUAAAGAGUUGAGGAUGAUGCACCAGCUCAUGCUUGCAUAGCAAGAUGAGGAUUUUGUGAGGAUAUAGUUGAGAGAUACAUAUGUGGUAUGACAAGAUACUGAAACUGGGAGCUAUUAGACCGUGGAAUAAUGCCUUGUGAAGGACCACAUGGAUUCUAGCUAGGUGCUUCACCAUAUGACCCAGUAGGCAUUGAAGUUGGCAUAGAUGAGGAUAAACCCUAAGAGAAAUGCUCUGAUGUGCCUGUGAAAUUCUUAUUCCGAUCAAAGCAAGUAGCAGCAACAUGACAACCUUUGACAAAUUUGACAUCCAUGUUGAAAACAAUUCAAUGCAGAAUGACCUUUGCGAUCAUAUUUGCAAAAUGGCCUUUGCAACCCUAGAAAGAAGAAGGAGCGAAGAAGACCAAAUGUGCACGUUUCUCUUUGGUUUUUUUUCCCUCCUAAUCGCCCUGUUCGAAAUCACGGACCUCGGGCCUGUGCCUAGUGGGCCCAAUUAUGAGGCCCAUUAUCUCCGGUCUUCUCGUUCUACUUCUAGUUACCCAAAUUAAGAACGUACUGGUUCGCUUUUAGCGCGAGAGAGAAAUGGAAGCCCUGAUUGCCUCGUACGGAGACUCGUCGUCGGGCUCAGACUCCGAGUCGCCGGCUCCACCUCCACCACCACCUCCGGAGCUCAACAAUCCUCAAAAACCGACCCCUGCGCUGCCUCCACCUCCUCUGUCACUUCUUGACAGCCCCAAUUCCUUCGGUAACCUCUGAUUCCCAUCAAUUUUCAUCUUUUAGCUUUCUGUUGUGAUGGCUUUUUCCAAGUUGGCCACCAAGUGUUUGAUGUUUUGCCUCUGAAGGAUUUCUGGACUUCUCGGCAAGCGCCCAGCCGAGCAGAGUUCGGAACUUUCCUCACGUCGAAGGGAACUACGCAGUACAUGUAUACAUCCCAGGUUAUCAAAAUUCUCGAAAUUUUCAGCUCCAUUAUCAAAUGCGAUCGCUUUGCACUUAGUUUUUGCUUGUUUAAUUGCGUGGUUCCAGUUUAUAUACCACCAGCACCAAGGAAAGAGAUGGCCUUGUUUUUGAACAAGCUAGCUUCUCUGGUGCCUGGUCUCCAUGCGGUUGACGUUGACUUCCCGCUUGACAUUCUGCGUAAGGACGAGCACAAGCUUGAACAAGUUGCUUUAGGCAGAGAGUUCCAUAUAAGUCUCGGAAGAACUGUUCCGAUUCGGGUGCACCAGAUUGAUUCCUUGGUGACAAUGCUGCGGCAGAAGCUUCAGAUUCAGAGGCGGUAUGGUUACAUUUACAUUCUCUUGUCUGCAUUGCGUGAAUUUAGUUCUGUUAUUUAACAUAAUUCUGUAAGCCUGCCAAAUUUUUCGUCCAUUUUCGGUUUAACACAUUUUGUUAUUGUGAAACAGGUAUUGGAUUGAUUUUAGCAAGUGGGAGGUUUUUGUUAAUGAUGAUCAGACCCGGACCUUUGUGUCAAUCGAAAUCAUUGCUGCUGGGUUAGCUGAGGUAUGAUUGCUAGCUUUCUUUCUUGGUGCAAUUCUAAAUGUUUUCAGUUGUUAUAUGGGCUUAAGAUUUAGUAAGUACUUGCCGAAAGUCAUGGGAUUUUGAAAUAUCGAUAUCUUGCUUGCUUAUUAGCUUAGACUUGGUCUUCGAUGCACUUGUAACAUGAAAAACACAAACGAAAACUAAUGCAUGAUAUGCUCAUGGUUUUAACAUGUGUUGUCCUGGCGUAAAUCAUGUUCCUAAUCCUGUCAUGUGAGUAUAUAAGCCUAUGAAACUUAGGGCAUGUUUGGCGGGCCGGACAAGAUUGGAAUUGGUAUUUCAGACUAGUUAGGUUAGGAUUGAACUGGAUAGGAUAGGUUUUUUGUCUAAAGAUUGGUGUAGACUGUCUUAACCAGACUAGGAACGAUGGGAUUUAAAAGGUGAAACAGAUCCGCGACAUCCCAAGGAUGACCCGCCCACCCAACAACUCUGCUUGUGACUUGCAACACCUCUCGUACCCUCCACGCCCCUUGCGGCCCGUCAGACCACUCUGAUAUCCUGGAGGAGUGAAACGUGGUUACUAGAAGCAUACCUGUUUUCGUAUUAAUGCACGGUUGAAUCAGCUUUCAUUGUCUACAAGUCUGAAAUAUUUUAACUUCCAUUGAUUUCAGAUAACAAAGCAGAUUCAAGCUGUGAAUGAGGUGUAUAAGCUUCACAAUCUUCCUGAAUUUUACAAGGUUAGCUUUUUCGUGCUUUUCAAACUCGAAUCGCUUCCUGAAUAUAUGACAAUAUAUUGGAUCAAACGAUUUCUCAAAAAACUAAUUCACUUGAUGGGGUCUUGGUGAUCACAGGAUCCACGCCCUCACAUCUCGGUAGCUUGGGCAUUGGGUGACAUCAGCAAUUCCCUGAAGAAAGUGGUUGAAGAAGAAAGACGAAGAUCUACCAUCGGAGGAUCGUUACAGAAAUGUAUUUUUACCAGUAAAUUCAAUGGUAUCGAAUGUAGGAUUGGUAAUGAGACACACAAAAUAUGUAAAUUUUCUGAAGAAUAAUGUAGCCAUUUAACUGUAUUGUGAAAUUCCGAGAAUAUAUCGCUGAGCAUUGGAUGAGAAGACAUUUCUUCGUUGGUGUCGAACUUCUUGUCGAAGGGAUUGGCACCAGUGUAAACGUCAUCAUCCAUGUUGAUGGUAAUUACUUCCCAGCUACUAAGGGAUUGGUAAUUACGUCUUUCACAUGCCCGACAAAUAGAAGUAUCACCAAACAUGUGAAUAUAGAGCAUCUAAGCGGCAGGCACUAAAAGGAAUUUAGUAUGCAAUAAACAUUCAACGGACACAAUUAUAUGUCUAACCUUUCCCGCUCCUGAGCAAUUUGAACAUCGUUCAGUUUUUGGCAGAGAUAGGGGUUGGUUUCCGCCAUCAUCAGCUGUCGAUACUGGUUCAGUAAGAACAAGGGUUCCAGUGCUGGAGCAACGAGCACAAGCAAGAGAUCCUGCGUAAGUAUCAAAUACACAGGUAAGCUGACAUACGAAACCAAUCCGAACAUCUCCAUCGUAUAUAUUUAAAGCUACAGUACAUAAAACUAAAAGUCAGAAAUAUAGGACAUUAUCACACCAGUUCCAAGACAAUAUUUGCAUCGUUUAUGCUCCUGCUGUUUCACAUUGUUUAUUUCAACUACCAUCAAUGCUGAGAUCACUCCGACUGCUCCUCCAGAGAAUGACGCCACUAUGGGAUCAACUUGACUGCAGUUUGAAAGUAAAGGAGAUCAAUAAACGAAACUGGUAACAACAUAGUAUCAACAUUAUUUAGCUUCGUUUCAAGAAAGAUGACAUCCUAGGUUUUUCUGAUGUGUAAAAAUUGAGGAUCCUCGUAAAAUUUGACUAUAUCGGUUCCCAAAGCAUUUGAUUCCUACGUUACAGACGGAAAACAGCAACAAUCGAAUUUAAAGAUUCAUAACACGAUAGAUGGUACAAAAUUUCAAAACGAUAAUUACUAGAGAAGAAAAAUGAGAAGAGAUGAUAUGGGAUCUGCUAAAAGAGGUGACAGACAAUGUAAGCAAUCAGAGCUCCGGCUGAUUGUUCACAUUCUCCCUAUCUUGCAGGCAGCAUGAAGGAUAAAAAGAAGAAAAAUGAGAAGAGAUGAUAUGGGAUACUUUUGCUUUUGAAGAAGUAACUUUCCACAAGCUUAUUCUUGAACUGAGUUGGAGGGUUUUCUGGUUUCCUCCAGAGUAUAAGGCCGACUGAAGAAUUUAAGGGUCAAAACAAGUCCAUCAAAUCUAGAGUACGUUCGACCCUGCUGAUAUGAGAUACUUUUGCUUUUGACAGAGUAAUGGAUGUAUCGGCACGUGUGCUGUUACUUGUCUCCACAUGCUUCCUUGUAUCCUUCCCACUUGCCCUAUCUGUUCCUCAGGGAGAUGCGGUAUCUUCCCUGGGAGCAUAAGAUGUUGAAGAUCAACCCUCGUGGUCUCUAAGCAGCCCAGCUUUUGAGAAAGCAAACGCUUCUUCGAUUUCUGAGCAGGCGCCUCUUCGAUGUCUGAAGCUCCGUCGAGUGCAGCUUUUUAUAGGGGCUGGCAUUAAGUUCCAAAGCACACUUGAAUCUCCACCAGUAGAAGCCCCAUUCUUGCACUUCUAAGAUCUUGAUUUGUCCGACCUCUUCUCUUUUCAACACCUUUGAAAAUGUCUGGCCCCUCCGACCGUCGUUUUGACUUGAACCUUGUUGAAGAGGCAGCCCCGCCUUCUCCAGACAACAUAUGGCGGCCAUCCUUCGUUUCCCCUACUGGUCCUCUUACCGUUGGGGAUUCCGUGAUGAAGAAUGAUAUGACCGCUGCGGUGGUGGCCAGGAACCUUCUCACUCCCAAAGAUAACAGACUACUUUCCAAACGGUCUGAUGAGUUAGCCGUUAAGGAUUUGCUGGCUCUCAGUGUUCAGUGUGCAGGUUUUGUGUCUAAUAUGGCCCAACGCCUAUUUGCUCGAACCCGCCAAGUUGAAUCAUUGGCGGCCGAAGUGAUGAGUCUCAAACAGGAGAUUAGAGGGCUCAAGCAUGAGAAUAAACAGUUGCACCGGCUCGCACAUGACUAUGCUACAAACAUGAAGAGGAAGCUUGACCAGAUGAAGGAAACUGAUGGUCAGGUUUUACUUGAUCAUCAGAGAUUUGUGGGUUUGUUCCAGAGGCAUUUAUUGCCUUCGUCUUCUGGGGCUGUAACGCGUAAUGAAGCUCCAAAUGAUCAACCUCUGAUGCCUCCUCCUUCUAGGGUUCUGUCCAGUACUGAGGCUCCGAAUGAUCCCCCUCUGAUGCCUUCUCUUUCUGGGGCUCUACCGACUGCUGAGACUUCUCCUAAGCAACCUUUGUGAAGGCUCCAUCUUGUUUGUUUAUUUUGACUCAUGUAUAUGUACAUAUUUGUAGCUUAUCGGGGAUAUCAAUCUAUAUGUACAUCUUGUUUCCUUCAUUUCAACGUAUUGUGUUAAAUACACCAAAGCCUUCUUCGCUAAGUUCUUUGAAUUUUCUUUUGUUGAAGCUUUCUGAGUGGAGCAUGUAGGUUGGGGUAGUGUUCCCUUAAUUUUCCGAGUGAGGAAAACUUCUCGGUUGGAGACUUGGAAAAUCCAAGUCACUGAGUGGGAUCGGCUAUAUGAAUCUUAGAACGCCAUUGUGCUCGGUCCUGUGUCAUGUCCUUCGUUAGAUCCAAGUACUCUAAGUCUUUUCUUAGAGUCUCUUCCAAAGUUUUCCUAGGUCUUCCUCUACCCCUUCGGCCCUGAACCUCUGUCCCAUAGUCGCAUCUUCUAAUCGGAGCGUCAGUAGGCCUUCUUUGCACAUGUCCAAACCACCGUAACCGAUUUUCUCUCAUCUUUCCUUCAAUUUCGGCUACUCCUACUUUACCCCGGAUAUCCUCAUUCCUAAUCUUAUCCUUUCUCGUGUGCCCACACAUCCAACGAAGCAUCCUCAUCUCCGCUACACCCAUUUUGUGUACGUGUUGAUGCUUCACCGCCCAACAUUCUGUGCCAUACAGCAUCGCCGGCCUUAUUGACAUUUCUUCGUUGGUGUCGAACUUCUUCUUGUCGAAGGUAUUGGCACCAGUGUAAACGUCAUCAUCCAUGUUGAUGGUAAUUACUUCCCAGCUACUAAGGGUGUCGGAACAACCUUGCACGCAGCCUCCUGUGCAUUACUUGGUAUUGUCUCAGAUUCUCCAAACUUGAAUGCUAAUGUAAACCCACUCUUGACCUUCCCGUCAUCUGCCAUUACUGGAAAGCUGGCUAGGAUGUUGCCGUUAACCUACCUAACUGGCUAGGAUGUUGCCGUCAUCUCCAAACUUAAAAUACCGGAAAGCCGGCUCCAAACUUCAAUGUGCUACUAGUUUUUGUAUGCGAGAGCUCCACCUCCAUUGUUGUAACAGCAUCUGAUGCGGACUAGUCCUUCAUUCCCGUUACUCGUUGCUAUCUCCACUUCAAACUUGGCGUAAUGGCUCCCGGCCUCUUCUCCGGUGAAAUUGAGAAACCCUGGGAAACCCUUGAGCUGGCGUUUUCAUUCUGUUGUCCGUAUAUCUUGAUAUUACAAGUAUUUGUUGUGCAAAAUGCAUGCUAAGUUCAAGUUAUGUUUAUAUGUGUGUGUGUGUGCGUGUGUGUGUGUGUGUUGCCACUUUUCCAACGUUUUCUCCAAAAUUGUGAUUUUGGUGUUGUUCUAACUUUAUGUUGGUGUUGUUCUAACUUUGGUGAAUGCUAAUAACAAUUCCCUCGUUAACCAUUGGGACGAGCAACAAGGCAGUUUUGAUUCCGGGCACAACGACGAUACCUCGAAAGAAAUUGAUUCUUCCCCAGAAAGAUGUUUUAAAACAAAGUUGAACAAGGGAAGAAAACUUUUGAAUCGCAAUCAGAUGUCUGGUCAAAUUCUUUAACAGUUGAUGUAUACAGAAGUUCCUUGCUUAUGACACGACUUAUGAGAGGAUGUAUGUAUUGCAUUUGCAUCAAAAGAAAGAAAGAAGGUUGUAAGUGGUAAGGGAACGACUACCGAUGGCGCUCCACUUCUAAUCAAAGGGAUCGAUCCGAGGGUCGUGUUCACUUGCCAUCGCCAUUCCAGUGCAAAGGCAUGUCGGGCACAUUACCUGCCACAUUUACAGACGCAAUGUUAGAUAUAGCUGCCAUUUGGAAGUCACCUCUCAAAAUUUUGCUACUAAAUUAAUCUUAGACUUCAUUUCCAGUGCAAUUUUUUUCUUCCGAAAUGUCUUUCACAUGCCCGACAAAUACAAGUAUCGGUCACCAAGCUUGUGAAUAUAGUGCAUCUAAGCGGCAGGCACUAAAAGGAAUUUAGUAUGCAAUAAACAUUCAACGGACAUAAUUAUAUGUCUAACCUUUCCCGCUCCUGAGCAAUUUGAACAUCGUUCAGUUUUUGGCAGAGAUAGGGGUUGGUUUCCGCCAUCAGCUGUCGAUACUGGUUCAGUAAGAACAAGGGUUCCAGUGCUGGAGCAACGAGCACAAGCAAGAUAUCCUGCGUAAGUAUCAAAUACACAGGUAAGUUGACAUAUGAAACCAAUCCGAACAUCUCCAUCGUAUAUAUUUAAAGCUACAGUACAUAAAACUAAAAGUCAGAAAUAGAGGACAUUAUCACACCAGUUCCAAGACAGUAUUUGCAUCGUUUAUGCUCCUGCUGUUUCACAUUGUUUAUUUCAACUACCAUCAAUGCUGAGAUCACUCCAACUGCUCCUCCAGAGAACGACGCCACUAUGGGAUCAACUUGACUGCAGUUUGAAAGUAAAGGAGAUCAAUAAACGAAACUGGUAACAACAGAGUAUCAACAUUAUUUAGCUUCGUUUCAAGAAAGAUGACAUCCUAGGUUUUUCUAAUGUGUAAAAAUUGAGGAUCCACGUAAAAUUUGACUAUAUCGGUUCCCAAAGUAUUUGAUUCCUACGUUACAGAUGGAAAACAGUAACAAUCUAAUUUAAAGAUGCAUAACACGAUAGAUGGUACAAAAUUUCAAAACGAUAAUUACUAGAGAACAGGAGGGUUAAUAGCCUGAGAUAUGAGCCAUACCUCAACUGCAACGGCAGAUGCAUAUUUACUAUAAAGUCUUUAUAUGAUGUGCCUCCUAUUCCCAGCUUCAACUCCAACUGAAAUAUGUAAAGGUAAUUGUAGGCAAAGAGUUACAAACAUAACCGAAUCCAUGUUUUAUAAGCAACAACUAAACUUAUUUUGAUAUGUUUCCUCAUUUUUUACUUGCAAAUUCCGAACCAUAUUGUCGGACCAGUAAAAGAGAAUAAUGUUUAUGAUAACUGUUAAAACUAAUCACAACAGGUUAAUGCAUAAAGAACUUACGGAGGGUGCUAUGAGGCCACCGAAAAGGAUAAACCCCGCAAUAAUUGAAUAACAAACAGCAUAAUACUGCUUAAGGUUGUCUGAACUCUGGAAGCAAUGAAUUCACCUUGUGAUUAAUACUUUGCACAAACACUAGUUUUUGCAAAUUUUUAUGAAUCGACAAAAGGCUACAACAAAAUAUGGCUAAAACAUGUCGGGGAUAUGAAAAUACAUGUCUUCACAGGGGCACCAGCUUACCAGGGGAGGCAAAAAUGGAAUGAACGAUGGAAAACUAGGAAGUUCGUUUUCUUGAUCUUCAUUUACCGCUCCAAGCUCUGCACGUUUAAUCCGCUGUUGUAUCCUCAGCCUGCGAACCUACGCAUAUCGAAGCUCAUUCUUAAAGAACACAUUUCUAAUGGCAAUUGGAGAGUAAUUUAAAACAUGCUAAACUGAGAAAGUGGUAGUAACUAGCAAUUGCUCUCACCUCCUCCAUAUGCAAGAAAAUUUUGUUGCGACGACUCCGAAUAUUAUCUUGAAUUUCCUGCAGCUCCAUUGUGGCAAAAUCCUGCACUGUUUCAGGCCCCUCUAUGAUACAAAAUAUGCACCAUUAAGCAUGUAAAAACUAAAAAUUACAGGCUACAAAGCAAUUUCCGUAUAGUUGUUGGGUUAAAUAACAUCAACAGCAAAUAAAUCACAUGGGUUUUUCACAUAAAGUUACAAACUUUCAAGGACUAAUAAGCUGUCUGCAAUCUCAUAAAUUUCACAGUGCAAAGUAACAAUCCAAAGCUUGGAACUUUAAAUUUCCACCUUCUGUUAAUUUCCUAGAGAGAAGAGAGGGGGGGGGGGAAGUACCCGGCGGGGUUUGUAUCAGCGGCGGGAUUGGGAUCAGAAUCGACAGACGGAGCGAAAGAGGAGGAGUCGGGUUCCGAAGCCAUGGCAAGGGAUCGCCAUCUGGAGCUGCUUGUUGAUAUGGGGCUUCUGGGUAGCUGAAUUUGGAGCAGCCGGCGCUAUGCAGUUUGUACGGACGGCACCGAUUUACGGGGAAAGAAACGGCCAAAAGUCUGCCGGAGCAGAGCAUCUCUGUCUCUCUCUCUCAAACCAGAAGGUAGAGCUUUCUGUUUCUCUUGAGGUUUCUUUCACUGGUAAAUUCCAGAGAAGCAGAGAAGAAGGCUCUCUGAGAAAUGGCGAUGGUGCAAGUGGAGACAAAACAAAUGUAAAUCUUGAAGCACUGAACAUCUGCAGAACACUUGUCAACUGCCGAACUCUAGGAUUAGGAGAGAGACAGUGAGCGACCGGCCAAAAAAACAAAAUGGAGGUAAGUGGCUAAUUCUUCUCUCAUUUUUUUUUCCUUGUUUUUCAGGAAAAAAAAAAGACAGAGAGAGAUUUUUAGUGGACCUGGCGUCGAUAGAUUCGAGUAGUAUGUCACAUUUAAAAUUUGAGCAAAUUGUAACUAUAGUACUUUAAUUUUAAUUUAAUUGGAGGAAUGAUCCAUCAACUAAAAAUUCAUUACCAUUGAUCAUUUAAUUAAAAAUCUAUUACCGUUGGUCCCUCAACUUUAAUUCAACUAGAGAAAUGAUCUUUUAACUUUAACCCAAUUGUAGCAAUGGUCAUUCCAACAUAACUCGUUUUGACAAAAUUUUUGAUGUAGUUGACGAAAAUGACCAUAAUUACAUACUUUGAUAAGUUGAGGAACUCUAAUUGUAUAAAUGGUCAUUUCAACAUAAUUUAUUUUGACAAAAUUUUGACGAAAUUGAUGAAAAGGACUAUAGCUACACAUUUUGAUAAGUUGAGGGACCAAUAGUAAUUGAUUUUUAGUUGAAGGACCAUUGCUAUAAUUUACUCUUAAAAUUUUAUUAUAGGAUGACAAACGUCGAAAAUAAAAGGUUAAGUGCAGUGAUCGUCUUUGAGGUUUUGGAGGUUCUGUGUGGUCAAAUACUUUGUUCUCCCUAAAAUUGCCACUAUUGAGACGAUUACUUGCCUCAUACAAACAUUUUACGUUUACUUAGAACUAGAAAGACAAGAAUUGCAUGUGAUGAAUUGCUCUAAUCAUGGGGUUUAUUUUUUAACUCAUUGUGUUUUAAAUUUAAACUUUUUUCCCUCUCUUUGAUAUACUUAUAAAGUGUGAAAUUAAUAAUUUUAAUGAGUGACUCAAUUAACUAUUUUCAUUUCUUACGCGUUCAAAAUUACACAAAUUUGUUGCAUACAAUUUUUUAAAAAGAAAAUUUCUAUUAUUAUGGAGAAAGUUCGGUACAUUAUGGAAGGAGGAAUUUUGAACUCGAAACACAUGGUAGAAACCUAACGCCCAUCCACUAGGAUAUUAGAAACCCAACGCAUAUCCACUAGGAUAUUAGACCACCAGAGCUGGUCCUGAGAUAUUUGGUGCCUGUGUCAAAAUGUGUCUUUUUCCAGUACAACAACAGAAAUUGAAAAGAAAUAUUUAAAGAGGGCUGGAACCCAGUCGAAGCUGGGGGCUAGGCCCUCACACCCAUGUUAUAUUACUCGAAAAAAAAAAAAUAUACAACGGGAUGGAACAUAGUACCGAAACCCCGACAAUAAAAAACAAAAUCACAUACAACCACUCCAAGCAGUCAACAUGACCAUUACAUAUUGAAUCCAAAAGGUUGACGCCUAUUCUCUGCAUAUAAUGCACAGAAGAUAACAAGAUUACUAAUAUAAAAAGAACAUCUGAAAAGAUGAACAUAUGCAUCAACAUAUAAGUUAACCAUUCUAAGUGCAAAUUUAGAAGUGAUAUGCUCCAAGUAUAAUAUUGGACAGAAGAGCGGCAGCAUCAACCAGUUCUGCUAUAUCCGGCUGGAUGAGAGCUGCUAAAGACAUGAUUGUUCCCUAAUAACAUGAAUAAAUUGAGUAAACACCAAAAGUAGCAGCAAGGGAAGGAGAUGUUAAGAAGAUGAAGAGGUGUAACACCUGUGAAUGUCCAACAACAAAGACUUUGGUGCUUGUUGAAUAUAUGCAGCGCAUCAUUUCUGAUAGAUCAAAUCGAGCCAAUUCCUGCCAACUCCAAUCCUAAAAAUCCUACAGUAAAGCAUAAAUCUUAUUCUCUUCUGAUAAAGAUGUGUGUCCCUGUCUCCAACGUGUUUGACGCACAUUCCCUACCCAUACAUCGAAACCUUCAUCUGCAAGGACAAAUCCCAGUUAUUCUUCUGGAGAAUUUAAGAACCAUGAAUCACCUGGUCAAGAUCAAGAAAAGCCAGUAACCAAUUACAAUUGAGUUUGAAGCACAUAAGAGCCUAAUUUAAAAUGUAUCCCAUGGAUGUUCAUCAAUUUACACAAUAGUUAGUUUCAAGAAAGGAAAUUUCAACAGAACCUGAAAACUUCAGAUCAGGGGGCACCAAAUAGUGAGCUAUACAUUCAAAAUUUGAAAUAAUCAACUUAGUGGGACCAAUAUGUUGAAAAAAUUGGAAGGAGCUAUGAAAGUAAGGCUUUUCACUAAUCAGACGUCCAGAGAAUCAAUAUUUUACUCACGGAUCAGUUACGGGGAACACUCCCCACCAAAGCAAUCUCUUUCGUCUGAAUCUGGAAAACAAGCAGCAGUGGAUUUUAACAGUCUGGGUAUCUCAAAGUUACUUUAAUCAUAAAUUUAACACUAAAACAUAUAAAUGGGCAUUAUUUAGUGAAAUAUUAGUAUAGUACUCACUGUGUGCUCGGAACAAGAGUACCCAGAAAGCUCAAUGAGCUGCGCACAGAGGACUACAGCGGUGAACGACAGCGACCGAUUCUGUAAAAUUCAGUCAAGUUUUGGGUGAUUUCUGCAGUUAUUUCGGAGGUCAAGAGGCUGAUAGGGAAAGCUGCGACCGAAGGGCACUGGUCUGGAAGCAAAGGCUCAGGUCACCGCUGUCCCGAUUCGCGAAGGAAGUGCCCCAAAAACAAUUUCGGCCCUGGACAGGUGCACUGUUUGCACUGGACCAGGGCCGGCCGGCCCUGGCAAUAACGUCCCCCAAACAGUACAUAUACAGAUGCUAGAAAUAUAUUAAUGUAACCUGAAACUACUAGAACCAUUCAAUUCUAGCGUCUACAGCUAUAGCAUUAGUUGGUACAAUGGACAUUCUUCCAAAGAGGGGGAUGAACUCGUUGAGGCUCUUAUUUAUUCCUCCUCUUGUUGUGCCCUUUUCAGCUGCUAAUUCCAGACGAUCCAAUCUCAUACAUCUUCCCUGCAAAAGCAUGCGUGCCAGACUUCAAGAUCAAAUUUUUCCAACAAAAGAAACUUAAAGAUCAAACUCGCUAGCAGAUUAAAUGGUGCACAAGGGUGUUAAAAUCUUGACAUAGUAUAUUUUUGGCAGAUUUUAUGUGAGCAUGCAACUAAAACUGGCAUCACUAUCAAUGGUGCAAAAAGAUUGGUGGAAAACUUUAACAGUUUGAGUUGUAACUUCUCCAUUGUAUUUGUUAAGGCAAGACGGAUGUCAUCUAUGCAUUUUUCUGUAAAACUUAAAAGGCUGCAUAGCAGCUCUUGUUCGUACGACAAGCAAUUGAAAAUCCCAUCAUUAUGCCCCGCAUAUACCAGAAAAAAAAAGUCAUUUACACAAAUUCAGAGCGUUCAUCCACUGUAAUUUGCAGAUAUAGAAACGUUAAGAUAAAAGGAAAUGCAAAGUUAGCAACGGGAAUUGACAUACCAAUAUCUUCACAGUUUCUGCACAAGCACAAAUCAAAAGAAUCCGGCGGUGGAGUUAUGUACCUCUCCUUGGAAAAUGCCACCUCUUGGGAUUUCAAAAUAUGCGGCCGUGGCUAGCCGUCUGACCACGCCAAUUCCACCAAAGCCGCCGCAACGCGGCGCAGUGUCCGAUUGAUUGCUUCAAAACAGAGCUUCGUAUCCAUGUGUUUAUCAGCACAGAGUACCCAAAACCCCUGAAAAUUAUUUCUUUAUUCAGAUAAUAAAAUUUCCCAAAUUUCAAAUUUUAAUUCCGAACCAAAAAUAGGAUUUGAAUUUUGAUUACCUAGAAAUUGGGGGGUUGGCGAUAUGCGUCCUCGAGAGGGUACCAAUACAAAUUACAGAGCGUGUUGGGACGAUGUACAAGGCUUUUGCAGUCUCUCAGAUGUAAAUACCGAAGCUCCGUAAGGCGUUCAAUCCAGGGGGAAAGCUCUUUGAUAGAUGUUCCAUCCAAGACAAGAUUUCUUAAUCCUUCCAUAUUUUCUUCAAUGCUUGGAAACACCUCGAAUUUUGUACAACCGGAAAGAGAGAGAUAGACAAGGGACUUGAGCUGACAAAUGCUACUUGGAAGACUCUUAAGCUCCUUGCAAUUUUCUAGCUUCAAAUGAUUCAAUCCCGUGAGAUUAUUAAUUGACGAGGGCAUUUCUUUAAUUUUUGAUCCGGAUAAAUGAAGAACUUUUAACCCUUCAAUCACUUUUAAAAUCUCUGGAAACAUCUCAAGACUCUGACAAUCAUAAAGUACAAAGGUUUCGAGAGAUUUCAUAUGAAUGUUGCUUGGAAGACUCUUAAGUUUUUGGCAAUCUGAUAGGUUCAAAUGAAUCAACCCCGUGAAAUUAUUAAUUGACAUGGGCAGUUGUUUAAUUUUUGACCCGGAUAAAUUAAGCUCUUCUAACCCCUCAAUACCAUCUGAAAUCAAUGGAAACAUCUCAAGACUGGAGCAGCCACAAACAUUAAAGGUUUUCAGACAUUUCAAAUGAAUGCAACUUGGAAGACUCUCAAGUUCCUUGCAAUCUUUUAGGUUGAAAUGACUCAACCCCGUGAGAUUAUUAAUUGACUCGGGCAGUUCUUUAAUUUUGGACUCGGAUAAAUUAAGCUCUUCUAACUCCUCCAUACCUUCUGAAAUCUCUGGAAACAUCUCAAAAUUGGAGCAGCCAAAAAGAUUAAAGGUUUUGAGAGAUCUCAUACGAAUUUUAUUGGGUAGAAUCUUAAGUUCCUUGCAAUAUGAUAGGUUCAAAUGACUCAACCCCGUGAGAUUAUUAAUUGACUCAGGCAGUUCUUUAAUUUUGGACUCGGAUAAAUUAAGCUCUUGUAACUCCUCCAUACCUUCUGAAAUCUCUGGAAACAUCUCAAGACUGGAGCAUCCAUAAAGAUUAAAGGUUUUCAGACAUUUCAUAUGAAUGCAGCUUGGAAGACUCUUAAGUUCCUUGCAAUCUCUUAGGUUUAAAUGAAUCAACCCCGUGAGAUUAUUAAUUGACUCGGACAGUUCUUUAAUUUUGGACUUGGAUAAAUUAAGCUCUUGUAACUCCUCCAUACCUUCUGAAAUCUCUGGAAACAUCUCAAGGCUCACGCAGCCAAAAAGAUCAAGAGUUUUGAGAGAUUGCAUACGAAUUUUGCAGGGUAGAAUCUUAAGUUUUUCGCACCCUUUCAGAUCCAAUAAAACAAGUUUUGUAAGAUUCGAAAUAGAUGGGUGAACCUUAACUAACCCUCCACAACCAUGAAGAAUUAGCCUCUCAAGAUUUGGCACAUUUGUGAAGUCAGGGGUUUCCUUAAGGUAUGAACAAUAACUUAAAUUGAUGAAUUUCAACUUUUCCUGCGUCUGUUAAAACAUUCAGGAAAACAUGCAUUACUUAAUAAGACAUCUCACUCAAAGCCCAAACAUUUAAAAGAAACAAAUACAUGUAAAUGAUUGCACAUACCUGGGUUCCUUCCCAAAGUCGGUCAAUGUGGCUAUAUUGCAUGUCAAGUCCAACAAGAUUUUCGAAUUGAAAGUUGGAUGGCAAAGACUUGAGCGGGAAACAAGACCAGGAAAGAAACCUCAACUCACUAGAAACAAACUUUAAGGACCCAGUCAGGUGUUGUAUGCUGAAAGUACCGAUCUUGAGAAGUCUUAGUUUAGUCAUCCUAUCAAAAGCUUUAACAAUUAAGCAUCCCUCAUAUGAGUGCCCCAAAUCUAGGAUUAUGCUUUUAACUGUUUCUGUACCCUGUGCAAAUCAAAGGGAAGGAAAAAGCAGAGAACCUUAGUUUAGAUUAUGAAGUUAAUGGUUGUUUCUUAAGGAGUUGUUUGAUAAUAAUUUUGUUUUCACUUUUCACUUUUGUUUUGAUUAUUUAUUUAGAAAUCUGAAAAUUGAAAACAUAUAACUUGUUUGUAAUUGUUUUCAAUUUUCAAUUAUUAAAAAAAUGAAAAUUAAAAAUUAAAAAUGGAAACAAAAGUGGUUAUCAAACGAGCUUAAGAAAUUGAUUUUGGUCAAAAGUUGAAGCUUUCUACUAAACAUUGCAUAAGAAGAGAAAUUAUCACCGUAUUUUUAGUUAUCACAUGAAGAACAUCUUCAUAACUCCACAACCUACUUCGUUUCCCAGGCUCUUCGAUAGAUUCUUGCUGGACGAUUUUCCGACCCAUUUCCUCUAGUAAAUCAUGCAUCUCCAGUUCCCCCUUCCAUGAGACAGUUACUAGAGCUCGAUCGAUUAAAACUUUUAUUCCAAUAUCAGGAUAGGAACCACAGCUGUGCAGAACUUCGGUUGCAUAGUCUUUUCUCAUUCCUUUAAAGAAACAUGCAAUAUCUAGAAAGAUAUCCUUCUCCGUGUCAUCUAGUCCAUCGAAGCUUGUUUUAAGCACAUCAUGAAUUCCCUUUUGCGGGAUUUUCUUUAUUUUUUCUAACUCAUUUUCCCACUGGCGUACAUUUUUGUUAUCAAGAAAAGCUCCCAAGACUUUGAGUGCUAAAGGCAGACCUUGAGCAUAUUUUACAGCACGCCUCGAGAGAUCAUCAUAAUCUCUGUUGGGUUGGUUUUUUCUAAAGGCGUACCGCCUAAAGAGUUCCAGAGCUCCAUUAUCACUUAAAAUCUUGGGAUUAUAUAUCUCAUCAGCUAUGCUUAGUAAUUGCGAAUCUCUGGUUGUUAUAAUAAUUCUGCUUCCACCACCAAAGGAAUGUGGUUCUUUAAGUAAAGCUUCAAUUUGUUCUAAUUCUUCCACAUCAUCAACAACAAUAAGAACUUUUCUCCGACCUAGGCUAUUUAACACCACCUGGAAACCUUUAUUCGAAACGUCGGAACUCCCCACCUUGUUGUUCGAGAUACUCGAUAGAAGUUCUGCCUGCAUAUAUAGUUUGCCAUGCUUUAUGAAACCUUCCUUGAAAUUUUCAAGAAAGCAACAAGCUUUAAAUCCACCAGAGAUUUCAUCAUAAACAGCUCUAGCGAUGGUUGUUUUGCCUAAACCACCCAUACCCCAUAUUCCAACAAUGCGAACAUCAUUAGUUUCAACUCCAGGAGGAUACAAUAAUGAAUGCAUGUUAUGCAUAUGAGAGUCCAUUUCAACCAAGCCAUUAUCUUUGCUUGAUGAUGAUGAGAUGUGGAUCAAUUUCUUAAAAACAUCUUCUACAAUUUUCUCAAUAAGCUCUGCAUCAUCCCUGUCAAAUUUAAAAAACAAUAUAAUAACACCACCAAAUAAUACUUAAUGGGUCUUUUUCAUCUGUUAGUUUAAAAAAAAUAGAAAUUAAAACUAAAACUAAAAUCUAAACGUUAUAAAAAUCCCAAAAAUUAAUAGGAAACUAAAACAAAUUAGAAUUUACUCAUAUUUCGCGAAUCCCAGCCGGAUAAACUGGUGGCAAUUGUAAGAGCGGAUCUCCAGCUCUGAACCUCUUCCAUUUCAGCGUUAGAAUCACGAUCGUGCUGAGCAAAAGCUUCCUCGAAUUUUCUCUUGAGUUUACGAACGUCAGACGGAUCAACUUCAUAGAAAAUGGGGAGUACAAUCUGGUUAUUGGUAUCCUUGCAUUUCAAGAUUUGCACGAGUUCUUUCAAGCACCAAGUGGAAGAAGCAUAGUCUUGAGAGAAAACUACAAUCGAAAGCCUUGACUCUCGAAUCGCUGUCAGGAGCUCAGAAAGGUGGUCGCCUUUUCUGAGCUUCUCGGCAUCAAUGAAGGCGUUGAUUGGUUUCUUAACCAGAGCGUUGUAGAGAUGGCUGACGAAGCCCCUGCGAGUGUCUUCCCCUCUGAAAUUGAUGAACACAUCGUAUUUGCAACCAAGGCCAGAAGAAGAUGAAGAAGAAGAAGCAGCCAUUAUUAAUCGAUCGCACCUGGUCAGCGACGAUCGAGCAGCUAAGACUAAGAGAAUUGUAAGUACAGAGAUACUCAAUAGAUCUACAAAUUGGAUCACCGGAAAUUAGUCUGAUCGAUACCAAGUCAAUGAGUCAAUGCAAAAGUAAAAAGGGGAAAGGGAAAUUAUGCUUUAUGUUUUUUC
rnacentral:lncRNA from 1 species